rnacentral:lncRNA from 1 species
AUCAACCAUCCAGACAAAAGGCGAAAGCAAAGCGAAGACGACGAAAACAUAUCGAAGCAGAUCUUCCAUAAAAUUGAGAUCUCGAAGUUCUACAAAUAUGUACAGACACUGCGAAUUGCUCUAGAGACUGUUGAUAUAAGCCCAACUUAGUGGAUCAAAAUUCCGGAGGAAAACAACUUCAACAACAAGCUACGACUUCCCUCGGUAACCUCGCCGGCAUCAACCGAUCCGGAGACACCGGCAGCCGCGCCGAGAAGUUCCUCAUUGAGAACUCCUCGUCUGACUCUCGGCUCAAAUCGUCAUCGAAGUUUAGCGCGUAGUUCAUCGGGUCAUACCCGAACUCCGAGGAGGCCGCCGCCGCCGCGUGGCCCGGCCUCCACCGGCACCUCCCGAUCCGAGCGAUGAGGCUGCGGCACCUGUACCGGAUCUCCGGCAGCAGGAGCUCCUGGGCCGUCGAGCGGACCUUGCGUGGGUGGCCGUCGUCACAGUCCGAGGAGGCGGCCUCGUGGUAGGCAGCGGCAUGGCCGCCGUCGUGGAAGCAUGAGAAGAGGAGGGACGGGGAGGAUGAUCAGAGCUUGUGAUGGAAGAGCAUUUCGACGGCGAGAGCGAUGGGACUCGGAUUCUUGGUCUGGUCUGUGCAAGGCCGUGAAGACAGCGGAGAGAGUGGAUGGAGAUGAGGAAGAAGAUGGAGAAGAGGAUGAGGUGGAGGGUUUAUUUAUAGGUCGGGCGGAAGAGGACGGAGGCGUGCGGCGGCAGAGCAGAGUGGUGUGGUGGUGGGGGCGGUGGGGGUGGGAGUCAGGAGUCAGGAUGAGGAGGAAAAGCGCGGCUGCUUCGUGGGGUGGACGUGGAAAGCGGUUUUUUUUGCGUUGAUCCCGCGUAAGUAAGGUGUCCAUCUUUACUUUUUCUUCACUAUAAUUUUGGCAGUUUGGUAAUUACGCAAAAGACGAGGGACCACGUAGCUACUGCCUUUUUUUUUUCUUUAAAGAUCUCUCUUUUGUUUUACGAAAGAGGAAAUUUAAAUGACUCUUUUAUGGGUUUCAUCAUACGACCAUAUAUAUGAUCAAGAGAGUAAACUACAAGAUCGGAAUCAGGAGCUCAAAGUCAUGAAUUCCGACCUUAGACUCCGUUCGUUUGACUGAAAAAUUAAUAUCUUGAAAAAUAUUUUCCUAACUUUAAUUGUUGUUUAUUGGUUACAAAAAUAAUUAAUGAAAUGCAUUUUCAUUAACAACUUAUAUUUAAACAUUUUUGUUGAUGAUGAGAAUAUUUUUUAUCAUCACUUUUCCUAGUGAUGUAAAAAAUAAAAAUUAGAAAAAUAUUUUUCAAAUUAUUAGUUUUUUGUGAAAAAAAGAGCUUUAGUCUCUUGGAGUAACUACGGUGUGGGAAAGAUGAUUUAUAUGAAGAUAGAGAAUCCAUAAACUUGGGAAUGUGAUGGAGACAAUUAGAUCAAGAAAGAAAAUCGAUAAGAUUUGAAAUGUCACAUAUUAAACGAGUCGUUUGAUUUUUCAUGUGAUAUCGAAUCAAAUAUCCGAAGGUUUAAAUCCCUCUAUCAACUCCCACAUUACUACACUUUUUAAUUUCUUUCAAUGUCUAGUAAAAUACUAACUUUGAGUCGUUUUCAUACAAUUCCUUUUGAGUAGAUAGGUGAUGUUUAAAUCAGUUUGUUGGUAUGUUGAUGCAUCCCUUAAAUAUAUGUUGAUGCACAAAUUGAUCCCAAGCUCAAAAAAGUGUGUUGCCUAAAUUAUUUAAUACACGUAGAAAAAUCAUUCAAUCGAUAAUUAAAACUGGGUUGCUUCGAUAAAAUUUUAUUUUCUUGUUCGAAAAUAAAUAGUCCAUUCAUAUCUCAAGAUGAUAUGUGAAAGACUCAAAAUAAAACAAAUCUCAACAAUAAAAUAGUAAAGUAGAAACUGUAGCAACGAGUAUACUGUCAUUCCAUAAAAAUGAAUAUGUGUUGAGCAUCAAAACAAAUUGAACAAUGGCACUAAUAUUUAAAGUCAAUAAGAACAAAUCAUUCUAUUCCCUGCAUAACCUUGCACUGAUCUCCACUCAUCUUUUCAUGUGACACUAAGCUCUUCACUUCCAAUGGUGGUUUCAUAGAUCUCCAAGCUGGUUUUCCCACAUACUUAGAACUUGCUCUCUCUCUCUCUCUCUCUCUCUCUCUCUCUCUCUCUCUCUCUCUCUCUCUCUCUGUCUCUCUCUCUCUCUCUCUCUCUCGUUAUAAUAACCGAGAUGUCCCGUGGUGCAUGAACAAAACGGGGGGACGAAGAAUGUUCCCUAAUGCCCAGUAGCUAGGACAUAAUCAUUGUAAUCAAUCACUAAUUAAAAACGAUGGGGGCAACCAUGCGUCGUGCUUGGUUUGGAUUCUGGUCAUUUAUGAGCCGAGCGCCUCCCGUGACUCCUGGGUUCAAGCCGCUCUCAAAGUGCGAGUCCGCAUAUGAGAGAGCUCCACGUCGGUGGAGAUUGGAGUGAGCGUCCGAGGGAUUCAUGCACCCAGCCAUUGGUUGCCCGCCGCCAGACACUUCCUCACCCGACAUUUUGGUAUAGAUAAUAGGGGAAACAUGGUGUUAAGAUUGACUUGAUCCUACGUGUUCAAUGCUCGAAACUCGACUCGAGCUUGAUUGAGUGUUAAGAUUGAUGCUUGAAUUUAAUUUGACUGGAAAAAUCGAGAUACUAAAGCUUGGAUAAAUAAGUAGUAAACUUCACUUUUAUAGAUCAAAUAUGCUUAUUGAAAGUGUCUAAAUAUAUAAUAUAAUAAUAGUUCGAUGAAAUAAGAUAUCUUUUUGGAUAACGCACGCUUUUCAAAUAUAUAAAAAAAAAAAGUAAAUUUUCGGAUUAUGUUGAAUACACAUAAUAAUUAAGGGAUCUAAAGUCAUUCCUCAUGCCAUAAGCUAUGGUCACUCUUCGCCGAUGGCAAAAAACCUAAAAAUUAUAUUAAUCAUGAAUAUAACUUAUUUAUAUUAUAAUUUAGCCAAUCAUAUCGUAUAGAAAUAGGUCUAUAAUUCAUUUUGACAUAUUUAGUAUCCGGCCAUGCAUAGUCCUCUGGGCCCUAUCCACAAGAAAAGGAAGUCGCAUCCACGUUAUCCAUAAAGUAAAUUCUUUCAUCCACGACAUAAUUUACUUCUUGUCGGCACCCAUUUCAUUGACGCAACACCAAUCAGCAAAAAUUGUUUAAAUACGGCACUCUCCAGGCAAAAAGCGAAAGCAAAAUGGAGACAAAGAUGACAUAUCAACGCAGAUUUUCCAUAAUUUUGAUAUUUCAAAAUCUACAUUAUGUACAGUAAGACACUGUCGACCCUGAUAGCCAAACUUGUCGAUCAAAAUCAAAAGACCUAGAGAAGAAAACUUCAACUAAACUCUAUAACUUCCCUCAGCAACUUUGUCGGUAGCAGCCGAUCCGGAGACACCAGCAGCCUCACCGAGAAGUUCCUUGCUGGGAGCUCCUCGUCUGACUCCCAGCUUCGAUCGUCCUCGAAGUUGAGUGCGUAGCUCAUUGGAUCGUACCCGAACUCCGAGGCCGGAGUUUCCUGCACUUGUCCCUCAUCUCCGGCAGUGGGAGCUCCUGAGCAGUGAAAAGCAGCCACUAGCCGGGCUACCAAGCUGCCUUGCGGCGGUUGACACUCUUAAAACACAGGCAAAUUGCAAAAUUGAACAAAUGUGUCCUUUCGCUAGUGCUAAGUGCGCCAAAAUCGCAUACCCGCACGCGGGUAUGGUGGGGUCUAGCUUCACCCAAUCAUUCAUUUAGCUGCACAAAGGAAAUCCCACACUUAUUAAUUAGCAUACUUCCUCCCACUUUUCUUAUGUGGGACAAAGAAAACGCACUUAAUUUGUUUUACAAACAAAUCUCCAACAAAAGAGAGAGGGAGAGCGCACGAUGCAGUCAGAGUCUGGUCUGGUCUGUGUGAGACUGAAGAGAGUAAAGAGAGUGGAUGGUGAUGAGGAAGAAGAUGGAGAAGAGGCUGAGUUGGUGGGUUUUAAUAGGGUGGACGGAGAAGGACACGGCCGAGGGGCGGGGGCGAGCAGCAAAGCAGAGCAGUGUGAGUCGGUUGUUUUUUGUCAAUCCGGCGUGAGGUUUCCAAUUUACCUCUCUUAACUUUCUUGUUGGGCAGUUUGGUAAUUAAGUAAAAGUCGAGGGAUCUUCUUUUUGGUUUUGCAAAAGUAGAAUUAGAUUAACAUUUUAUGGGUGGGUUGCGGGCAGAUAGGGAGAGAGAAGGGAUAUUUAUUUUCCUCUUUUUUGGGGGGUGGGGGUGUGGGGGGCACGGUUGAUUAUAUGAAAUUGCAGAAUUGAUAAACCUUGGAAUGUGAUGGACAUGAUUAAGUUCCAGGAAGAAAAUCAAAGGGGGCAUAACGGUAUUCCAUGAUUGUAUAGUGACAUUUUAAUUUCAAGACUAUUUUUAUCGAUUUACAUGAAAAUUUCGAAAUUAUUUGAUAGACUAGACAAGUAUAUCUUUAAAGUAAGGCUAUAAAAGAUAGAGGAUUAGGAUGUUCAUUUUUAUUUUUAUUUUCACGUGAUAUCAAAAUACAAUAUCCAAAUCUUUGAAUCCCUCUAUCACCUCCCACAUUGCAAUCGCUUUUCACUUAUAUAUAGCCAAAUACUGAUUUUAAAUUGUGCUGACGUAUUUGAUUUAAGCUUUUACACAUCUCAAUCGUCCGUCUUCUCGAGGACAUACACCUCUAUGUUGACGCGGUGCAUGUAUGAUUAUACCAUGUUCUCUCAACAAAAGUUGAGCGCAAGAACAUAGGAGAGGAGCAAACCACCUUACUAUCUAAGUCAACACUUAAUUAGUGUGUCAUUGCAUCUUUUAAACAUGAGCAAAAAGUGAUCCUCAGCUUGAGAAAGCAUGUUACAUAAAUCGGUCUACAUACAUAGAUAAAUUGUUCGAUUGGGGGUUCAACCUGAGUUACUCCGAUAAUGGAAGUUCGAAAGAAUGAAAAGCUUUAUUCCCUUCAUGCCCUUGCACUGAUCUCCGCUUACCUCAUGCACGUAAGGACUAAGCUUCUUCGCUGCUCUGUCCUGCGACAAUCUAGCUGCAUCUGCGACGCUGAAGCUUCUGUCCCGACGUUGCUGCUCCCUUUGAGGCGACGUCUAGACUCGUUGCUCCCUCAUUGGCCCAAUUGGCUUGACUGAGCACCUGCACGACCAUCGUGAUAUACUUCAUCUGUCCUGGUGCUACUUGCCCGUGCUGAUUGCCAGCAGAUCCACGGCCUCUUCUCACUACACCGCUGACGAGCCGCGAGCCUCUAACCGAUGGUCCUUGCUACGAGCCUUCAACAAUGGAUCACCCCGCGAGUAGUUGCUGCUUCUCGCUCCACAACGGCGCUGUAUUCCAGUUUGCCGUCCACCUGGUACCGCCGUCCGUUGCACCUCCAACACCACCCACCCAACAGCAUCAGCGCUAGCCACGCUUCAGUCCCAUGAAUUUUCUUUUCCUGCGGGUAUCCAGCGCCGCUGACCAUCCAGUGACACCCAGCAUCUCCUGCACUAGUUCCAAGUCCACCGCAGCUGAGCCAAGACAAAAAGAAAGAGGUGAUCUUGAACGGAGUGGAAGAAUGUUAAUUUGUGAUCCAAUUCUAGAAACUUCAAGAUAGAUUUGAACUAGAAAAAUCAAGAAAAAUUCUAGAAGAGUCUACAAGCUACCAUCUCUUAUGUGUUCGAGAAGUUUCAUCUUAUGUUACUAUAAAAUAAUAGUAGUUAUUUGUAGAGAAGUCUAGAGACUUCCUCCACCAACUUUGGCAGCUAUAUAAAGGAGCAAGUGCUCCAUGUUUUGUGUGGGAGCUAACCAUAAAAACCACCUUCCUCACCAACAUCUCCUUCAACUAUUGUAAAAUUAAUUUCAUAAACUAGUGAAACUAUCUUUGUCCCAUAAACAUUCUCAAAAUUUCCUAUCAUUGUCCAUUCUCUAUCAAAUAUAAACUAUACAUGCUUCCACGUACAUUUAAAUUCUAACAUGGUAUCAGAGCCAGGUUACGCCUAGGUUCGUAACUGAGCCAAGCGUAAGGGAUCAUGAAGCCAGAACCAGGCAUAUUGGAUGGUUAUGGGUGUUUGUCCUCACCAUCCUCAACUAAAAAGGCCAGAGCCUGAGCGAGAGCCAAGAGAGUCGGAGCCGGAGCCAGAGCCAGAAUCAAAGCCGGAGCCAGAGUCAGAAUCAAAGCCGGAGCCAGAGCCAAGCCUACGAGAGCCAGAGCCCGAGCCCGAGCUAACAACUACAACUAAGAACAAUUUGAUGCCCCGAGACAUAUGGGUCAUCGUUGAAGAAAAGACAUGCGCAUUCGAAGGCAAGUGCAAAUGUUCCGACAAGAGAAUGCAAGAUCGUGGAACGAAGACGGAAUAAAAGGCAUGGACAAAUUACAAGAGAAAUUUCAAGGUACGUCCAAGGCUUUAUAACACAAGUCCAGAGUAUCCCAAAAUUGGAUAAGGGGGAGUGUUGGAAUUUGUGAUCCAAUUCUAGAAACUUUAAGAUAGAUUUGAACUAGAAAAAUCAAGAAAAAUUCUAGAAGAGUCUACAAGCUACCAUCUCUUAUGUGUUCCGGAAGUUUCAUCUUAUGUUACUAUAAAAUAAUAGUAGCUAUUUAUAGAGAAGUCUAGAGGCUUCCUCCACCAACAUUGGCAGCUAUAUAAAGGAGCAAGUGCUCCAUGUUUUGUGUGGGAGCUAACCAUAAAAACCACAUUAUGUAGCUUCCUUACCAACAUCUCCUUCAAUUAUUGUAAUAUUAUUUUUAUAAACUAGUGAAACUAUCUUUGUCCCAUAAACCUUCUCAAAAUUUCCUAUCCUUAUCCAUUCUCUAUCAAAUAUAAACUAUACCAUGCUUCCACGCACAUUUAAAUUCUAACAAAGAAAAUAAAAGCGCUGGUCAAAGUGGAGAAAAGAAAAAUUGAAACGGAGAAAGAUUUAUUCCAUCAUUUGCAAACAAUAUCAACGCCCCCACUUUCCUGAAUACACGAUGCGGAGAGAAUACAAAGAAAGGGGAGAUUUUGGAAAUUCACUCCUUGGGUGCUCGUUCCUCACGUUUUCCCGAGAGUCACUACCUAACUGAGCCGAGCCGGAUCACGAAUCACCUGCCGAACCACCACCGCAACCAUCCUUUGCCAUCAAGCACAACCACGAGUAGCCUUGAUGCGAGCCUCACCCACAAGCCGCCUUCGAACAAGUUUGAAUUUGGAUUGCUCACUUCAAAUUAGGUAAUGAUCUUAUCCUAUUUGAUUUAAAUAUUUAAUUACAAAUUUUGGAUUGAUUUCGGCAUCUAAUUGUGCUAUUUGAGAUUUUAAUCAUCAUUCGAUAGGAUUUCAUUGACAAAAAUUAAAUAUAAUCAUUAAUUUGAGCCGUGAAAUGAUGGAUCUUUCUUUCUUUCUUUCUUUCUUUCUUUUUUAAAUUUUGUUUCCAAGCUAGUAAGUGCCUUAUAAGACGUGAGACAACAAAUUAUUUAUUUGAAUAUCAUAUUUAAACCCUGUGGAUAUCCUAGAUGAUUAAUAAGAUAGCCAACUUUAAUGAAUGUACAAUAAAUGAAAAUCACAUGUUCGAAUAUAUGGUUUUUUAAUAUGAUAUUGCCUAAUUUUAAAUAGAUUGCAUGUCAAGAUUGAUUCUAAAAAAAUAAAUCAGAAUAUAUUCUAGAUAUGAAUUUUCUUUAAUAAAUAGGAUUUAUUUAGAUAAUAUUGCAUAUUUAAAAUGGUCUUCUAAGAUAGGACAAUGUUUAGGUUAACCUAUUCACUAAUCUAUACACUGGAUAAUAACUUAUUUAAGAUCAAUUAAUUAGGAAAUUUAUCUACUUCAAAUUUUAAUAAAAAUACCAAAAUAUCAUAUGCAUGUCAUGUAGUUUAGGCCAUUUUAUAUUGCUAUGUCAUAUGUGUGUCAUGUUAGGUUCAUUUAAUUGGAAAUUGUAUGCCAUUAGAACUAGGUCAUGUAGUUAAGUGAACUUGCAUGUUACAUAGCCUAGUUUUAAUUUCACAAAUAAAAAGAAAGCUAAAAAAUAAGUGCUUGCUAUGGUAUUUAUUUUCCUGCAAUUUCUUUAUCUAUCGGUUGUUAUCUUUAAUGUUUGUGCACCCGCACUAACACUAGAUUAAAAUUAAUCUAAACUGUCUCACAAUUUAGUAUUUAGUUCUAAAAUUUUUAAUUAGAGUAAUUUAAUAUUAAAAUUUUCUACAUUAAUAUUAAUUGAGUCCAAUUGAUCAAUUUUUUGUUGGAAAUAAUUGAUGUUGACACUAGCCGUCUUAUGUGACAUGAUUGGUACUAACAUAGAUAGUUUUAAUAAUACUUUGAUAUUUUUUGAAAUUUUUUCUUUUAUUUUGGUGUAUUUCUUUUGUUGUUUUUUCACUUUUUUUUUAAGAUAACCUCUGGUUUCCCAUCAGUGCUGCUGAAGCGGCAGAUAGGGAAGAUGGUGUAGGUUUCUUCACCUCCGAAUCCUUCUUCUUUGUCUACUUUUUUCUCAACCUUCUCUCCUGCAAGACCGUUUCGAAUCAACGAAUUCAAACAAAAUCCACAGGACUGCUGUCAAAUUAAUGAUUAACGGAAGUGAACCGGCGUGUUUGGUAACGUUUGUAUUUCAAGGAAUAAUUUUUUAAUAGAAAUAGUUUUUAUUUUUUCUAUUACCAGGAACAAUUUUUGAAUAUAAGAAUACGCUUGGUAAGUGCAAAAAAAUUUCUAUUCCAGGAAUAAAAAUGUGUUUAAUAAACUUGUUUAAUUUUAUUGUUUCUUUUAAUUUUUAAAUAUUUUUAUUAUAUUUUUCCUUUUUUCUUUUUUUUUCCUUAUUUCUCUUUGUGGCCGGUCGCCAGCCAUGGCGGCGGCCAGCUACCGACGACCAGUUGGGUGAGCUCUGACGAGCUUGCCGGAGCCUCGCCAGGCCACCACAAGGCUUAGCCUCGCUAGAUCUGGGCGAGGCCGAGCCUCGCCGGUAGCUUUGGUGGCCAGGAUAGCCUCGUGCCGCCUAGGAGAGGCUCAACCUCGCCUAGGCGGCACGAGGUCGGCCUCGCCAGAUCUGGGUGAGGUCUUUUUUUUUCCCCAGAAAAAAAGAACAAAAAUUUUUGUUCCGCGGAACAGAAACAAUUUUAAACAAAUAGGGCUUAAGCAUCCGGAGUUUUGACCUUCCAAUUCUUCAUUGGAGGAUCAAUCAGGGUCCAGCUCUAUUCCAGUCCUCUUCCUCGCCAAUAGUCACAGUGUUUUCAGUUCUCUGUGAUAGAGAAAAGUAGUAUUUUAAAAUGUGGAUAUGAAAAAAGAAAGACGCGAAAAGACAUCGAGAAAGUUGGAAGUACUGUAUCUAUGGUCAAAUUUAAAAACCACGAAAGAUUGUUCCAAGCGAUUGUUAGGUUACUUGCUUCUAUGUAAAUGUUUUUUUUUUUUUUGGGUCAAAAUAAGAUAUGUAUAGAUUUUUCCGAAAAGAAUACAAGAAGGAGGCCUGGCAUCUACAAAAGACAGACACUCAAAAAGACAAAAGUCAAAGAAGAGUGUAAGGGUACUGUGGUUCCCAAACGAGACCAACUGGUAAAAACCAACAAAAGAAGCAAAGGACCACCAAACAAACGCUAGAGACAUCUAUCAAUCAAAGAGAGACGGAUGUAAAUCCCAGCUCUGUUGAAGUCUUCUAUUCUUGGGAAUGUCAGGAUCAUGCUUAAAGGUCACCGCCUUGUCUUUAAUAGCCUUAAGGAGGUGCAUCUUCAUCGCCGGGAGAAAGAGGGCCUAAUUACGAAAUAAGAUAUUGUUGCGCUGAUAUAACAAAGAGCUCCAAAGCCAAAACGAGCCAAAGACUAGUGAAAGCUACUAUCAGGGGAGAAUUACCAAAAAAGUCGUAAACCUAUUGCAAUUGCGCCAAUUUAUUCCUAAACUUUUUUUUUUGGUCAAUUUAAUCCUAAACCUUUUACAAUUGUGCAAAUUCAGUCCAUCCGGCCAAAAUUGGCCAGCCGGCGCUAACGUGGACGCCGGCCGGCCAAAGGCGAGGGCCGGCGAGGUCGUCCUCGCUGAUUACUGGAAAGACAAGCCCUACCCGACCUGGGCGAGGCGAAGUCUUGCUACAUCUAGNNNNNNNNNNNNNNNNNNNNNNNNNNNNNNNNNNNNNNNNNNNNNNNNNNNNNNNNNNNNNNNNNNNNNNNNNNNNNNNNNNNNNNNNNNNNNNNNNNNNNNNNNNNNNNNNNNNNNNNNNNNNNNNNNNNNNNNNNNNNNNNNNNNNNNNNNNNNNNNNNNNNNNNNNNNNNNNNNNNNNNNNNNNNNNNNNNNNNNNNNNNNNNNNNNNNNNNNNNNNNNNNNNNNNNNNNNNNNNNNNNNNNNNNNNNNNNNNNNNNNNNNNNNNNNNNNNNNNNNNNNNNNNNNNNNNNNNNNNNNNNNNNNNNNNNNNNNNNNNNNNNNNNNNNNNNNNNNNNNNNNNNNNNNNNNNNNNNNNNNNNNNNNNNNNNNNNNNNNNNNNNNNNNNNNNNNNNNNNNNNGGCUCGACCUCGCCAUGGCUGGGCGAGGCCGAGCCUCGCCUUGGCUGAGCGAUGGCGGCCUUGCCGUCGUUGGGCAAGGCUCGCCCCCGCCGGCCACUGGCGAAGGCAAGCCUCGUCCAGCGACGGCAAGGCCGCCGUCGCUAGAUCUGGCGAGGCUCGACCUCGCCAUGGCUGGGCGAGGCCGAGCCUCACCUUGGUUGGGCGACGGCGGCCUCGCCGUCGCUGGGCGAGACUCGCCUUCGCUAGUGGCCGACGAGGCUGACCUCGCCGGCCCUCGCCUCUGGUCGGCCAACUAGCGCCGGCCAAAGGAAGAAGAAGACAGGAAGAAAAAAAAAAUUAAAAAAUCGAAAAAAAUAAAAUUAAAUUAUUAAAAAAUCGUUCGCCGGUCGGCCGGUGUCCACGUCAGCGUCGGCCGGCCAAUUUUGGCCGGUUGGACUGAAUUGGCACAAUUGUAAAAGAUUUAGGACUAAGUUGGCCAAAAAAAAAGUUUAGGACUGAAUUGGCACAAUUGCAAUAGGUUUAGGACUUUUUUGGUAAUUCUCCCCUACUAUCAGUGAUAUGUUUGGUAGCCCAAUCAAGAUUCUCCAUCCAAGGCUUAUUAAGCCAAGCAAAAAGAAGCAAGACUACCAUAGAUGUGGCAAGCAAAAAACAAAUGAUCUAUGGAGUUCAGUCGACAAGAGCAAAGGGGGCACAUUGCAGCCGUAAUUCUACUAUAAGAUAAGAGCAAAACCUGAGUUGGUAGGCGGUUACAUGUGAUAAGCCACAGAUGUGUUUGAUAGUGAGGAGGCAAACAUGAGCUCCAAACGAAUGAGGACCAAGAAACCACAUAACCCCUAGAGCGAAUUAGAUCCCUAGUCGAAGCCGUUGAGAAUCUCCCGAAAGGGUGUCGAAGCCAUUGAAAACGGUCUUCUUCUUGGCUAAAAACUAGAAGAGGAUCUCCCCAGUUUGCUAUAAUAUUGAGGACAUACCAACCCAUAGGAGUAGAAAAUCCAUCGGCAACCGAAGCUAGCUGCAAAAUACCCGACCGGUAAAUUUCCUGGUUGGAAAAAAUUCUAUAGAGGGGACCAUUUGGAUGCCAAGGGUCAAACCAAAAGGAGACCGAGUGUCCAUUCCCAAUAAUCCACUUGAAGUGUUGGUAAAAAUGCUCAUGAAGAUCCAAGAUUUUUUUCCAAGCCCAAGAGCACUGUUUAGGCCAUGGAACAAUCCAAAAGUUCUUCUAUUUUAAAAAGGUGGAAUGAAUCCAUUUGCACCAUAGGGACUCCUUAUCAGAAAAGAGUAGCCAAAUGUGUUUGAGCAUGGAAGUUAUAUUACUUUUUCUCAAAGUACGAAUACCAAGGCCGCCUCCUUUUUUAGGUAGACAAACAUCACUCCAAGACACCUUAGCACCACCCACACCCAACAUCAAACCUUUCCAAAGAAAUUGCCGAAGUAUUUGUUCAAUGCAAUUAAGGACCGCACAAGGUAGAAAGAAAACAUUGGCCCAAUAAACUUGGAUGAAAUGCAACACUGACCCGAUAAGUUGCAAGCGUCCCACAAAUGAUAGGAAACGAUGAGUCCAUGAUUGAAUUCUAGCAAUAAUAGCAUUCACCAAAGUGACACACUUUGCCUUUCCUAAUCUGGAAGAAAUAACAGGCACUCCAAGAUACUGAAAAGGCAGGGAGCCCAAUUGGUAACCCAACUUAUUCAAGAUAUUAUCACAAAGAGUGGAAGAGCCUCCAGAUAAGAAGACUUCACUUUUUCUCAGGUUUGGAAUAAGGCCACUCCAACUAAAAAAAUAUAUGUCUCUGCUUUUAAAAGAUCAAUAGAAGCCAAGCUAGCUUCUACAAAGAGUAGCACAUCAUCUGCAAAGAAAAGAUGAGAGAGCUUGGAAGACUUACAACGCCAAAAGAACCUGAAGGCUAGUUGGCUGGUUUGAAAAUCCAAUAAGCCCGUAAAGAUUUCCAUAACAAGUGUAAAGAUGUAUGGAGACAUUGGAUCACCUUGCCGGAUGCCCCUACUGCUAGAAAGAAUCCAUGGAGUUCCCCAUUCAAGGAUAUUGAAAAUUUAGGAGAACGGAUGCAGACCAUAAUGCGAGCAAUAAACUCCAGGGGAAAGCCAAAAGCUUGUAGAGUUAACUCAAUGAAAUCCUAGUCCACCGUAUCGUAGGCUUUCUGAAAAUCAACUUUAAUAACACAUUUUGGCCGGUAAGGCUUAAGAUGGAAGCCACAAAAAAGCUCCUGAGCUAACAAGAUGUUGUCACUAAUAUGUCUGUCUUUAACAAACGCAUUUUGAGGCAAGCUAAUGAUAGAGGGCAUCACAUGAGAGAUACAGUUGGCAAUUAACUUCAUGAUGCAUUUGUAAAUAGUGUUGCAACAAGCAAUAGGUUGAAAAUCAUUAACAUCAGAGUUAUUGGGGAUCUUGGGAACCAAGGCCAAGAUAGUAGUAUAUAUCUCCCGCAACAACUUGCCAAUCACGAAGAAAUCUUUAACCGCCAUAAUAACCGAGGGACCAACAAUUCCCCAAGAGCGCUUGAAGAAUUCUACAUUAAAGCCAUUGGAGCUAGGGGCUUUGCCCACUACAAGCGAGAAAAGAGUAUCUCGAAUCUCCAAAUCAGAGAUAGGGCUGGAGAGAAAAUGCACUUGGUCUUCAUCAAGGGUCCGCUUUAAGACAGCCCUAAUCUCCUCCAUAGUGGGCCGACCAGAGGGAGAAGAUGCCGCCAGUAGAUCAUGAAAUGUGAGACAAGCAAGUGUUGCACCUCAGUAGGGUCGGAGGUAAUACUAUCGCCACUGGACAACGAGAUAAUCCUAUUACAAAGGUGUCUUCGAUUUACUGAGUGAUGAAAAAAUUUGGUGUUGAGAUCGCCUUCUUUCAACCAACAGACCCUUGAUUUUUGCCUAUAAAAAUAUUCUUCUUGUAGGCACAAAUCAGAGAAUCUCUUAAGUUGAAUCUUCUUAUUUUCAGCCAGUUGUAGAUUCAAUGGAUCACAAUGCAGGGCAUCUUGAGUUUCGCAUAAAAGGUGCCUCGCUUCAGCUGUUCUAGAGGAGAUGUCUAAGAAGGACUCUUUGUUUAGUUGUUUUAGCCUGCAUUUAAGAAGACGCAAUUUGCAGCAGAGUAUGUACAUUGGCGUCCCACUCAAGGGAGAGUCCCAUACUUGAGCAACCAAGCUGAAAAAGUUCAGGUGAGUUGUCCAAAAGUUGAAAAACUUAAAGGGCUUGCAAAUCUUAAGAGCAAACAUAAUUUUAAUAACCAUUGGCUAGUGAUCCGAAAUUCCAGGGGCCAAAAUUUUAUUUUUUGGAAAAAAGAGAACUCAGCAUUCCAGAGAGAAUUCACUAGAACUCUAUCUAUUUUUCUUUGCUUGUGAUUAAGUCCCGAAGAAGUAGCCCAUGUAAACCUAUGGCCAAUGUACCUAAGAUCAUUGAGACCUGCUUCAAAGAGGCAAUGACGAAACUCAUCAAACGCCGGAAUCCAAGCAUUAGAGCUCCUCAACCUGUCAGAGUAGUCCCGAAUAGCAUUGAAAUCACCUGCUAGAAUCCAAGGCAAGCUCGCAAAAAGAGAGCUAGAUUGAAUAAGGUCAGCCCACAGAGGACGUCUCAACACAAAGCUAUGUUCCGCAUAAACCACGGUGAAUAAGAAGACUUUGCCCGAUGCCAACCAAGAAAGCCGACCAUGCACCGCUUGUGCUGAAGAAGAGGUUACAACGAAGGAAACCACCAAGGGGUUCCACCCCACCCAAAUUCUUCCCCUAUGGGAAUAAUCAUAGUUGCUAUACCAAAUCCAACCCGGCAACAAAGUAGCAAAGAUCAAAUUGAAUGCCGAUUGGGAGAUUUUAGUUUCAACAAUCCCAACAUAGUUCAAGUUGUUGGUUCUAACAAAAUUCCUUACUUCUGUCCGUUUUAGGGGGUUGCCUAGGCCCCUAAUAUUCCACGCUCCUAUGUACAUAUAAGAAUAUGAAUAUAUAGACAAAAGAGGAAGGAGUUACUGACGCUUUGGAAGGCGUCUCCGACUGGUCCCCUGCUUUUAUGUAAAUGUUUAACCCAGCUCUUUGGAAGAAUCUAAUUCUGUUUUAGGACUUGACAGGAGGAAGACAAGGCAAAGCUAGUGCAGGAAACCAGCCUACAAUUAAAGCAGAUGAAUAAUUGGUUCAUCAACCGGAGGCAAAGAAACUGGCACAGCAACCCUUCAUCAUCAUCCGUCUCAAAGAGCAAACGCAAAAGGUACCUCAAAAUAGACAUCACCUCGUUAAUGCGAAGCUUCCUUGAUAUUAUGUUUCUUUGCAUGCUAAGUUUGAAGAACUUCUGCAGGUGAAAGCAGCAGCUAUUGAUCCCUUGAUGUGGAUUUGAGCAAGAGCAACGAUCAAAUUCUGACAGACAAUAUUCAGCGCUUCACUAGAAUGGAUACUUAAAGAGUUAAGAUAAGGAACAUUGGCCAGUGGCCUCAUACAAAGCUUCAUCAAACAGGAACAUUUGGAAGAUGACUUUGGUUCUAGGAAAAAAAAAUUAUGUUAGCGAAGAGGACAGCUCUCGCCUUGUGACAGGAAUUUUGAAGAUAGUCAAUUAACCAUAGAUGCGGUCGUGAUUAUUGAGGGGGUACUGAGCUAGGAGAUUACACAUUUAGAACUAGAAGUAAUAUCAUACGGUUUCAUUGUCUCUACUGCUUGUCCACUUUACAUUUUGUGAAUACAUAAGCCUAGUUAGGUAUUGUGUACAAUUGGUAUAAUGAUCUGUAUGUAGUUCCUCUCCAUUCUCCAUGCUGGUGACAUUUAUAGCUUUCCUUGGCUCUCCAAUGUAGUGUAGAUUUACUGUGAGAGUAACAUACAUUUUGUACACUGUUAGGUUACUGGGUUUGGAUUGCUACUAGGGAUAAUGACUGAUUAUGGUCAUAGAUAGGAUCAUUUGCCUGAAAUUCUAUGGCAUAUUACAACCUCAAAAAUUGUCGCCAGUUCUUGUGAUGAUUUAGCCACUUCAUUGUCACAGCUCUAUAUUUAAUUAAUUAUGAAUAAUUGUACAUUAAGCUGGUGUAGCUGAAAAGUUCUGUUCAUAUCCCUCUUCUUCUAUGUAACAAAAAACAACUUUAUCACGCCAAAUUCUGUCUAUCCUGAACUCCUACACAUUGAGCGAUCACCUCUGGUGUGGCUCAUGUUGCAUACAAAGUUCCGUUUCUUGAUAAACUGAGAUUUGAAUAGGAGGAAACGGUCCUGGGGUCAGUCCAGGUGCAAACUUAAAAGAUAACCGUUUGAGCUUGUCUUUAGUGAAUCUAGAAGAAAAAGGCUAUGCUUCACAAUAAUCACCAAAAAUUUCCUCAGCUUUUCUUCAAGAUGACCUAUGACAAAGAAUUGAAAAUUUGUUUCGGCCGGUCAACUCCAAGUCAGCUGAUGAUUGGCAGAAUGAAUCCGAUAAAGAAAAAUGCAUAAAAAAAGAUGAACAUUGAAUUUUCUAAUGCAACUUGGGCAUAUAAAAAUUUUAUAUCAUUUGAACCACCAUUUUGUCCUGAUAUACCAAAUAUUUAUGAUGAACUGUUUGAUGAUUUCUCUAUUAUUGUGUAGGUCAUUUUGUAUCUUUUUGGCACCGUGCUUCACUAUUCUCAUCAUUAACUUCUUGGCAAACAUACCAUACACGUUGUUAUAUAAUCCACAAAAUCAGUGGAUAUCCAAAUUUAGGAUCUUCUAACGUUUCUGCUAACCUACCCUCAAUUUUUGAACUAGAUAACUGCAAUUCCUUUUCUUUUUUUUUCUUUUUUUUUUUUUAUUAUUAUUAUUUUUUUUUUUUUGCUCUUAGACAUCGUUAAACAGCUCGGUGGUUUACACAGAGAAUCACAUUAUCUUGACCUCAUCUUGAAAUCCAACAUUUGAAACCUUGACCUCUCCUAUUUAAAAAAAAAAAAGGAGAUAUGCUAGUGCAAUUUACAGAUGUUUUUCAUGAAAUUAAUGCUUCUUGUCAAGUGUAGCGAACUUUAUUGUCUAACCAUAGAUGCAGACAUAAGAACUUUAUUGUCACAUAGCUUCCCAGUGUGGCCAAUGAUUACAAGAACAACAAAAGUUUGGUGUUUUCCCAGUUGGCGUGCCAAACAAGCAAUAGGUUUCGCAUUGGUCUGUCAUUUGGACGAAGGCCAAUCUAUGUAUUUGCUGCCACACCUGCAGUUCACGAAAACAGAGGUCCUCCUGUCUCCUCCGAGCAGGUCUAUGCAAUUUCCCAUGAUCGAUCGACUCUCUCUGCUUGGUGCCAAUCCAUGGAACGUGACCAACUACAUGUUCUCAUUUUGAGGGGUUACAGUAUCCCACACAGACCAGCCCAGGCUAUCCUUAAGACAUCAGCUACGCAGCUUGACUCAAGCACUUCUCCGACAAAAUCCUUUCAAUCAAAACCAUCUCAGCCUCCUCCUCAUCAGCUUGCUCCAAAACCGAAUGAUCCCCCAGAAGAUUGUCUGACAGAUAUGCUUGCGAGGUUAGGAGAACCCCUGCAGGAUCCUGUAACGAUAAAAAAGAAAUAGAGUAGCUGAGAAUCAACUAAGGAAAGUCAUCAAACAGUUGAUAAGGGCAAUGUGUAGUGAUAGGAAAAUUGAAAACUAAUGCGACGAACCAAUGCCAAAGAGACUUACUAAAAUAGAAAGCAGAUGGCAAUAACUAAUGAUGAUAGAGAGCGAAUAUAAGGAUUACGGAUUAUCGAGAAGAAUGGGGGGUGACGAUCGUGGAGGAAUGUAGGUGAAAGAAAACAUCAUUGUGAUGUAGGGAAAGCUCUCGACAAAGAGAGAGAAGCUCUCACAUAGGGGAGAGACACAAAUCUAUGUACAUCUUCCUGAAGAGAACUUGAUGUCCCAUUCUUUUUGGAGCAUAAAUGCUAGAAAGUUAAACAUAUCAAGAUAAGAGAAAAACGGUUCUUGUAAUUUCCAGCUUAAAGAAGAUCUGUUAGUAAAAUCUCCUGAUUUAAAUUACAUAAAUGUACUUAUGUGCAAUCAAUCUUGAGCUUUAGUGGCUGAAAAAUCAAUCUUGAGCUUCACUCUUUUAAUGCCAAUGAUCUUCCAUUAUUUUUGCACUGUUCUACUUCAAAGCAGGGUCGCACGACGUCGUCAACAUGUCAAAUGGUGAUAACAAUAACUGCCACAGUACUUCUAUGUUCAAAGACUAACCAACGGACCAGCCAACUUUUCCCUCUACGGCGCCUGCAAGUAUUACUUUGUCUACACCUUUGCAAACAGCGAUCGUUGCUCUCAGGGCCAAAAAUUACCUGUCACCGUCGGUGAAACUUCCGCCACCCCAACCUCCAGUCCAACUAGAUCCCUAUAGCUACCAGCCCCAACCACUAGGACCACUCCAUCUCUACCACCACCUGGAAGUGACGCUUCAUAUAUGUGUAACACUGCUAGUCCUGUUCAUGAGUGUAUUAAACAUAAAAUCAUUAUUCUACUGGAUAUAGAUGGACUAUUGAUAGAUCAUGAGAUGUUGCUACUCGUCAUAAAGUGAAUAACUUGUGAAAAAACUUCUUCUCAUAAUUCCAGCAUGCUUCAUAUAGAUAACAUUGCUCAAACUUGUAAUAAAUCAUAAGUUUCUUUGGAAUAAAUAUAUGGUUCUGCUCCCAUAUUCUGAUGUUUGGCUCUAUUUGCAGUUCUGAUAUCAUGAAAACCAAGAUUAUUAGAAAAAUUAGAAUGUGGCAGGAUACAAAAACUUGCAUACUGAAAAGUUGAAAUAGAGCAUCAGUAGAACAAAUCCUCAUUGGUGUAGCUAAAAGUCCCACCAUUGGAAUGACAAAUGAGUAGAAGAGUAAAUCACACGGUGACAGGGAAAAUGGUGUGAAUCUUGUGAGGAUCAAACUCAACACAAACAUUCGAUCGAGAACUUAAAAUGACAAUGAAACUAUCAACUCUCUCUUGCAGCCAUGCAGCAGAUACCGCUGAAUUGUGGUGAUCCAGAGUGCCACAAGUCCAGCAGCAUGACCGCUCUCCUUUGCCAAUGUGAUUUUGUACUUUCCCUCCAGAAGCUUCCUUAAUAAUCGACAUGUCAAUCAUUAAAUUAGUUCAAGCAAUCAUAUGAGAACAGACAAAAGAGAAAAUUACAUUUGCAAUAUGCAAGAACAAUAAAAACCCCAAUUUAAGCAAUCAGGAAAAGCAAGCAAAUUGACAUCAUUUCUAAGUGCGGGAUUUCAAUCGUCCACCUUAAGAAGCUGAGAUGACUAUGGUAAAGGGAUUUUCUGAAAGAGCUGCUUGUUCUUUCAACGUUUUGUAAUUUCCACCUAAUCGACAUCAAGUUAAAAAAAAAAACGUAAAUUAUAAACCAGUGUGCCUCAACUAAAGAUAAAAGUUUAACUCGCCAUGGAAACAAAACAAACAUGUCAUUGAUGACCUACGAUCAAGCAGAACAGCCUUCAGAUACAAAACUUAAAAAGUGAUUAUUAAUCUAAAAGUCUGGUUCCCGAUAUCAUGUUGAGAUUGAGCAAUCGUAGUGGAUGCAGAUGACAAAUUAUUUUCUAGGGGCACUCUUAUGAUAUAGUCCUCCUACAAGGGCUGCCAGUUACAUUCCUCCCAUGAUAGAGAGAAAGAAUUCAUUCCAACUAAGAAACAUGAAUCACUCAGUAAUCUAUAAAAAAUAAUCACUCACAGAUGAAUUACCAGGAUUGCCAGCUUCAUUCAUGAUUUUAUCAAGUCUAAGAUUUUGCCUUACUAGGGGACCAGGAUUGUCUCAAAUAUCGAACUAUCACCAGAAUGUGAUCUCAUGAAAACCUGACAUGACAACUGCUCAUAUUCUAUAUAAGAAAAGCUCAACACAAUUUAGAUAUUCGCUUUAGCGACUUGCAUCUAGAAAUGUCUAAAGCUUGCGGAGCUCCUAGUCUCCAAGCCCUCGGGGCUCAAUUAGUUUGUUGCAGUCUCAUACGACAAUUGACAAGCAUCAUGAAAUCUCUAUAUUUUAUAGGUAUCUCGAACCUGUGAGUCCUGGGAUGUCUGAUAGCUCCCAACAAGCUGUCACUAACAAGUUCCUUAAAUCUUCAGAUUUCAACGCCAGGGAAUUUUGCUAAAGCUUGCAUCCUUGAAUACACAAACUUUUGCAGGAUGAGAAUACCUUCAAGCUUUGAAUGUCAUGUAGCUUUUUCACAGUGGUUGAUGUUUCAACCUUUGUUUUCAAGCACAAUAGAUCCGAUAAUCUUCCAAGGGAAGUGCAACCAUGAAUAUCCAAUAUUACCCCAAAAAAAUCCAGCCCGUCAAGGCCACGUUUCAACAUGAAACCCUCAAGAUUCUGAAGUUCAGCUCUAUUUGCAGUUCCAAUAUCAUGAAGAUCAAGAUAAUUAGAAAAAUUAUAACACAACAGGAGACAAAAACUUGCAUAUUGGAAAGUCAAAAUAGAGCAUCAGUAGAACAAAUCCUUAUUGGCAUAGCAAAAAAAACCCCACCAUUGGAAUGACAAAUAAGCAAAAGAGUAAAUCACGCGGUGACCGGAAAAACACUGAAUCUUUAUAGGAUCAAACUCAACACAUAAAUGGCUGAUUGAGAACUUGAAAUGACAGCGAAACUAUGAAAUCACUCUUGCAGCCUUGUAGCAUAUCAAAUUCAUGCCUAAUGAUCAGCUUGAAAGAACCCGAUGGGUUUUGGGGAUCCAGAGCACCACAAGUCCAGCAGCCUGACUGUUCUCCUUUGCCCAUGUGUUUUUGUACUUUUCCUCCAGAAGCUUCCUUAAUAAUCCACAUGUCAAUCAUCAAAUUACAUUGAGCAAUCAUAUGAGGACAAACAAAAGAAAAUUAUAGUCGCAAUAUCGCAGAACAAAAAAGAAAAAAAAAACGAUUCCAGCAAUCAUGAAAAAAAAGCAAAUUCACAUCAUUCCUGAGUGCGGGCAACAUCAUAGAACAAUAAAAAACCAAUUCAAGAAAUCAUGAAAAGCAAGCAAACUCACCUCAUUCCUGAAUGUGGGAUUUUUAGUCGUCCACCUUAAGAAACUGAGAUGACUAUGGUCAAAGGGAUUUUCUUAAAGGUCUGCUUGUUCUUUCAACGUUUUGUAUCAACCGUGUCAAUAUUGCACAUGUGCCAGUGUGCCUGCCAUCAUAAGAAUCAACAGAAGAUAAAAGUUUAGCUCGCCAUGUAAACAAAACAAGUUAUAGAUGACUUGCGAGCAAGCAGAACAACCUUCAAAUACAAAAUUUGAAAAGGGAUUAUUAAUCUAAAGUCUGGUUUGGGAUAUCAUGUUGAGAUUGAAGGGAUCAUAGAGGAUGAUAAAUGACCAAGUAUUUUCUCAAAAAGCACUCUUAUGAUCUAGUCCUCCAACAAGGGUGGACAGUUACAUUCCUUCCAUGAUCGAAAGAUUUCAUUCCAACUAAAAACAUGAAUCACUUAGUAAUGUACAAAAAAUAAUCACUCACAGAUGAUUCACCAAGAUUGCCAGCUUCAUUCAUGAUUUUAUCAUCUAAGACUUUGCCUUACUAGGGGACAGGGGUCACUCAAAUAUCGAACUAUCACCAGCAUGUGAUCUCAUGAACACUUGACAUAAGAACUGCUCUAUAUGAGGAAAGCUCAAGACAAUUCACAUGUUGGCUUGCAUCUAGAAAUGUCUAAAGCUUGUGGAGCUCCUAGCCUCCAAGCCCCCGGGGCUCAAUUAGUUUGGCGUAGUCUCGUGCGACAAUUGACUAGCAUCAUGAAAUCUAUAUACUUUAUAGGUAUCUCAAUCCUUUGAGCCCUGAGAUGUCUGAUAGUUUCCAACAAUCUGUCACUAUCAAGUUCCUUAAAUCUUCAAAUUUCCAAACAACUAGAAAUUUUGCUAACAACUUGCAUCCUUGAAUACACAAACUUUUGCAGGAUGAGAACACCUCUAGGCUUUGAAUGUCAUCUAGCUUUUCACAGUGGUUGAUGUUCAACCUUUUCAGGGUUUUUUUUUUUUUUCAGGGUUCAACCAUUUCAGGGUUUUCAAGCAUGAGAGAUCCAAUAAUCUUCCAAGGGAAGUGCAACCACGAAUAUCCAAUAUUACCCAGAAAAUCCAGUCCAUCAAGGCCACAUUUCAACUACACUCUUAAAGUUAGCAACAUGAAACCUCCCAAAUUCUUCAAACUAGAAGGUUAUCUUUCGAUGGAUGUGCAAUUAGAGAUAUCCAAUCUUACAAAUAAUCAACCUCUCAAGGCCAUGAAUUUCAACUAGAUUCCCGCAAUCUGUAGCACAAAAUCCCUUUAGAGAUUUUGAACUUGAAAGGUCUCUUUAUCUUUCAAUGGAUCGAAAAUCUGGCCAUCUUUUUAAUGGACAUUCAUUUAAAGACAUAAAACCUUCUCAAAGAUUCUACAAGUGCAUUGCCCAUUUUUCCUUUAGCGCUCUUUGUCAUAUCAUUUAGAAAAAUAGGAAUAGCAUCAUAUUCAAAGAUCAGCCUCUUACAAUCCCGGCCAUGAAGAACCAUCUCUUCAAAGUGGUCCGAGACAAGGCUGUCACCUUUAAGAACGUAGAAGAUAAUAUUAGAAAUAGAAGGUUGUAGAGAAGUUGGGGCCUAAACCCGAUUAUUUUCUCAGGGGACCCAUAGGUUGGCUACUUUGGAUCUAAUAGUGCCCUCUCUCCCCGCUUGAGGCUUGCUUGGUAGUCGGUUGUCCAUGCCGUGCUUCUCUUUCGGUGUUUGUGUUGUAGUGUGUGUGCCGCGGUUGCGGCUUUUACAUCUUGGCACACUUCCACUCCUUAUGAUCCUUCAUUUGGAGUGUAAAUUUCUAGUGACGAGAUCUUUUGUACAUUUAGCCUUUCCUCAAUAUAUUGAUUACUUUUUACCAAAUAAAAAAUAAAAAAUUUCUUAGUCUUUAAGCUGGAAAAGUUUGGAGAUCUUUUAAUAGAAGUACACCUAGAGAGAUUCAAUCUUGCCAAUAAAUAUAACCUGUAAAGACCAUGAAUUUCAACUAGAUUUCGGCAAUUUGCAGCAUGGAAUAUUUUAAUGGACGAGCAUCCAGAGAGAUAUAGAACGUUUCUAGAUAUUCUAAAUGGCUCAAAGCCUCAAACUUCGACUAAAUUCUCGCUGUAUGCAGCAUCUGAUUCUCUUAGAUUCUUUUUAAACUUGAAAGGAAAAGUAAUUGAAUGGACAUGGAACUAGAGAUAUUCAAACUUACCACGCUCUUGUGAUUGGCAACACAUGAUAGAUUUAGAUGUUUCGAACUUAAAAGGUCCUGCGAAUCUCAACUAGAUUCUCGCGACUCGCAGCAAUUUGUUUCCCGUGGAAUCUUCAAAGUUGAAGGAUCUGGUGACCCUUCGGCUCAUUUCCCACAGAGAAUUUGGGCUUGUUGCCUCUGGAGAAUCUGGGAACGCCUAAUCAAUGUCGAAGUCUAACUAAUGCCAAAACUUUUUGUGUCUGGUAGCUGUAGCCCCAACCACUAGGACCACUCCAUCUCCACCACCACCUGGAAGUGACGCUUCAUAUCUUUAACACUGCUAGUCCUGUUCAAGAGUUCAUUACACAUGAAAUCAUUAUUUCUACUAGAUAUGGGUGGACUAUUGAUAGAUCAUGUGAUGUUGCUAUCCGUCAUAAAGUGAAUAAACUUGUGAAAAUAAUGCUUCUUCUCAUAAUUCUAGCAUGAUUCAUGUAGAUAACAUUGCUCAAACUUGUAAUAGAUCAUCGGUUUCUUUGGAAUAAAUAGAUGGUUCAACUCCCAUAUUCUGAAGUUCAGCUCUAUUUACUGUUCCGGUAUCAUGAAGACCAAGAUUAUUAGAAAAAUUAGAAUGUGGCAGGAGACAAAAACCUGCAUGCUGGAAAGUCGAAAUAGAGUAUCAGUUGAACAAAUUCUCAUUGGCGUAGCUAAAAAGUCCCACGAUUGGAAUCACAAAUGAGCAGAAGCGUAAAUCACACAGUGACAGGAAAAAUGGUGUGAAUCUUGUUAGGAUCAAACUCGACACAAGCAGUCGAUCAAGAACUUGAAAUGACUAUGAAACUAUGAACUCACUCUUGCAGCCCUGCAGCAUGUCAAAUUCACACGUGAUGAUCAGCUCGAAAGAACCUGACGAAUUUAGGGAAUCCAGAGCGCCACAAGUCCAGAAUGACCGUCUUCCUUUGGCCUAUGUGUUUUUGUACUUUGCCUCCAGAAGCUUCCUUAAUAAUUGACAUGUCAAUCAUUAAAUUACUUCGAGCAAUCAUACGAGAACAAACAAAAGAUAAAACUACAGUUGCAAUAUCCCAGAACAAUAAAAACCCCAAUUCAAGCAAUCAGAAAAAGUAAGCAAAUUCAGCUUGUUCAAGCAUAGGUUUCUGCCAUCAUUUUCAUCAAAACCUCCGCACGACCACCGUAAACCACCACCUCCAUUAGUCAAUACUACCAAUACACUCCAUCUUCGACCAUCAACUAUGACAUCCUGAUUUUCAGGUUUUGUUUUCGAUUGGAUAAGUUAGGCUUUUCAUCGACGCGCCUAUAGCCAUUUUCUCUGAGUUGGCCACUCACGAGAUAAUUAGCCUAUCGGGUGAAGCCGUUAAAUGAUUUUCACAUAAUAGACUUGAGAAUUCGACUAGGAAUCGAUUGCUCGACUGUGCUAGUCAGCAAUGGUCAUAAUAGCAUUGUCAAAAUCGAUCAGAGAUCAGAGAUAGAUCAAUUUAACUGAGAUAUGUGAUAAAAGUGUGGGUUAUUCCACCCGAUUGCAAAAUUCUCAUCAAUCAGCAUUAGACCGAUUUUUCUGUCGUUUUGGGUAUCAUGUACCCGUAUUCGAAACCUGGAAAUUUUCACGACAAUCGAAAGUCGCCAAUGUGUCGAAGAUGUACAUUGUGACUCGAAAUAAAUCGAUCAUGGGUCAAUUGCGCGAAAAAUUCCUAAAAGCUACCCAGUAAGCUAGGUCAUGCUAAAAUCGCGUCAGAUUGAAAUUAAUUGCAAAAUUGGAUCCGAUUUCAGAAAUUUAAAGUUAUGUCAUGUCACAACUUAUUAUAAGACCGUCGACUCAUCCUUCAAAGAUUUUUCUGCAAACCGAGAUUUUUGGCGAAAUUUCAAUUUAGGGCUAUUUUUAUUUGGAAAAUUUAUAGGACUGUUUUUUAUUGCCCUUUGGGAUGCAAGUUAGUUCUAUUGGUGGGGAAAAAUGUUAAAUUGGUCAAUGACAUUAUAGUGGAAUUUAUGGGGAUUGAAUUGAAUACAAUUGAAGGAGAUUUGGUUCAAUUUGGGAGAAUUUGUGCCCAAAUUCGUAGGCCAUGGUCCCCCUCAACUUUUGAACCACUUGGAGAGUGUUCUAGAGAGAUUUUGGUGCACCAAUUUGGCUAAGGAUUGAGCUGAAACAUGUGGGACCUCUUCAAGGGGACAAAAGGAUAGAAUGGAAGUUUGGAGGGACCCUUUACAAGGGUAGCCGGCUUCUUCUUCUUCUUCAGCUCAGCCUACUUUCUCCAUUUUCUUUGUGUUUAAACCUCCAAAGUUGCAAAGGAAGCCGAGCCAAGCCCUCUACUGUCACAAGCCACCGUCGAGCCCCCUACCGCCACCGCUCUUUGUUGCCCGCCUGUCGCGUCGCACCUCUGCACGAGCCAUGCCUAUUAUGCUCGUCAUUCCGCCCAAUUGCGACCCUAGAUCUUUCCCUGAGCCCGUUCAAGCCCCCUCCACCAUCGCCGAAGCCGCAUGACCACCCGUCCAGCCGCCGGAAGCCCCACUCACCCACCUAGCAGCCACCUUGGUCGUUUCUAGCUCAGCCCAUCGCCUAGCUCACCCCCUCAACCCAACAAUAGAACUGAAGCCCUCAGCCAGUCGUGGUCCUUUGAGGGCCACUUUGGACCACUUCCGAGCCUCGUAAGGUGUCACUGCUAUAAAGUUUGUCGCCUGUCUCCGUGUUGCUGUUGUCGUGGACUCACCGAGUCGCAAAACUAGUGAGUUUACUCACUAAACUCUGCUUAUGGAGUUAAUUAUGCUUAAGGGUUGAUUAUUUUAGGCUAGUAUGGCUUAGGUGAUUAGUUAGAACGGAUUAGCAAUUUAAUUACUCGUCAUUGCAUGUUAGGUGGUUAGAUCAGCUUAAUUAGCAAUUAGAUAGGUUGAAUUAUUUAUCUAGAUAGGUUUGGAAAUUUUCCGAGCCCGUUUUGGUAUUUAAUUAGGCUUUUCUAGCCUAAGUCUCUAUUAAUGGUAUUUAUUUGUAUUUAUUUAAUUAAUUUUGGUAUUUAUUUAAUUAUUUAUUAUUUUUCGAAAAUUAUACCAGGAUAGCUGGUGAUUGGAAUUUCGUGCUGAUUGCAAUGGUAUGCUUGGUUUAUUUAAUUGAAUGCUAGAUUGUGCAAAUUGAGUGAAAAUUAUAAUUUUGGAUAUUUAUUCCAAAAUUGAGUAAUUUCGGUAUUUAAUUGGAAAAUACCAGGCGUCGGUUUACAGUGCCGAAAAUGUGUUUAUGGACUAUUAUAAUUAAUGGGAAUUCCUAAAAGAAAGAUAUUGAGAUUUUGGAUCGGGCCAACCAUGUACCCACACGCGAGUAUUUUAUUGGGUAUUUUCAAUGUGAUCAUUUUAUCAGCUUGAGUGAGCACAACUGAUAUAUAUAUCCAUUAUGAUCGUCUUAUCAGCUUGAGCGAGUAUGAUCAAUAUAUCUUUAUCAACUUGAGUGAGCACGAUCUAUAUUAUUUAUUAGUUUGAGGGAGCUAUCUCUCUAUAUAUCAGCUUGAGCGAGCUAAGACCAUAUAUUACAACUGUUGUGGGUAGUGGUGGUAUCAGAGGAUUGUUAUAUGGCAUUGAUUUGAUAGAUAGUACUAUUGGGUUGGAUUUGAGCUUAUUGACUAGUUGAUCGAUGGUUCGAUUUGAAUUGAGUGGAUUGGUUGAGUUCAUGAGCUAUACUAACCUGCAAGAAGGAACUAAGGCAAAGGUAUGUACUCUAUCUUGUGUGUGCAUAGGUAGCCUUUAGGCAUAUUUCCUUACUAGUUGGAGUUUAGGGGGUGAACUUGCUGAGACAUUGUAUUACCCCGUCGUGGGUUUAACUUUUCAGGUCCUUAGAUGGCGAAUCCCCCUAAGCGUUAUGGUCAGCCGAUGAGAGUCACUGGGCAAGUUUAUAAUUAUCCCGAUCCUGGAAGUUUUUGGGUCUAUGAGUUUGUAGUGACCAUUGUCUGGGUUGAAGAGCAUCCACAUCAUGUGUUCCCUCAUCGAUUCAGAGCUUGGUUUUGUUAUGGACCCAAUGGUUUUCAGCUAGGUCCCCUCCGGUGCUUUGAGAUCCCCGCUGGGAUAAUCGAUGACACUCUAGGGGAGAGUGCAGUUGACCCUCCAGAUGGUGUGGUAGAGGACCCGAUGCACCCGGUGCCCGUGGAGACUGAAGAAUCGGCGAAUGAGUCAAACUAGUUGGUUAUAAGACAGCUUUGUUUUGAGGACUAACCUUUUGUUGACUUGUGAAUAUAGAUUAGUAUUGUAUAUGACAUAGUUUGCUGUGCAUAAGGGCGUGUUGUGGUUUUCAAAAUUUUAGCUCUGCUUUUCUAUCCCAUCCUUGUGUUGUAUGAGGAUUUAUUUAAUCGCUUCCGCAUGCGCAUUAAAAGGAAUGGGUUGGCGAUGCGGCCUGGGACAUUGCAAUUUAAUCGACCACCAAGGGAUGGGCACACACUCGAGGAUCGAGGCGUGACACCAACAGUCUGCUAUCACAUGCACAUGACACUACACAUAGGCUUAUGCCACAAGGCGGACCAUGCCUCCUAAGACAAGUUCACAUUCCGAAUGCACUGAGAGCAACUAUUGGAGUAGAAUCCCCAGUCACUAGCUAGAGCACGAAACUACAACGGCACAGCCACCAAACUAAUUUUAAAAAUCACCACGCCAAAUACGACCCAGUGCAAAAGAAAACAUGUCCGCUGCUGCCGCUGCUCGAGAGCCGUCUCAUUUCAUCCAAACCCUUCCACUAGACGGAUGAUGACGAUAGCUAUUACCCUAACAACACGCGAGGGCGUACACAAAGAGAGAAAGCAAAUACAAACCAAAACACUCAAUCAAGAAGAGAAUAAAGCUAAAUGGUAGAGGCCUACCUUCAGCUAGGGUUUUUCCAAGCUCGGCGAGAGAGAGAGAGAGAGAGAAAGAGAGGGUCUCAUUCUUCGCUUGAUUUUGCAAUGGUCGGGUUUGUUGCCUCAUCAAUUUGGUACCUGAUGAAAUGAUAAUAUUCCCACCAGGAUCUAGUGACUUCUCUAAGCCCAAAGGACUUCUCGCGAAUCAAUUCGGAUAAUCGCUUCUCCAAAUCCCUCCAUUCAACAUUCGACAAAGAACUACAUUUAAUAGAAAGCAUCGAUAGUUGGACGGGAAGCUCUGAGAGACAUUCAAGAGGACGGAGAUCGAAAAGAGAGAGUUCCCGGAGAACGGUUAGUUUGGAAAGAUAUGGCAAUGAAGGACUUGGGAAAUCGACAUGCAAAGCUGUUAAGCUCAAGGGUGGUUCUGGUAUUUCUCGAAGGUUUUCGCAACACCGAACGCUGAGAUGUUGGAGAGAAGAGAGCUCCGAAAUGCUCUUUGGCAAGCCCCAAAUGCCUGUACUGUCUAAAUGAAGUUGAUUUAGCGAAACCAGCUCGCCUAUACUACUAGGUAGCCUUCUAGAUUUUUGCAGUCCGAUGCACUCAACACUUGGAGUUUUGUCGGCAUUCCAAUGGCACUAGGCAAUUCUGUGACAAAAGAUUUGUUAAGGUACAAGCUCCUCAAAUUUUGCAAAUUUCCAAUACUUUCUGGUAAUUUUGUAAUCGGUAUCCAUGAUAAAUUCAGCUCAAUCAACAAUGUCAACUUUCCAAUCGAGUUGGGGAUCUCUCUCAAUGAAUGGCAACCAAAUAGGUCAAGGAAAUACAAAGAUGCUAGAUUGCCUAUAGAGUUGGGUAUGCAAUCUAAUAAUCCAUAGCAAGUGACAUUAAGAGUCUCUAGCACCUUCAUAGAACCAAUGGAUUGAGGUAAUUCUUUAAUCAUUGUAUACGAUAAGUCCAGCUUAGUUAAUGACUCAGAAGAACUCAUGAAUUCAGGAAGCUGAGCAAGUUUAUCAUAACAUAGAAGCUCUCUCGAUUCUUCCAUUCCCCCUACUCUUGUUGGUAGCUUCUCUACUUUAAAACAAUUAUGGAUGUCCAAGGAGACAAGGGUCUUGAUAUACCAUAUAGAAGGAUGAAUUUCUUCUAGAUUCCGACAAUUUUCAAGAUUCAAGAUCUCUAAGCUUUUUAAAGCAGACAAAUUGGGAGUUUCUUUCAAAUUUUGACAAUACGAGAGGUCGAGAACUUUCAACUCAGUUGCCAUCUAAAAGAAAUAAAUGAAAUUUCAAUGAAAGUGGACAAUAGCAAUCUGUGAUUUUACACUAUUCUUCUUUUUUCAAAAGAAUCUUUAAAAUUCCUUUUAAAAAAAAUACCCAUACUCCACUACUCUUUCAUAGUUGUCUUAUUUAAUUUCAAAUGUUUUUUUUUCAAUAUUGUCGGGCUAUGCCACCAUAUUGAUUUUUUUAAGCAUAUCCAUUACAAAAAGAAUGUUAGGGACAUACAAGUGCCAAUCAUGUUUAUUUUCGGAUAAAAUUUCAAAAAGAAAAUAUAUUCAGUUUUUAAGAACUAUGGCGAUGUUAUUGAUUAGAUUUGUGCAAAUUUUAUUGUCAAAGAGACUCUCCAAUAGUAAGAAAUGGGUAGCUUAAUUAUAAAAAGCAAUUUCUUAAAGUGACUUCAAAGAAAAAUUUAAAGAAUGCUGUAUUUCAAAAAAAAUUAAUGCCAUCCGAAUGAUAGUUUUAUUACUCUCAUAACAUUAACAAUUUAUAUUUGUGUCAUACAGUGACUUCCAUAAUCAACAAUUAUAAUGAAUAAAUAAUUCAUGCAACAAGUCAAAGCACUUCAUAAAUCAUAUCCCCUACUCUGAGAUUAUAAUAACUUCCCGAAUUUUAGUAUUUAUGUACAGCACAAUUCACUAUGCAGGAGUUUUUUUUUUUCCUCCAUGAAAGAAGAUUGAUAUAGAGAAAUAACAAGAGUCCCUCAAAAGACGUACUUUUGUGUGGGAGAAAUUAACUUAGCCAUAAACCAUCUAGAUUAAAGUAAAUCAGAAUAGGUACAAAUAUGCAAUUGUAUUUUCAAUAAAUGUUAAUUAAUAUAGUUACUUUUUUUUUUUUUAGUAUUGUCUAAGGUUAAGCAUGACAGGUUGUUGAGUUUUAUCAAUUAAAAAUAAUUAAGGGGCAAAAGCCUAUGAAUAUUUAGGUAGCUAUAAAUUACUCUUAUAUUUAAAUGAAAAUCCUUAAUCCAUGGAACGUUAGCAAACGUUUCUAGGAGAAAUUGGUGUGAUUGGACCUUCGUUAAAAUGUUAUUAUUCUCAAGAGACAAAUCUUCUCAAUAUCUUACCUUGAGUGGAUCCCAUCCUCCCCAAUCCUCUGAAAUAGCACUCUGUGAUAGAUUAAGCACGGCUAAUUUCUUCGGAUUAAAGUUGACCAUUUGGAAAUAUGAGGGACAACAAUUCCAUUGAAGCCAUCUUAAUUGAGGAAGCAAGUUUUGGAAAUCUUUGAUAAAAUUUACAUUGCACACUCGAAGGAACCUCAACUUAGUGAGUUCAUUAAAUUGUUCACCUUGGUAGUUUUUCCCACAAACGUAACUGUUAAGAAAAAAAUUCCCAAUCUCACCAAGCCCAAGACAAAGGGCCUCAAUUUUACUAGUGCCCUGCAAUUACGAAACAUAGUGGAUGGAUCAUACCACAUAACAUGUUUCAUUUAGUUGUACACAUAUAUUAAGUUUUAGCUACACAAAUAUAUUUUAUAGGAAUGGAAACGAUUGAGGGAUUUAUCAUUUAUUAUGUGCAACGGGGUCAUUUCUGACAAAUAAGAAUAUUGGUUGAAUAAUAAUAUCAAAAUAUGAAUAAAUAAUAUUGAAAGACCAAUAAAAAAUAUCCAUCAUCAUAGAAAUAUUAUAUAACAUGCUUUAGAAAUAAAUUAAUAUUAAAAAAAACCGUCAUAGAUGAAAAAAAAGUCUUUGUUUAGAAGAACGUAUUACAUGACUACAUACUAUCAUAAUUGAAAAUUUUUAUGGAUACCCAUUGUGACUAAUAGAUAUCCACUACAGAGAACUAUUUAACAUGCUUUAUAAGUAAAUGAAUCUAAUAAAAUUGUCCAUCAUAGAAAGAAAAAAAUAUAUAUAUGUUUAGAAGGUUCUAUCACAUGACUACAUUUAUUUCAAUGGUGAGUAUAACGAAAUGUGUAAUAAGUGACGGCUGUUAUCAUAGAAAAGUUGUAUGAAUAUUAUUUAUAAGGAAAAAAAAUCGUAUUUCAUAAGUGAAUGAUGUAAAAUAAAUCGGUAAAAAAUUAUAAGACAUGAUAGCUCAUAUUUGACAAGUAAAUGAUAUAAUAUUACUGAAUGUGUACUAAAUAAAAUGCUCACUAAGAGUUGAACGUUGCAGAGAUAUCUAUUAUAACGCGGUAGUCAAAAUUUGACAAAGAAAUGUUAUCAGGACAUUCAUUUAAAAAUUACCCAUCAUCACAAAAAAGUAUGAAUAAAAACAGUAGCAAAUUCAUAGAAAGAAUUAUCUAUACAAUGAAAUGUCUACAGAAAAAAAAUAACAUAUGUUUAGAGUGUUAUUACACAGUUGCGAAUAUAUCAUAAAUAAAUAUGAGAGCCACGUUAGUAAAUUGAUGGUAUCAACUGGCGGUUGACAAUAAAAGACUUGAUUAUGCAAACUGUGUAAGAUGAAAAAGAAAAAGAGAGAAAACUACAUUGAGCAUAAAAGAAGGGAUAGGGGACUAAAUUGCCACAGAUAAUGAUGCAUAGGAGACUAAAUUCGUACUUAACCCAUCUUGGAAAAUUUAUGAACCAGGAUGUUUAAUCAUCACAAAUGGAUGGAGGCCUCGUUUAUCAUAAAAAAACAACUCAUAAGAAGUCGAAACUCAAUAAAAGAAAAAAGAAAAUAAGACCUCACAAGAAAUUGAAAGAAGAAUCCAAACAUCAAACGCGUGCAUCAAACAGACAUGUGAAAAAAGCAUGGCCCCCAACAAGUUAUUGAUGUCAAGUUUUCUCUGAAAGUGCCCUGUCAAAGAUUAUGUUUUUUAAUAGUUUUGUUGUUGCAUUGAAGUUACUAAAAGAAGAGUGUUCUCAUUACAUACUACCAGGUAAAGAUAUAUCAAUCAUCAAUAAUCAAGAAAUUGCUCCUCAAUUUUGUCCAGGUAAAAAGAGCAAUUAAUUGAAACAGCUCUUAACCUGGUAAAAGUGAAAAAAUUUGGAGACGAACAAGAAUAUUAUCUCAAACAAGAAAGAGAAGAAGGGCUCACAUUUACUGACUAAGAUGACUAGAGAGAGAUCUUACCUUGUUGUUGUCAAGAACAUCUAGGGCUUCCUCACGAAUCCAUAAUCUGCUGCGCUCUUGAGGCUCUUUUGGAUGUUCUAGACAAACAAUUUCUCUUCCAAGAUCUCUUAGUUGAUCAUGCUUCAUUAUAUUGCCAUUUUAUCAAUUUUAAUUAGGGACAUAAGGCUCAAUACUUCAAUUCCAUUCUCCGGGAAAAACCACAUGCAUCCCAUAAAUAAGUUACACUUUGUUUAGAUAAUCCAAUGCAAAAACAUGCUAUGUCCAAAAAUAUUUGCUUCGUCUCAUAGUCUAAUGAUUCAUAACUUAUCCUCAAUGUAUCUUGCACUUUCUUAUCAGGCACUUUCUUUAAUUUCUUCAAUGUAUCUUCCCAAAUUUUAAUUUGUUUUCCACGUAAGAAAGAACCUAUAACUUCAAGAGCUAAAGGAAGCCCUCCAGUAGUAGACACGAUAUCAUGAGAGACAACCUCAUAAUCACUAUGAGGAGCAUCCUGUCGAAAUGCAUGUCUAUUCAAUAAAAUCAAUGAUGGAUCCAAAGGCAACUUGUUGAGUUCGUACAUGUAGGUUGCCCUAGCCUCAUCAAGAAUACUCUUGUUUCUAGUGGUUAUGAUGACUAUACUUCCAGCUUUAAACCAAUUACCAUCUCCAGCCAAAGCAUUCAAGUGAGCCUUAUCAUCCAUAUCAUCAAGAAGAAUUAGGGUUUUCUUUCUUGUAAAUCGAGAUUUGAUGACAUCGAUUCCCUCAUCGACAUUAGACACCUCAUAUGACCUUCUUAGUAUAUCGCGAAUGAGUUGAUUUUGUGGCCAUUCAAUACCCUUGCGUAGAGAUGUUUCUCAAAUAUUUGCCACGAAACUAAGAUGUUCGAAAUGAUUGGAGAGAUUAUUGUACAAGACCCUUGCAAGAGUUGUCUUACCAAUGCCCCCCAUUCCAUAAAUUCCAAUGAUCCUUGUUUCAUUAAAUUUAGCAUCUAUGAAGCUCAUAAUUUCUUCUAUGGGACCAUCAAUUCCGACCAACUCUUUGGGAACAAUUAGUUGCAAAGGUCUUUUUAACUCACUUAAGACUUUUUCGACAACAAUUUCAACCAAUGCUCCUUCAUGCCUGUCAAGCAACACCGAAUUUUAGUAUAGGAUGGCAAUAUUUAUAUUAUUUUUCAGGUAAAAGUCUGAAUUUUAGUAUAGGAUGGCAAUAUUUAUAUUAUUUUUCAAGUAAAAGUCUAGUUAUGAGAAACUAAAUAAUGUUUUGGUGGAGAUACGUACCCAUCAUCAAUUUUCUCCGAUUCCCAUCCUUUUAAAGAACUGACUUCUUUGAGCGCUUCUUCCCAUUCCUUCACAACCAUUUCAUCCGAAUUCUCUUUAUGUGCAUUGAUGGCAUCUCCAAAUCCCUCUAUUAGAUGUCGCACUUGUGAGGGUUCCACUUUGUAAAAUAUGGGCAACACUACUUGCCCUCUGCUUCUCUUGCACUUCAAAAUCUGAACCAGCUCACGAAGGCACCAUUUGCUAGAAGCGUAGUCCUUAGAUAUAAUUGGGAUCGAGAUCUUAGACUACAUAAUACUGUAGAGAAGCUCCAAACCAAUCUCCUCACCAACAUGGAGCUCAUCAUCAUCUCCGAACACUCGAAUUCCUGCAUUAACAAAGCUAGUAUAGAGAUAAUCAAUGAAGCCUUUACGAGUGUCUUUCCCUCUAAAGCUCAAGAACACUUCAUGUCAUCUCCUUUCGGCUUUUUGGUUGUGCCUUCAUAAUCACCUAUAUGUGGAGAGGUAGAUGAGGAAGAUGCCCCAUAUAUCGGAUCGUCUGAAUAAGUAGGUUCUCUUCGUUUCAUCUCGAGAGGAUUGUACAUAUACAAAGGCAGUAGAAGAGAUUCACGAAGCAGAGCCUCAAAACAGGAGGAAUACGGAAUCCCAAAUAUAAGAAUUGCAGAAAUGUCUCUCGGAAUUCAUUCUGGAGCUACAUUCAAACAAAAACAAAGACUCUCAUACAACUCAUCAGAAUAAAUGGACAAUCGAAGCAGGAAAGAGAGAAAAGGAGAAGAGCAAGGAGUCACUGAUUACCUGCGGAGUGCUCACUGAUUCUCGGCCUUCGACGUUGGAUUUCUAGCACGGAACGCUCUUUAUCGUGCGCGCUUGAACGAAGCUGAGUUCUGGCCAACAAACGAUUGGAGACUCUUCAUGCUAAUUGAAACGUUGCGAUGCAUGCUGCACGGAAAGGUCAAUUAUUGCAGGAGUAACUUCCGCAGCACUAUCCGGAAGGUACGUCAUAAGAGGUGACUCGACUUGCUUUUUCUAUUAUAAACUAGAUUUUUCCAUGCCACAUCAUGCCUAAAGAUUAUCUAGCCAUCAUUCCCUCACCCAGGGCACUAUUAUUUUUGUCCUUAAAUUAAUGAUUUUUUACGUGUUAUAUUAAUUUUUUUUUUCAGUGUUACAUUCAGAAAUUCUUGGCCAACGAAUUCUCCAAAUAUUUAUUCAGUAAUACAUUUUUACUUUUUUAUUUCAUUUUUUGUCGAACAUUUUAUUUCAUGUUGGCAUUCUUCUUUUUCUUAGCUUUUUACCUAGGAUAUCAUUAACCAACUAUAUUACAGUAUCAUGACUUUGACCAAUAGUAUUGUUGUCAUCUCUACCCAUUCUCAGCCUUACACGUUUAAUUUCGGACGCACAAGGCUCUCCACUAGUCAAAAAGAGAGCGAUUUCUGCAGCAUUAUGCGGAGAUGCGUGGAUCCCAUUCAUGUCUUUUUUAUUUGACUUGUUUUUUUCUAUUUAAAAAGAAAAAAAAGAAAACUCAUCAACAAUACUCACAUGCUCCUGGUGUUAAUUUAUCGGUUUAUAUAGGAUUUUAUGAACAAAUGUCGGCACUUUGUUGACAUUCUGGAGUUAACUAAUGCCUAUUCCUUCAAUUGCGGUACAAUGUUGGCAAAUUGAUGAAGUUGUUGUCUUAUUUCGUGGUUGCGAAGGGGUGACACCGGCUUAAUUUUUUUGCCCCUUUCUCUGAUUAGUUGAUGUGGGUUAAGUGGAAACAGCUGCUGUCGAUUUGUUUUAGCAAUGUCUCAAGAAAGAGAUAGUGGCAAUUUUUAGCAGGAAAACAUUAACAAUAGUAUCUUACACCCUCUUUUUAGCAUCUAGUCGUUUUCGUGAUCAAAUUGCAUGAUAUUUGUGUCUAUAGAAAGAUAUAUGUACAUGUAUCAUAGUUUAAUAAAUAUUUGGACCAUUGCUGUGAGAAACCUUUCCAAUCGGUAAAAAUUUUCAAUGACUUUCUUCGAAAGUUACACCAACCUCAUUAUUAAAGUAAUGCUAUGCCACUUUCAUAGGAAACCCCCCGUCCCCUCCAAAAAGAAAAAGUCCACCCCCAAAAAAAGUAAGGCUAUGCCACUUUCAUAGGAAGCCCCCUUCCUUCUAACCACACACACAAGUGAAAGAUUCACAAGUGCUUUUUGAGCGUGGGUUAGAAAGAUCCAAUUAUGUGAAUCUCAUAAGAUCCCCAUAUUUUUUUAACAGUUGAGAUAAACUAACAUUAUUGUUUUACCGCAAAAUCAACAACACUAGCCUACAACCAAAGUCAUGCAUUUGAUUACUCUUCUUCUCUAUCUUGUGAGAAUUGCCUUGUACAUGAACAGAAACUCAGAAUAAAAGAAAGGGAAAAAAAGAAAGAAGGAUCGGGCCUUUGCUGGUCCAAUGCUAUUUGUGCAUAACAAUUUUGCCAUGUCUAUUUGUGCAUAACAAUUUUGCCAUGUCCCUUGUAGCCAUUCAAUGCAAAUAUAGUAAUGUCAUUUGUUCAUUUAACUUGCAUUGAGCUGUGCAAUCAAAACUUUGUCAGUGUGAAGCAUCAAAUUGAGGAUGUUAAAAUUGUCCUGUUCAAGGCUGCUAUAUCGUAGCAAAGGCUGGGAGACAAGGAAAAAUUUUAGGGUACACCCAUUAUAAUGUACAACAUUACGACGCAUCAAAGUAAUUAAGUACAAGAACAUCAUAAUAGCAUAGUAAAAUUGUUCAAUGAUAUAUUAUCGUCAUCAAGUGCAAAAGUGGUGUGAAAUAGAAGUGUGCUGCUAAAGAUUUUCAAAAGAUGAAUGGAAUCAACACUGAUGUAAGUUUCGCAAGAAAUAGAUGAGCUAAGGAAGACGCUGGACACGUGGUAUCCGUUACUUAGUGAAUUGCUUUUCUUUACUCACCCACUUUGAUGACCAAAAAUUAGCCUUGAUCCUGCUUUUUUAUCAAUAGGAAAAGUAAUAAUAAUAAUAAAGUGAGAGCAUUUCACUUCUUGUGGACCUCCAAUUUAUUGUGUUCUUGGUUGGGUUGGAAAUUGGAAUCUAAAAGAAAAUCAAAUAUAUUUGUACAUCUCUCUAAUGAAACAAAAAAUUGCUCCUUUUGACCUAAACAAUCAAAUAAUAAAUGAAAGAUAAAUGUUUUCUCAGAUAAAACGGAAUGUGACGCGAAAGUUAAAUGUAUUCUGAGUCUCUUGCUAAUUAUGUUUACAAAAAUUGAAUGUUUAUUUUAGAAACUAGAGUCAAAUGUUCAACUCUCAUGAAAACUGUUAGAGAUAUUUAUCUUAGGAUAUUAGAGAUAUUUAUCUUCCUGAUUGAUUAUAAUUAAUUUCUUAUCAAUUAUAAUUGAUUUGAUUUUGAUCUUGUAAUAUUUUAUUACCUCAUAUAGUUGUCUAAGACAGUCUAUAAAUAGGCUCUUGUAUCAUUAGUAUUACACGUACUGAAAUAUACAAAAAUUCAUUUUUCCACUCUAUUCUAUCAUGGCAUCAGAGAGAGGUUUUGUUUGAGAAAGUGGUCGCCAUUGUUGCAGCACCUUGAAAAAUCAUCAUCUAUUAUGGAGAGAAGCCGCACGCGCCACCACGCUCCGCUGCGCUACAGGACUAUUGACGACUACCAAUGACCACCGACGCCGUCGACUGUAGGUGGAAGUUUCAAAGACAAUCCUUAGAAUUUCUGACCAAAAACCACCAUAGACAAGUUCUAUAUUCUCCGGCGAGUCCAGAACAGCAAUGACCAUUGCUGGAAAAUGAACCACACACCCUCACGCGUCGCCCAAACCCUCUACGCGUGAGAUCCAUGUGUCAUGUCGCUGGAAAGUCAACCAAGCGCCCUCACCCACCAGUUAAACCCUCUACGCAUGAGAUACACGCGCCACAACUUUGCACGUGACCUAUGUGUGCAUUAGUGACGUCAUUGAUGGCGUCAUCCUCGCACGUGCUCCAUCCGUGCUCAAGCAAUAACAUCAUUGCCACGUCAUCGUUGUCGCUGACAGCCGUUGACUGACGUUGACCCGAUCAGUUCGUAGUGUUUUUUGACCGGUUUGACUUAAUUUAGACCGAUUCUCGGUGUUUUCCAACCGGUUUAGCGAAAUUCCAUUCGAUUAGCUCCUUUUUCUGACCGGUUCGUCCAGUUUCCGAUCGGUUCAUUUGAUUUUCCAACCGGUUCAGCCAGGUUCCAACUGGUUCUCAGGGUUUUUCGACCAGUUUAGCCAUUUUCCGACCAGUUCUUAGGGUUUUCCUACUGGUUCAGCCAUUUUCCAACCGGUUCUUGGGGUUUUCUGGCUGGUUCGGCUUGAUUCUGAUUGGUUCUUGGCAUUUCCAGAUCGGUUCUUGAGGUAUUCCGAUGUUCUCAGUCUAUUUUUCAGCCUUAUUUUCUUCAUAUCAGCUCCACAAGUAUCAGUUUUUUUCUCAAAUUCAUUAAAGAAUCUAUUGAGUUUACUAGUAUAUCGCCUAUCAUGGACAAGUUAGAAGUCUCAAAGCCCAUUCAGACCAUCUUAAAUGGAUCAAAUUAUAUUUUAUGGGCUCAAGAAAUGUCCAAUUUUCUAAGGGGACAUGAGCUUUGGCGUUAUGUAACUGGAGGUCUUCGCAAGCCUAGUCAGGCUUGCGCUCGCGAAGAGGAUAACGAUACAUUUGCUGAACGAUUGGAGGAGUGGGAGAGCAAGAAUCACUAUGGUUUCAAAAUACUUCCAUUCCAUCUAUCAAACUUCAGUUCGGUCAUCUAAAUAUAGCAAAGGAAACCUGGGAUCUUUUUGCUAGUCAUUAUUCCACAUCAGAUAUUACUCAUCAAUAUCAACUGUUAGGGAACUUACAUCACAUGCGUCAGGAGACAAGUCAGUCUAUUGAUGACUUUUUUUCUUCAAUGCAUGUUAUAUGGGACUAGCUCGCUUUAUCUAAACCCACAUGGGAUUCGUUUGUUGAUGCUCAUAAGUUUGCUGAAUAUCGUGAUUGUAUGCAAGUUAUGCAAUUUCUGAUGGCUCUAAAUGAUGAGUAUGAACCUGUGUGAGCCUUACUUCUGCAUCGGGAUCCUUUACAUCAUCUUGAGGUAGUUAUUUCAGAGCUAUUAGUUGAGGAAACUCACCUUGCGACUUUCAAUGCACAACAUGCUACUCCACUGUUUUCCACUCCUACAAAUGCAGUGCUUGCCACUAUUGGCUCAUCCUCAUGGCGCAAAUCUUAUUGUAUGCACUAUCGUCGACUUGGUCAUCAUGCAUCAAACCAUUAUCAAUUACAAUCCAAUCAACCUAUAGGAACAAACAACAUAUCCCGUUUUAGAGGUUUGGUUGGACGCGGCUCAUCCACUGCUGCUUCUGUCAUAGAGGAUUCCUCUAGUAGUUCGUCUAUCAUGCUAUCUUUAGAUGAUCUUUGAUCCACGGUUUGGUCCAUUCUUCAAGAAACUAGUACUUCUAGUCCUUUUGUUAUGUUGGUCACUCCAGGUACUCCUGAUUCAUGGUUCUUUGUUUCUACGUGUCGUAAUCACAUGACUUCCCAUUCCAAUUUAUUUAAGUCAAAAUCAUAUAAUUCACAAAGACCUACUAUUCACACAGUUGAUAACUCUCAAAUCAUAGUUAGUCAUACAGGGAACGUUUCAAUGCCCACCUUGUCCUUACCCGAUACUUUUAUGGUUCCCAAACUCUCUUUAAACUUAGUAUAUGUGGGUUAGUUAUGUAAGCUUGGUUUUGACAUUCAUUUCUCUUCGAAUGGUUGUCAUGUGCCGGAUCCAUAAACGGGACAAACAAUUGGGACAGGCUCAUAAAGUGGGACGGUUGUUUGAGCUUGUUUCAUUAAAGCUUCCUAACUCCUACACUAGUUGUGCUACCACAGUUUCAUCUUAAACUUGGUAUUCUCGUUUAGGUCAUCAUUCUUUUUCUCGUUUAAGUCAUUUGCUCUCAAGUGGUCAACUAGGUUCCAUUGACAAUAAAAACCUUUGAUUGUCUACCUUGUAAGUUAGGAAAACAUCAUGCUUUAUCGUUCAAUAUUAGUGAAUCUAUCUCUUAUGCUCCCUUUGAUCUAAUUCAUUCGGAUAUUUGGGAACCAUCUCCUACUCCCACUAUGGAAGACUCUCGUUAUUUUGUGAUUUUUGUUGAUGAUUAUUCACGUUAUACAUGGCUUUAUCUCAUGAAAAAUCUAUCUGAAUGUACCCAUAUCUAUGGUAAUUUUGUUGCAAUGAUCAAAACACAAUUUUCUCGAGAUAUCAAGGUCUUUCGUACCGAUAAUGCCAUGGAAUAUAAGGACAGAGAGUUUCUUAAAAUUCUUUCUCAUAACGGUACUAUUAUUCAUCGUUCUUGUCCAGGAACUUCCCAACAAAAUAGUCGAGCAGAGCAUAAACACAGGCAUAUUUUAGAUAUUGUACGCACUCUUCUAAUCUCAGCAUCUUGUCCAGAACAAUUUUAGGGGGAGGCCUGUCUUAUUGCUGUCUACACUAUUAAUCGUAUUCUAUCACCUACUAUAGGUAACAUUUCUUCAUACGAGCACUUAUAUGAUAGUAUUCCUAAUUAUAGUCUACUUCGAGUUUUUGGUAGUGCAUGUUUUGUGCAUCUUCUUCCAAAUGAGCGCAUGAAGUUAGAACCUCAUGCUCGUUUCUGUUGUUUCCUUGGAUAUGGCAUUGAGCAUAAAAGGGUAUUUAUGUUGGGACCCUAUCUCCAAUCGACUUCGUGUGUCUCAUCAUUUUACCUUAUGGGAACAUAAAAUGUUCUCAUCUUUACAUUUUUUUGCAUCUUCUCUCAUUGUUCCAAAUGUUCGUUUCUUCACAAAUCCUUCUGUCGAAUUGUUCCUUGAUGAUGACACUCCUACAUCUUCCUCUUUAGAAUUGCCCUCUCCAAAUCUUGAUGCAGGUAUCUCUAGAAAUCCCACUUCAGCAACUCCUGAUAUAUCGGUGCCAUUCGUGGAUCCACCUUUGGAAGUUCCUUCUUCUUCUGUUCGUUGCUCCACCCAUGUAAGUCAACCUUAUGUUCGGCUUCGUGAUUUUCACUAUUAUUCCACAAUUGCCUCUUUUCACAAGCCUCGCACUAUAGAGAAGCUUGUACUAAUCCUCUUCUCUUCAACCGCCGGAUUGUUCCAGACCCAUUCUGCCCAAUAUGCUGCCAAUAUGUUCCUGAAACAAGAGAACAUUUGCUUAUCCAGUGUCCAUGGACGAAAACUACAUGGUCACACUCACAGCUUGAUUUAGCUUCCUCUACAACCUCAGUUUCCAGUAUUACACGGUGGCUAAUUGAAAGUGUAAUUUUACCUGAUCCUUCUCCCCGACUCGAGGUAGUUGCCACCAUCUUUUGGCAGAUCUGGAAGAAAAGAAACCAUUUUGUUUUUCGGAAUCACCGUCUGAAUCCCUCCAUGGUAGUGGAAUUGGCUCUAGCUCAAAUCUCAAUAUAUCAGUCUUCUGGUGCAGCACUCCAUCGCUCAAGUUCAAACUCUGGCCUUGACACUGUUCAACCCGAUCAGCUUUGGCGACCUCCGGCAAAGGGCGUCCUGAAAUGCAAUAUCGACGGGAGUUAUCAAGAGGGCACUUCGGAAGGCUCUAUGGCCAGUAUUUGCAGAGAUGAUCGAGGUAAAAUCACUGACAUUUUCUCUAGAUAUUUUCCAGCACACUCACCUUUCGAAUCGGAGCUCCAGGCGCUGAAUCUGUCCCUACAACAUCUAUAUCACCGAGGACUCCAAAACACCCCCAUCGAUCUUCAUACAGACUGUCUUCAACUUGUUGAAAUUGCAAAUGGUCUUCGCCUGCCGCCAUGGGAGCAGAGGCCAGUGAUCGACGAAACCCUAUUUUGGCUCUCCAACUUUCCUUUCCUCUCUUUGUGGCACUGCCGCCGAUCGGCUAACCUAGUAGCCGACUGGGCAAAGCCCAGUUAGCUCACCCGGCCCAAAAACUAUCUCUUUCCUUUUCUCUUCUGCUGGAUCUGCUGGAUCUUUUGUUUGCGGAUGCUUUAGCUGCAGGAUGUAAUCUUCCUCUUUAAUUAAUAUAUAAGUGUGUUUAUGUCAAAAAAAAAAAACAGCGAGGAGAAGAAGGAACAGAGCAUAGAGUAACCACUUAAUUGUGAUAUUUUAAUUUGUGUUUUUUCUAGGAAAAGGCCUCUGGAUAAAUAGAUAAAGGAAACUAGAUGCAUGCUAAUGGACGCAACUAUUCGAUAAUAACAUUUGAAGUCAAAUGUCGGAAAGCUGUAAUGACUUAAACAACAAUAAACUAACUGAUAUAUAACAAUCUAAAGACAAGAUAAUUACUAGACAAUUUAAAACUCUGUCACAAAGUAAAAUAAACGAACGAAAAAUUAUUCAUACACAACAAAAAUGAAAUCAUUUGCAUUCGGUGAACUUGUCUUGUGACUUACGCGGUGUGUGUAAUUGAUACACAAUUUUACUCAGUUUUUGAAAUUUAUGAAGUAGCUUAUAUUGACAUUUGUAUGUUUUUGGAGAUUUUGAGGUGCUCGAUUUCAAAUAAAUUGAAAAGUAUGUCACGGUCAUCAGCAAGGAUCAUGGCUAUUUAGGCGCUUGCCAUCUUCAAAUCAAGAUGGUGGUCGCUUUCUUUUUUUCUUUUUUUGUCUAUCCUACUCUAACUCUCAAUUCACUAUCGAACUUUUGUCAUUCCUCUUUACAGGGUGUGGGAGUUGAAACCCACACCUAAAGGCCGAAGUUUGUCAUCGCCUCUCCAACUCCCUUGAGAAAAUAGGGAUUUGAACCCUAGAUGAUGGUUGCUUUGGAGGCCACCAUUGUGUUAAAUCGACUAUCCUUGUAAUAUUUUGCCAAGGGAAUGUCGAAAAAGGAAUUGAACUCGACAAAUUUGACGAAAAAGGGUUCUUUGUUGAUUUUGGGUGGGAAUGUAAACAACUGUGAAGGUAAAGGGAGUUUAAAGUGUAGGUGCCGAAAAUUGAAGAUUACGAGACUGAUAAAAGGUACCAGAAUUUUAAAAUUAUGUAGGAUAAUUAGCAGGGAUUUAAAGAUGAAAGUAAAUGUGCAUAAGAACGAGAGUUCUAUUGAUGAUUGAUCCAAGGUGCUAAAAGCUAAAACGCGGCCUUUUAUAUUCCAUCGCCAGCAGUUCUCUGCCAAUGAUGAUACCGAUGUUGCUAGUCCUCGCUCCUAAUGCACAUGAGUCAGUGACAAGAAAGUUAUUCAUAUAGUAUAGUUUUUUUCCUAAUGGUUAUCUUAAUAAUUGGCAGACGGGCUUGAUGGAUACCUCCCUCAAGAACCCCAAAAAAAAAAAAAAACACUACGCGAUGAAAGCGGGACAAAAGUAAAGUGAGCCAGUCAUUUUUUUCUCAACUUAACAUUAUAACAUGAGCUUGUCCUAAAUUAAUCCAGAAAAAAAGGCUUUAUUUUACAAUAAUCACCAGAAAUUUCCUCAGCUUUUCUUCAGAUGACAAUGGACAAAGCAUUGGAAAUUUGUCCGAGUCGGCUGAUGCUCAUUGACAGAAUGAAUCCAAGAAAGAAUAGUGGAUAAAAGAGACGAACAUUGAAAUUUUCUGAUGCAACUUGGGCAUAUAAAGACAUUGCUUCAUUUCAACUGCCCUUUUAUCCUGGUAUACCAGGCAUUUAUUAAUAACCUAUUCAAUGAUUUCUCUGUUAUAGUGUAGGUCUUUUUCUAUCUUCUUGGCCUUUUAUUUCACUAUUGCCAUCAUUGACUUCUUGACACGUGUACCAUACACACUAUUAUACAAUCCACUAGAUCCUUGGACGCACAAAUUUAGGAUUUUUUAAGGUUUGUGCCCAAUCCACUAGAUCCUUUGACACGGGCUUGAUGGAUACCUCCCUCAAGAACCCCCAAAAAAAAAAACACUCCGCGAUGAAAGCGGGACAAAAGUAAAGUGAGCCAGUCAUUUUUUUCUCAACUUAACAUUAUAACAUGAGCUUGUCCUAAAUUAAUCCAGAAAAAAAAGGCUUUAUUUUACAAUAAUCACCAGAAAUUUCCUCAGCUUUUCUUCAGAUGACAAUGGACAAGCAUUGGAAAUUUGUCCGAGUCGGCUGAUGCUCAUUGACAGAUUGAUCCAGAAAGAAUAGUGGAUAAAGAGACGACAUUGAAAUUUUCUGAUGCAACUUGGGCAUAUAAGACAUUGCUUCAUUUCAACUGCCCUUUUNNNNNNNNNNNNNNNNNNNNNNNNNNNNNNNNNNNNNNNNNNNNNNNNNNNNNNNNNNNNNNNNNNNNNNNNNNNNNNNNNNNNNNNNNNNNNNNNNNNNNNNNNNNNNNNNNNNNNNNNNNNNNNNNNNNNNNNNNNNNNNNNNNNNNNNNNNNNNNNNNNNNNNNNNNNNNNNNNNNNNNNNNNNNNNNNNNNNNNNNNNNNNNNNNNNNNNNNNNNNNNNNNNNNNNNNNNNNNNNNNNNNNNNNNNNNNNNNNNNNNNNNNNNNNNNNNNNNNNNNNNNNNNNNNNNNNNNNNNNNNNNNNNNNNNNNNNNNNNNNNNNNNNNNNNNNNNNNNNNNNNNNNNNNNNNNNNNNNNNNNNNNNNNNNNNNNNNNNNNNNNNNNNNNNNAGAUGAAAAACUCCAUCGGCAAUCGAUUUUUUACGUGCCAGCACAAGGAAUAUAGGAUCAGACCAAAUAUGGCAGAUUAGUCAUAUGAUCGGAUUUUCCAUGAAUCAAUGAUAAAAGGUACAGAUCCCCCCCCCCCCCCCCCCCCCCCCACAAAAAAAACUAUCGAAGUGAAUCAUAUUAUUUGUGCAUAAAUAUCUUUAAACAGCACGAUGGUUUGCACAACGAAUCACUUUUUGCAUACAUUAUAACCUUGACCUCUCCUAUUAAAAAAGGGAGAUAUGCUCAUUCAAGUCAAGCUGCUUGAGAUUGAGUAGCAUAUUAAUAAUUAAUCGAAAUUGUAUAAACUCCUUGCUUGCUGAAUUUGAGGAGAAUCUAUGCCCCUCUCAAGUCUAUGUUUGAUUCAACCAAAAAACAAAGGUCUAUGUUCAAUCUUUGGCUUUUUCUUUAUCUACUAUUCACGCCCUUUUCAAAUCCAUGCAAUUUCUACCUAGAAGGUUUGAAAUGUCUACACUUUCUACAAUGGUAGAAGGAGAUGUUGAAACUCCAAGGUGUGGACUAGUCUUUAUGAAAUUUUAGGGUGAAAAAUGUUGAAUCUCGAAACCACAGGCGUAAAGAGUUGAUUUUAAAAUUUGAUGUUCUAAAGUAUUAUUAUUAUUAUUAUUAUUAUAGAGGACAGGGGUCAUCUCAAAUAUCAAACUAUCACUAGAAUGUGAUCUCAUGAAUACCUGACAUAACAAUUGCUCUCAUAUUCCAUAUGAGGAAAGCUCAAGACAAUUCACAUAUUGGCUUGCAUCUAAAAAUGUCUAAAGCUUCUGGAGCUCCUAGUCUCCAAGCCCUCCGGGCUCAAUUAGUUUGUCGCAGUCUCGUGCGACAAUUGAGUAGCAUCAUGAAAUCUAUAUACUUUAUAGGUAUCUCAAUCCUUUGAGCCCUGAGAUGUCAGAAGGUUCCCAACAAGCUGUCACUAUCAAGUUCCUUAAAUCUUCAAAUUUCCAAGCAUCUAGGAACUCUAACAACUUGCAUCCUUGAAUACACAAACUUUUGCAGGAUGAGAAUACCUCUAGGCUUUCAAUAUCAUCUUGCUCUUCACAGUGGUUGAUGUUCAGUAUUAUCAGGGUUUUCAAGCAUGAUAGAUCCAAUAAUCUUCCAAGGUAAGUGCAACCACAAAUAUCUAAUAUUACCAAAAAAAAUACAGUCCGUCAACGCCACAUUUCAACCAGACUCUUACAGUUUGCAACAUGAAAUCUCCCAAAUUCUUCAAACUAGAAGGUUAUCUUUCAAUGGACGUGCAAUUAGAGAUAUCCAAUCUUACAAAUAAUCGACCUCUCAAGGCCAUGAAUUUCAACUAGAUUCCCGCAAUCUGCAGCAUAGAAUGCUUUAGACAUUUUGAACUUGAAAGGUCUAUUUAUCUUUCAAUGGAUUGAAAUGUCUGGUCAUCUUUUAAUUGGACAUGCAUUUAAAGACAUAAAACCUUCUCAAAGAUUCUAAUUAAUCAAUCAAGGCCUCAAACUUCAGCUAGAUUCUUGCAGUUUGCAGCGUGCAAUUUGAAGUCUUUAAACUGGAGAAGUCUAGAAAUCUUUUAAAGAAGUGCACCCAGAGAGAUUCGAUCUUGCCAAUAAAUACCAUGAAUUUCAACUAGAUUUCAGCAAUUUGCAGCAUGGAAUAUUUCAAUGGACGUGCAUCCAGAGAGAGAUAGAAUGUUUCCAGAUAUUCUAAAUGGGUCAAAGCCUCAAACUUCGACUAAAUUCACGCAAUUGGCAGCAUAUGAUUCUCUUCGAUUCUUUUUAAACUUGAAAGGACAAUUGAUUGAAUGGACAUGGAACCAGAGAUAUUCAAAUUUACAAGACUCUUGCCAUUGGCAACACAUGAUAGCCCCAGAUGUUUCGAACUCGAAAGGUCCUGCAAAUCUCAACUAGAUUCUCGCGACUCACAGCAAUUUGUUUCCCGUGGAAUCUUCAAAGUUGAAGGAUCCACUGACCCUUUGCCUCUGGAGAACCUGGGAACGCCUAAUCAACGUUUUCUCUUAACUAAUGCCAAAACUUCGUGGGUCUGGUAGCUGCCAGCCCCAACCACUGGGACCACUCCAUCUCCACCACCACCUGGAAGUGACGCUUCAUAUCUUUGUGUAACACUGCUAAUCCUGUUCAUGACUUCAUUACACAUGAAAUCAUUAUUUCUACUAGAUAUAGGUGGACUAUUGAUAGAUCGUGACAUGUUGCUACCCGUCAUAAAGUGAAUAAACUUGUGAAAAUGCUCCUUCUCAUAAUUCCAGCAUGAUUCAUAUAGAUAACAUUGCUCAAACUUGUAAUAGAUCAUAAGUUUCUUUGGAAUAAACAGAUGGUUCGGCUCUAUUUACUGUUCUGGUAUCAUGAAAACCAAGAUUAUUAGAAAAAUUAGAACGUGGCAGAAGACAAAAACUUGCAUGCUGGAAAGUCGAAAUAGAGUAUCAGUAGAACAAAUCCUCAUUGGCAUAGCUAAAAAGUCCCACCAUUGGAAUGACAGAGCAGAAGUGCAAAUUACAUAGUGACAGGAAGAAUGGUGCGAAUCUUGUUAGGAUCAAACUCAACACAAGCAGUCAAUCAAGAACUUGAAAUGACUAUGAAACUAUGAACGCACUCAUGCAGCCCUGCAGCAUAUCAAAUUCACACCUGAUGAUUAGCCUGAAAGAACCUGACGAAUUUGGGGGAUCCAGAGCGCCACGAGUCCUGAAUGACCGCUUUCCUUUGCCUAUGUGUUUUUGUACUUCACCUCCAGAAGCUUCCUUAAUAAUUGUCAAUUAUUAAAUUACUUCGAUCAAUCAUAUGAGAAGAGACAAAAGAUAAAAUUACAGUUGCUAUAUCCCAGAACAAUAAAAAUCCCAAUCCAAUAAAUCAGGAAAAGUAAACAAAUUCAGCUUGUUCAAGUAUAGGUUUCCGCCAUCAUUUUCGUCAAAACCUCCGCACGACCACUGUAAACCACCACCUCCAUUAGUCAAUACUACCAAUACACUCCGGCUUCGACCACCAACAGUCUGCCAUCACAUGCACACGGCACUGCACAUAGGCUUACGCCACCAGGCGGACCAUGCCUCCAAAGGCAAGUUUAUCAUAACAUAGAAGCUCCCUCGGAGAAGAAUCCCCAACCACGAGCCAGAGAACGAAACUGGAACGGCACAGCCACCGAACUAAUUUUAAAAAUCACCACGCCAAACACGACCCAGCGCAAGACAAAACCCGCCUCCCGCCGCCGCUCGAGAGCCGUCUCUUUACAUCUAAAUCCUUCCACUAGACGGACGACGACGACAACUACUACCCCAACAACACGCGAGGGCGUACACAAGAGAGAAAGCAAAUAACGAACCGAAACACUCAAUCAAGAAGAGACUAAAGCUAAGUGGGAGCGGCCUACCUUCAGCUAGAGUUUUUACAAGCUCAGAGAGAGAGAGAGAGAGAGGGGGUCUCCUUCUUCGCUUGAUUUUGCAAUGGUCGGGUUCGUUGCCUCAUCAAAGAGAGGGUCUCCUUCUUCGCUUGAUUUUGCAAUGGUCGGGUUCGGUCGCCGAAAUUUAUACGGCCAAGAGAGAGAGAGAGAGAGAGGGUCUCCUUCUUCGCUUGAUGUUGCGACUGCUGGAGUGAUUGCGCUCGUUGCCUCAUCAAAGAGAGGGUCUCCUUCUUCGCUUAAUAUUGCGACUGAUGGAGUGCCUGAGCUCGUUGUAAGGGGCCACUCAUCAAGCCGCCAUUUGGUGCCUUUUCUUACCCUGAUGGCGGGAUAGUCGCGAUCGCGAAUCAACAGGGGUCUCUCCAGAGCUGUUAAGCUAAAGAACGGUUCCGGUACUUCUUGAAGGUUUUGGCAAUUCCGAACGUUCAGAAGCCGGAGAGAAGAGAGCUUCGAAAUACCUUCUGCUGGCAAGCUCCGAAUGCCCGACCAUUCUAAAUAAAGCUCAUUUAGUGAAACCAGCUCGCCUAUGCUACUAGGCAGUCCUUCCAGAUGUCCGCAAUAUGAUGCAUUCAACCGGUAGAGUUUCGCCAGCUUUCCAAUGGCACUAGGCAAUUCUGUCAUAGGAGUUGCUUCAAUGUUUAAUUCCCUCAAAUUUUGCAAAUUCCCAAUACUUUCUGGUAAUUUUGUAAUCCCUGUCACUGAUAAAUCUAGCUCAACCAACGAUUGCAACUUUCCAAUUGAGUCGGGGAUCUCUCUCAACGAAGAGUUAAUUAUAUAAAGUACAGAUAGAGAUGCUAGAUUGCCUAUGGAGUUAGGUAUGUGAUCUAAUGAUUCACAGCAAACGAUAUCAAGAGUCUCUAGUGCCUCCAUAAAACCAAUGAAUUCGGGUAAUUCUUUAAUAGAUGUUCCAGAUAAGUAUAGCUCAGUUAAUGACUCAAAGGAACCAAUGGAUUCAGGAAGCUGAGCAGGUUUAUCGUAACAUAGAAGCUCCCUCGAUUCUUCCAUUCUCCCUACUCUUGCCGGUAGCUUCUUUAGUUCAAAACAUCGACAAACGUUCAAAUGGACAAGGGUCUUGAUAUAGCAUAUAGAAGGAUGAAUUUCUUUUAGAUCGUAACAACUUUCAAGAUUCAAAAUCUCCAAGCUUUUGAAAGCAGACAAGUCGGGAGUUCUUCUCAAAUUGGCACAAUACGAGAGGUCGAGAACUUUCAACUUGGUUGCCAUCUGAAAUAAAUAAAGGAAACUUCAGUGAAAGUGGACAAUAGCAAUGUGUGAUUUUCCACUAUUCUUUUUUUUUUUAAAUCUUUAAAAUUCCUAAAAAAAUACCCAUACUCCACUACUCUUUCAUAGUUGUCUUAUUUAAUUUUAAAUGUUUUUUUUUCAACGGUGCCGGGGUACACAAUCAUAUUGAUUUUUUUUAAGCAUAUCCAUCGCAAAAAGAAUGUUUGGGAUGCACAAGUGCCAACCAUGUUUAUUUUCAAAUAAAAUUUCAAAAAGAAAAUAUAUUCAGUUUUUAAGAGCUGUGGUGAUGCCGUUGAUUAGACGUGCGCAAAAUUUAUUAUCAAAGAGACACUCCAAUAGUAAGAAAUGUAUAGUUUAAUUAUGAAAAGCAAUUUCUUGAAGUGACUUCAAAUUUUUUUUUUUUAAGGAUGUUGUAUUCCAAAAAAAUUUAAUGCCAUCAGAAGGAUGUUUUAUUCCUAUCAUAACAUUAUAAUUUAUAUUUGCAUCAUAUAGUGACUUCCAUAAUCAACAAUUAUAAUGAAUAAAUAAUUCAUGCAACAAGUCAGAGCAAAUAGAUUAUAUCCAUUACUCUGAGAUUAAAAUGAAUUUAGAGUUUUAGUAUUUAUGUACAACACAAGUCACUAUGUGGGAGUGUUUUUUUUUCCCUCCAUCGCUCAAAAGACAACAUGGGGAGAAAUUAGCUUGAAGCCAUAAACCGGCUAGAUUAACGAAAAUCAAAAUAGGCAAAAAUAUGUAAUUAUAUUUUAAAUCAAUUUUAAUUAAUAUAAUUAAUUUUUUUGGUAUUUUCUAUAGUUACACAUGACGGGUUGUUGAGUUUUAUCAAUUAAAGAUAUUAAGGGGCGGAGGCUUCGAAAUACUUAGGAGCCUAUAAACUCCUCUUAUAUUUAGACGAAAAUCCUAAAUCCGAGGAAUGAUAUCAAACCUUUCUAGGAGAAGCUGGUGCGAUUGGACCUCUAUUGUUAAAAAAUGUUAUUAUUCACAAGAGAUAUAUCUUAUCAAUGUUUUACCUUGAGUGGACCCCAUCCUCCCCAAUCCUCUGAAAUGUUACUCGAUGAUAGGUCAAGCACGGCUAAUUUCUUCGGAUGAAAGUUGACUACUUCAAAAUCCAAGGUACAACCCCUCCAUUGAAGCCAUCUUAAUUGAGCAAGUGAGUUUUGGAAAUCUCCAGUGAAUUUUAUAUCCUUCACUAGAAGGAACCUCAAGUUGGUGAGUUUGUCAAAUUGUUCACCUCGAUAGCUUUUAUGGUUACAGCUUCUCCAGCCAUAAUCGCCUUCAUGCCUACUCCAGUCAAAGCUUAGCGGGCUAUAAUGGCCAAGAAGAAGGGCCUCAAUCUCACAAGUGCCCUACAAUUACAAAACAUUAUGGACCAUAAGUUUUAAUUGAUGAAAUGAUCUAUGUAUAAAAACAGAUGGACUAACUUCAAUUUGAUAUCAUAUUGUUAUGGUGUUGACUUCUUAUUUUCAACUUGGUGAAAUAACAAGUUGUCACUACAUAUGAUUUAUCUAAUUCAUGUAAAAAUGGGAAGCUCAAGAAGGUGCUUUGGAACUUUUCCUCUCCCAGUUAUGCUUUUCGCAAAUUUACACCUUUUGAAUUACCAAAAAUUGCAUCCUUUCAAAAUUAUAAUAAAAGGCAUCUAUUUAUUUACAAACUACUUCAAAUAUAUCUGUCAAAAUUCAUGCCCCUUAUAUGUGAAACACACAACCCUAACUUGUAUCAUUCAUAUGCAAAACACAUGACCCUUACAGUCCAAGUACAUCUAUCAAACUUGUCAUCAAAACAUGUAUCAAAAUUAGAUAUUCUAAAUUGUAGAAUCCCCCUAUUAUUCUGGUGUGCCUUGUUUACAAUUCUCAAUAGCAAAAUAAAAAUGAGAAUGUCACCUCAAAAUGUACGCAUGCGUUUUUUAUUCCUUUCUUAUCUUCUCAUGCGUUUCUUAUAAUGAGCAUUUUUAAUUAUACAUGGAAAAAAGAUCGAUUAUAUAUCAAACGUUAUGUAGAUAAUCUUUACUCCUCUUAUUAUUAGUACAUAUGUUUGAUGCAACAUUUUCAUUAUGUUGUUAAUUUUGCCACAGUGAAAUAGCAAUAACUAAUGAGAUCUUGCAUCAAGAAUGAUCGGACAUGAAGAUUGAUUAAACUGCAUACUUAGAGAACUCAAGUCUUUUACAUUUUUCUUUCAUUGUAACCAAAUAUUUAAGGAACUCCAAUUUAUUUUGUCUUAGGUGAUGAAUUGCUCAGUGAGCACAAAUCAUGAGUUGUAAGAUGGAUUUGUUUGAUGGCUUGAAUAUUUCCUUCAAACUUUUAUUCUUUUGGAUGAGAUACUCCUUAUUUAGAAAUUUCUUGUAUAUUAUCGUAUUUUCAUCAAUAACUUCACAGAUACCCCUCUUUUUUUUCCAGUUCUAAGCAAUUUCUAUUUAGUUCAUUACGUUUUCAUUUGUACGAAAAUAUCCUCGUUGAUAUACUGCAGUAGCACAGUUUUUACUAAUCUCGCUACUUAAUUAUAUUGUGCAUUCUCAAUGUUCAUAUUCAGUGUUUUUCAAUCAAAGAUUUGCACAUGCUCGUUUGAUGUUUGCACAAAUCAUCCAUAUGUUGUAAUUGCUUUUAGUUGCAUACCUUAUUAACUUUCAUCUUAAUAAUGAAAUUAAUCACGACACAAAAUUUAAAACCAUAAUUAUUUUUGGGAUAAGUGCAUUUAAAGUUCUAAAACUGUUCAUAAAAGUGUGAUUUAGUCCAAUUAAGUCCUAAAACUUGUCAAAUUGGUUUAAUCAAGUCCUUUCUUUAAAUGCAUUUUUUCAAAAUUUUAAGACUCGAUUACACUUUGUGACAAGUUUCAGGACUUGAUUACUCUUUCCAAAUAAAUUUUAGGACUUGAUUACACUUUUUGAAAGUUUAAAGUUUUAGGAUUCGAAUCCAUUUUUAUGAUAAGUUUUAGGAUUUAGUUGCAUUUUUUUAAAAUUUCAGGUCUCAAUUGCACUUUCAUGACAGUUUUUAGGACUUUCAUUGUACUUAUCUCAUUAUAUAUAUCACAACUAUUGGAAUGGCCAUUGCUUUGACUUGACCCACUUUUUAUGGAUAUUAUGCAUAUUAAUCUCAAUAAUAAGAUUGGAUAUAUCACUUUUCCAAUAUUCCUCCAUGAAAUUUAUCCUACAAUAGUAACCUUCACAUUUAGAUCUAAUAAGAAAAAAAAAAUUCUGACUUCAGUUUUACUUCAAAGUAAUAAGAGCUAUCUCUAAUUGUGCAUCUACUCAUAUUUGAAUGUAAGGAUGUUAUUAAUUUUUAUUAUGUGAAUAUAUUGUUCUAAAACUUAAGUGAUGAUAAAAAAAUUUCAAAAAUAUAGAGUCGACAUUAUUUCUUAUCCUAAUAAGAUGAUUGAAUUAAAGAAAGUACACACCCACACACACGCACACGUAUUAUGUUAACAUUACUACUCUGUAAGCAUAUGGGUGUGAAUUUUUUUUUAGUUCUGUCACUAAAUAUCAUUCAUUUAUAAAUUUCAAACAAAGUUGUAAAUGUAAGGUUAUUUUAUUGCUAAAAUGUAACCUUUAACGAUUCUCUAUAUAAAAAGUCAUAUAUAUUGUUUAAAUAUUUAAACCAAGUUUAAUCAAUAUAAUGUGAACAUUGUUUAGUUUUGAUAGUUCUUCCACAUUAGAAAGUUCAUAAUUAAGCGUUGCCCAACAACUUAUAAAUGUCAUGUUUUCUCCGAAAGUGCUCUGUCCAACACUAUGGUUUUGCAAUUUUAUUGUUGCAUUGAUGUUUUGAAAGGAGAGUGUCCUCAACAAAAUUUUAGGAGUAUAUAUAUCUUUUUUUCAUUUUGACAAAAACAAAAGAGAUGAAAAAGAAAGAAAGAUAUAUAUCCUAUAUCAACUACCAAGAAACUGCUGCUCAAUUAUGUCUUAAAAUAAGGCAAGACAAACAAUUGACCGGACAAGCUCUUCGGCUAAUGGCUGCCCCAAUUUUGGCGCAUCAAUUUUCAUCUCUAAUAAGAAAGAGAAGAUGGACUCAACAUUCACUAACUAUAAGAUAAAUAGAGGAAACUCUUACCUUGUUGCUCUCAAGCACAUCUUCAGCUUCCUCAUUAGUCCAUAUCCGACUACAUUUUCCAACCUUCUUUGGAUGUUCUAAACGAACAAUUUCCCUUCCAAGAUCUCUCAGUUGAUCAUGCAUCAUUAGCUUGCCAUUUUUGUCAAUUUUAAUUAGGGACAUAAGACUUAAUACUUCAAUCCCUUUCCCCGAGUAAAAUUUACAGGCAUCCCACAUAUAAGUCGGAUAUUGUUUAGAAAUUCCAAUGAAAAAACAUGCAAUAUCCAAAAAAAUCUGUUGCUCUUCAUAAUCUAAUGCGUCGUAACUUAUCUUCAACCUCUCUUGCACUUCCUUAGCAGGAAUUUUCUUCAAUUUCUCUGAUGUAUCUUUCCAUGUUGACUUUGUCUUUCCACAUAAGUAUGAGCCUAUAACUUCAAGUGCUAAAGGAAGGCCCCCAGUAAUAGAUACGAUAUCAUGAGAGAUAUGCUUAUAAUCACUCGGAGGAAAAUCAUUUCGAAAUGCAUGUCUACUAAACAAAAUCAAUGAUUGAUUUGGAGGCAACUGUUCAAGUUCAUAUAAGUGGCUAGCCCUAACCUUGUCAAGAAUACUCUUGUUUCUAGUUGUAAUAAUGACUAUACUUCCCACUUUAAACCAACUACCGUCUCCGACCAAAGCAUCCAAGUGAGUAUUAUCAUCCAUAUCAUCAAGAAGAGCGAGGACUUUCUUACUUUUACAUCGAGAUUUGAGUACACGGAUUCCGUCAUCAACAUUAGACACCUCCCACAAUUCUCCUAUCACAUCAGAAAUGAGCUGCUUUUGUAGGCAUUCAAUACCCUUGCGUUGAGAUGUUUCUCGAAUAUUUGCCACAAAGCUACAUUUCUCAAAAUCACUUAAUAGCUUGUUGUAUAACACCUUUGCAAGAGUUGUUUUACCGAUGCCGCCCAUUCCAUAAAUUCCAAUGAUCCGUGUACCAUUGAAAUUAGCAUCUAUCUUGCUCAUAAUCUGUUCCACAGGAUGAUAAGUUCCCACCAACUGUUCGGGAACACUUAGGUCGAAAAGUCUUUUUAACUCACCCAUAACUCUUAUGCCAACCGUUUUCACUAAUGUUGCUUCUUGCCUAUCAAAUAAUAAUACAAAAUUUCAAUAUAUGAUAGCAAUGUUUAUAUGUUUUUUUCAAGUAAGAUAUUUAUGAGAAACUUAACAAUGUUUUGGCGGACAAUAACGUACCCAUUAGCUAUUUUCUCCGAUUCCCAUCCUUUUAAUAAACUAACUUCGUUGAGCGCUUCUUCCCAUUCCUUCACAACCAUUUGACCCAAAUUGUUUUUAUGUGCAUUGAUGGCAUCUCCAAAUCUCCCCUUGAGAUGUCGGACUUGUGAGGGUUCCACUUUGUAAAAUAUGGGCAACACCACUUGCUCUCCGCUUUUCCUGCACUUCAACAUCUGAGCCAGCUCUUGAAGGCACCAUUUGCUGGAAGCGUAAUCCUCAGAUAUAAUCGGAAUCGAAAUCUUAGACUGCAUGAUAUUGUAGAGAAGCUCCGGACCAAUCUCCUUACCAACACGAAGCUCAUCGUUGUCUCUAUACACACGAAUUCCUGCAUCAACAAGGCUAGUAUAGAGAUGAUCAGUGAAGCCUUUGCGAGUGUCUUCCCCUCUAAAGCUCAAGAACACUUCGUAGUCACUUCCUUUCAGCCUUUUGGUUCCACCAUUAUCACCUACAUGUGGAGAGGUCGACGACGAAGACGCUCUGUAUGGCAGAUCUUCUGAAUGAGGAGGCUCUUUUCUGAUCAUCUCGAGAUAGAUGGAGCGGAGCCUCAAAAGAAGAGGAGUAUGGAAUCCUAGAUGUAGGAAUUGCAGAAAUGUCUCUCAGGGCUCAAUUGAGAGCUACAUUCAAACAUAAACAAAAGCUCUCAUACAAGUCAUCAAAAGAAAAUGGAAAUAAAAACAAGAAAGAGAGAAGAGGAGAAGAGCAAGGAGUCACCGAUUACCUGAGGAGUGCUUAAACAACACAAUCCACACUCUGCUGUGAUCUCCACCGAUUCUCACCUUCGACGUUGGAUUACCCACACGCAACCGUCUUUUAUAUGCGUGCUUGAAUGAUGCUGAGUUCUGGCCAUCCAACGGUCCAGGACUCUUUAUGCUAAUUGAACGGCUGCGAUGCAUGCUGCAGGGAAAGGAGAAUUAUUGCAGGCGUAAUUUCCGUAGCACCGCGCAGAAGGUGCGUGGAAUGAGGGACGCUUUUUAUUCGAAUAGGGAAAGUUUAUUAUUUUCAAUCAGCAAUCUGAUUUUCAUUAAGGAGAUUGCUCUAAAAUAGUAAAUCACUAGAUAAAUCUCUCCCAAAAACAAUUUUAUCAAAUUAAAUUUCUCCAUACCACAUCAUAUAUCUAAAAAUUAUGUAGCCAUCACUCCUCACUCACGGCACUUUUAUCCCUCUCCUUAUAUUAAUAAUUUUUUAUGCUCUAUAUCCUUUUAGAGUCACAUUUAGAAAUUCUUGGCCAAUGAAUUCUCCACAAUUGAAUAUUUAUUUAGUCAUCCAUUUUUACUUUCUUUUUUCCAUUUUUUGCUUUUUUCGAUGGUCAAGUGGAAACAGAUGCUAUUGAUUUGUUUUAGCAAUGUCUAGAGAAAGAUAUGGUGGCAAUUUUUACUAGGAAAACAUUAAUAGGAGUCUUUUACACUCUUUUUUAUCAUCUAGUCAUUUUGAAAAUGUUAAGCUGAUUUAUCUUCAUGACAAAGUUGCAUGAUAUGUGUGUGUAUAUAGAGAAAUAUAUUUAUACAUGUAUCAUAGCUUAACAAAUAUUGUACCAUUACCAUGGGAAACAUUUUCAAUGUCUUUCUUGGAGAGUUCCUACAACCCCUUUAUCAAAGUAAAUGCUAUGCCACUUUCAUAGGAAACUCCUAAUUUUUCAAUAUCUUUCUUUGAGAGUUCCUACAACCCUUUUAUCAAAGUAAAUGCUAUGCCACUUUCAUAAGAAACUCCAAAAUUUUCAAUGUCUUUUCAAUGUCUUUCCUAGAGAGUUUCUACAACUCCUUUAUCAAAGUAAAUGUUAUACCACUUUCAUAGGAAACUCCUCAGGAAACUCAUCUCUCUCUCUCUCUCUCUCUCUCUCUCUCUCUCUCUCUCUCUCUGAAAAAUUGACAAGUGCCUUUUGAGUAUGCAUUUAGAAAUAUCCAAUUACGUGAAUCUCAUAAGGUCUCCACAUUUUUUAACUAUUUGUCAGUGUAAACCGUUGGAUUGACAUUGAUAAAAUUGUUGUGUUUAAAGCCACUAGAUCAUAUUGAAGUGCGAAAGAUGAGGAAAAAUUUUAUGGUAUACCUAUUGUAAUGUUACAACAUUACGACACAUAGGGUAGUUAAGUACGAAAACAUCAUAAUAGCACAUUCUAUGACGAUCAAGUGCAAAGUGGUGUGAAACAAAAGUGUGCAACUGAAGAUUUUCUAAAGAUGAAUGGAAUCAACAAUGAUGGAAGUUUCGCAGGAAAAAGAUGAGCCGAGUAUGGCAUGGGUCCGUUGCCUUGUGACUUACUUUUUUUCACUCACCCACUUUGAUGACCAAAAAGGAGCCUGAGUCCUGCUUUGUUAUCAACAGGAGAAGAGAAACAAAAAAGUGAGAGCAUUUACACUUCUUGUGGACCUCCAGAUGAUUGUGUUACUCGGUCAGUUGGAAAUUGGAAUCUAAAAGAAAAAUCAAAUAUAUUUGUACAUCUCUCUAAUAUAAAAAAUUUAUUCUUUUUGACCCAAAUGAUCAAAUAAUAAUUGAGAGAUAUAUGAUUUGUCAAAUAAUACAAAUGGUGAUACGAAAGUUAAAUGUAUUUUAGGUCUCAUACUAAUUACGUUCACAAAAAUUGUAGAUUCAUUUUAGAAAUUAUAUUCAUAUGUUUAAAUAUCAUGAAAACAAGUUUGAGUUGGAGCCAUUUGCACACAUUCCAAAAGCCUAAACUUAAUCAAUUUAUUAAAUUUGCAGCGUAUUUGAUGUGCUUUCAAGUGGCGAUCCUCUAUGAUGAUGCAUAUGAGUUUCAAAAAGUUAUCAUAUGUUCACUCUCGUUGCAAUUGCACCCACUGAAACUAAAAUUGAUUUGAGAAAAUUCUUCGAAUUUUAUCCUCACUAUCAUUUGAAUGAUUUAGAGAAUUUUCAAAUGAGAAUACAGAAAAUCAUUUUCACUGUUUGGCUUCAAGAAUAAAAUACAUGUUUUCUCUUUUCACCAUUCUCGUUCUCGUCUAAAAAAGCGGCUCCCCACAGGAUGCUUUUCUUUAACUCCCUUCUUUUCAUAUUCAUUCACUUUGGACACAAAUUUAUCAUUUAUUGGAGCAUUUCCAUGACUUUUUUUAAAGUUAAAGCUUUUUCCAAUGCUAAAGGGAUUAUUCUUUUCAAUCUAUUGCUCCAGGAAGUUUCAAAGAAAUUUCCUGUUGAAGAUUUUCUUCUCAUUGUUCUUUAUUCUUUUCAAUUCAUAGCUCCAAGAAGCUUCAAAGAAAUUUUCUAUUCAAGAUUUUCUUUUCAUUGUUUUUUUUCCUUUCAAUCCAUAGCUCUAGGAAGCUUCAAAGAAAUUUCCUGCUCAAAAUUUUCUUUUCUUAUUCUUUUCAAUCCAUAGCUCUAGCAAGCUUCAGAGAAAUUUCCUAUGCAAGUUUUUCUUUUCAUUGUCCUUUAUAAUGUAAGACAAUUUAGUUAAGAAAUUCUAAUGCUAUUAAAUAAUAAUGAUGGGUAUAUUAAUUCCCUUUAAUUUUCCAAGAAGACAAACAAUUGGUUAUGUGACUUCAGUAAUUUCCCACUUGCUAACAUGAUCAUCCAAAAAGGAUUGGUUAAAAGAUUCUUUUUGAUUAGUGAGAUAAUUUUUUUUUCAUUGCUCUUAUUAAUAGACACAAAUAGUAUAUGAAGAGACUAAAGUCUCACAAUAUAGAAAUAUGAUAUACUGGGAACAGGAUAUAUUAUUGAAAAUAAAACCAAACUUGUAUUGUUUAGUUCCAAUUUCUAUAGAAAAGUUUCCUACCAAUCAUGUUUUCGCAAAAAAGAUUCCAAUGAACUACUAACAGUUUUUUUUUUAAAAACAAAAUGGGCCAUAAGUGAACUUGAUUUUCUAGUUACUUCUAAUGAAAAUGUUAUCAAUUAAAAAUACUAUUCAUGAAAAUUACUUUCAAAAAUAAUUAUUUGUAAAAUCAUACUUAUUAUCUAGGGUCAUGCAAGGGCUAGAACCUUUAUGGUCAUGGUGGCGGGGCUCACCUCCAUCGCGAGUACUGACUUUCAUAAAAAGAGACGCAACCAUAGAGUUCAUGACCUCCGUUGAUUCGCUACACAGUCAUCUAUAGUCACAGGAAGCCACGACCUUCAUGGCCGGACGUCUCUCCCUUAAUGAAAAUCAAUACACUUGAUGGAGAUGAGCCUCGUUAUCAAAAUCAUGGAGGUCGUUGCCCUCAGUGCGAUCAUAGGAAAAAAGGUGUGAUUUUAUAAAUUAUGAUUGAUAAGAUAUCCUUGUGCUCAAAAGCCCUUUUCGCUUUUUGCCACUAAAUGGUUUCUGAAUCAACAAUCUUUUUAAAAGUCCAUUUUCUCGUCUCAGCAAUUUGUCCUUUUCUUCUUUAAGUACUAAGAAAAAGGAACGUCAUUGUGGUGGGCAAAGUUCAGUCAAUGGAAUCUACACUGUUCAAUCGGUGCUAUCAAAUUUGUGUCACAACUCACCAGCGAUAGCGACGACCUAAGAAAUCCUUUAUCUUUGUGUCUAAGGAAUCAACAUGAAGUGAUUAAAUUUUUAAACACAAUUCAUUGUACUUACGUGAUAAAACUUACGAAUUUAAAAUCGUGCAAAUUCAAAUGUUGCUUAGAAUAUUGUCAAUCAUAUUUGUUUGAGCAAAUGACAUUAUAAGGAGUAUCUAGUUCGGUAUGUUUAUGAUGAAAAGGCCCAUUUGUUAUUGAUAAGCCCACCUAAGAUGCCAGACGUGGCAUAAUUAGGUGAACCCAAUACAUGUUGUAGGGAUUAAAACAAGAGAUGGCAUUUUCGGACUAAGGCGUAUCAAUAAUAUUGCCUUAAAGAUAGUGAUUUAUUCAAUAGGAUUCAUGAUCCUAUUCAUUCGAAUCCAAUGGAAAUCUUAACCCUAGACACGAUGCCUAGACUCUAAUUUUGCUCACUUAGUCCAUGUGGGAAGCAAAGGAUGAAUACGAUUCAAGCCUUGAAGAGACCGUCAAUAUAGAGAAAGCAUGAGAGAGACGAGGAGGAGAAGAAGGAACAUAGGAUAGAGAGAAAUGUUGAUGAUCUCUUUGUUCCCAUCUUUUCUAGAAGACGCUCCGGGAUAACUAGGCAAAGGAAACGACACAUGUAAUAUUGGACGCAUAUAUUCAUUGAUGAUAUUUGAAAUCUAAGUUAGAUGAAUGUUAAGUUUUAAAUAGUAAUAAUCUAACUAAUGGAUAAGAAUUAAAAGACAAGAUAACUAGUGAGCAAUUUUGGCCUUGAAGUUUUAAUUUAUUCAAUGUGGUCCUUGAACUUUUAAUUUGUUCAAUGUAGUUUCUGAACUUUUAAUACAUAUUUAAUACAUACCUUGAAUUGUAUGAAAAUGUUCAAUAUAGUCAUUCCAUUAAUUUAAGAUCAGAGGCUACAUUGAAUAUUACCAUAUAAUUUAUGAACUAUAUUGAAUAUGUACCAAAAGUUCAUGGACCAUAUUGCACAUUGGGCUAAAGUUCAUGGGCUCUAUUGAACAUAUUAAAAGUUCAUGAACCAAAUUGUAUAUUGGGCUAAAGUUUAUGGAUUGUUUAUCAUUUUCCCUAAAAGAAACCCAAAACAAUCUCUCACUAUUUUCUAAGGAGGAAUUAUUACAAGGCAAACAUUGACUUCCAAUACAAUGUAUGAACCAUAUGGAUAUGUGGCAAAGCAAAAUGUAGUAGUUGAUUGGAGAAACCUUGAUCUUAGAAUUACUAAUUUCGGCUUCAUUUGUUUCAUGAAAAAUAAAUAAUUUGGAGAAUAUUUUUUCUUAAACUAGUUACUUAUAUCAUUUUACAGAAAUGAAUGAACGAAUUUGCCUUUAUUGUCAAUGAAAUUGUUUAGACAUAAGUUGUUGUCGAUAAUGAAAAUAUAUUUCAGUAACUAAUUGUUUCAAGAAAUACAAGCAAUCAUUUUUAAGAAAAUGUUGUCCAAAAAUCAUUCAUUUUUUGGGCAAUGUGUUAUAAAUCAUGCACUUACCCCAACUUAGUGAGAGCUUUAGAGCAUAACCAUAGCUCAUAAGAAGUAGCCCCGACUUCCACAUUAGCAAAGGUAAAUCCCAUCAAGAGCAUUCGUAACCACCAUUUUCGAUCCACCGUUUGUUAAGAUUAGUUUGAUCCUACUUUAUGGCAAAAAAAAACAAUGCACAUUUUGAGAUGGAAUUUUUCCUAUUAAAAAUUGUGGCCCUACUAGUUGCAAAGUAACGUGCACUGAAAAUAUAACCUCAAUGCUAACAUUUCGAUACAUCACAAUUGACUAAAAAAAUUUCAAACUCGUAUGUAAUACAAAUGUAGAGUAGGCUACAUCCAGUGGAUCCUUAAAUAUUGGUACUAAUCACAUCUCCUUCAAAGCUCUUGAUUACUCUACACGAGUUGAUCUCUUAGUAAGAGGAUUGCCAGAAAAAUUGUCCAAAAAGUCUUAAACUUAUUAUAUGACAGCCAUUUCAACCUUAGACUUACAAAUAUGUAUAUACCAUACGGUUUUAACUUUGUCGUUAACACUGAUUUAGAACCUAUAAUUAUAGUGUUAGGAGAAAGAUUAGCUAAUGACCAUGUACUAUCUUGCUUAAUAAAUUUUAUAUCAAUUAGGGGUGAGUGGUUCCAUGAUUAUUUCAUCUUUUACUUGGAACCUCCAACCUGUUGGAACUAAUUCCUCAAUUUUUUUAACCUAGAACCUACCUUACAUACCUUGGAGCCUUAAACCUGUCCUCUCACAAGUUUUAGGAUAAAUUUCACGAUCUAUCUAGGUUCUACCUUUAUUCUUACUUAAAUGACUUUAGCCAAUUGUCAUGUCUAAUGACCGCUAUUUACUAUUACAAUAUACAAAUCACAACUCAUAUCUAGAUACACGAAGAAUAUGAAAUAUUAACUAUGCAAAAGUCUCACUCAUAGAUAUCAUUGGAAAUGGAAGCUUAUACUAGUUAUUUUAGAUCACACAAUUAUCAUCGGACACAAUGGAAUACUGUAUGAUUUUGCAAAGAACAAGAAAAACAAAAAGACUUGUUCACAUGUAGGUUCAGUAAUGAAGCGAUGGCUAAAGUCAUACUUAACAACUAAUGAAUAAUGUCUAUUGUGUAAAGCACGCCCCAUAUGCUUUCAAAACAAUUUAAGAUUAGAUAUGAAUCUACACAAUUUGAUUCAAACAUUUUUACCAAAUAAGAUUGAAAAAAAGAUUUUAGGCAUUUCAAACUCAAAUUCCGGCCUAGGUUUAGUCUAAACUAACAUCAGAUGUUCGAAAUCAGGAAAGCAAACUCAAAUAGAUCAUGUUCUAUCUCCACAAAGGAUUCAAAGUCUUAGUCACUCCUAACUAGAAACAGAACCUUUCGGAACAGAAGCAUCAUUUGAUUAGCAAGGCCAAAUGAAACCGUGGCUGGGCGAUUAACUUCAGGAUGUAGCUUCAAAGAUUGCUAGUGAUUGAAACUAGUGCCGAUGAAGAGUUUUGAGCGAGAUCCAAACAACUCGAGACUUGUAGCCCAAAAAAAAAAAAGACGACGACGAAGACAACAAGACGGAGGAAAAUAGGGUAACAUUCUAUGCUCUUGUGAAUCGGAGAUGAACAAUAACUGAUGGCAAGCGGCAUCCGACAACAAUGAAGAGACUCUCAAAGAAGUUUUUCAAACUCUCCUAUCAUAGGAACUCUCUCUCUCUCUCUCUCUCUCUCUCUCUCUCAUGCAUGCGUGCGUAAACCGCCUUUUAUAACAUUAUCACAAAAUCGUUCACUGAGAAAAAGCCAAGGAGAAGGAGUCACCCUCAGAGAAGAGGGUUUCUUUUCAUUCGCUACAUCCAAGCCUCACCAUGUUUGGAUAUGCCAAUUCCUGGGUUUAGUAGGUUCUUGAUCCAAUUCUUUGAUUCUUAAUUCCCGGUCCAGUUUGACUUGAUUCGAUUCCUAUCCAGGAAUCAAACCACAUAAUGCAAGUUCAAAAUAAUAUGGAACUAGGAAUCAGACGAAGUCUCCCUAGAACCUAGAAUUAGAACGGUUCCCUCCGGUUCUCCAAUUCCUUAUUCUACUCUAAAAUCAUGCUCAUCCAUAAUCUCAACAUCCAUUCCCAUUGUCCAAAUGUGAGCAUCUGGUCUAGACUUAGCAUCAUUAUAAUUAUUUGGAUCAUCUACCAAAUCAAUCCCAUAAAUGGUCCAAAGACUUUUCUUAUUCUUUUCAUUAUCAAAUGCUAAACAUAUUUCGCCAACUAAAUUUGCUUAAUAAAUUGAUGUUGCAAAUUCCUCCUAAGUGAUUUGAUGCUUAGAGAACUUGAAUUCUAACAUUAGAAAACUGUCAAGUUUUAAAUAACAAUAAAGUCAUAGAUAAGAGCUAAAAGACAGAUAAUUACUCAAUAAUCCAAAACUCUCAGUCACACCAAUAUUUUUUAAAAGAAUUUGAAAUAUUGACAUUUGAUCUUAAUUGCCAAAUACUGAGGAGAUUACCCAAAAAAAUCCCAUACCUACCGUAUGGUGGUUAGUUUAGUAGUAAACUUUUCAAUUACAUCAAUAUUGUCCUAAAUCUUUUGAUGAUUUUACAUUGUAGUCAUUUCAACCAAUUUUAAAAAGGCAUUGCUGAUGUGAUGAGUCAAUGUUUGUUAUCCUAUAUGGUGUGACUGAUACUGACAUGAACAAUUUUAAAAAAUAUAUUUUUUUUUUCCUUUUUUUCUUUUUUCUUUUUUUCUUUUUGCUAGUGACUAGUAUUGGGCAAUGGCCAACAAGGGCUAGAACAAGGGCCACGGCCCUCAUUAGAUGUCAACGAUGGCUUGCAAGCCCUCACUUAUUGGCCAAUGAGAAUUAUUAGGUCCUUGCUGGCCACAACCCCCAAAAAAAAAGUAAAGAGAAAAAAUAAAUCAAAACAAAAAAAAAUAUAAAUUAUAAAAAUUAUCCACGUUAGCACCAGUUGUCCUAGGCCAUGCCAUAUAAGGCGAUCCACAACACUUCAACGAUUUUUAGUCAAAAUUAGCCAAAGUACUAUAUUGGUAAAUUGUCAAAAAGUUUAAAACUAAAUCGGCACAAUUAAAAAAUAUGAUUGAAUUCACAUCCAUAUAAUAGGUUUGGGAUUUUUUUUAGUAAUUUUCCCAAAAUACGUAAGGAUGCAUCUGUAUUGUUUGCCAUAAAUCUAAUAAAAAUUAUUUUAGUUUUGAAAUUUUUUAAGUAAUUAAUGGUAACGUUUAUAUGUUUAAGAAAAUUGAAGUGGUCAAUAUUAAGGUAAUAAAAAAGUACGUCAAAUAGAUGGGUCAAGUCGGACUAAAAAAAUGAUCCGACCCAAAUUGAUCUAUUUAAACUAUUUUUACCCAUUUCCAUCAAUAAAAAUAUAGGGAUAUAUACUCGACCCAACUCAUAUUCAAUUCAACCCAUUUUGCAGAAAUACUUAUAUAUUUAAUUUAGUCUAGAAAAACUCAUACUUAAACAAAGGUGAGAGCACGAAGUGAGCGAGCAUGAGAUUGAAUGAGAAUGCAAGAGUAAAGAGACAAUCAUAAGGUGAAUUAGGUCUAAAUAAGUAAUGCACUUAUUUAACACCCAUAUUUUUUUAGACCUUACCAUUCUAGACCGAUUUAUGACCUAUUACUAAAUAUAAGUAAUCAAUAUAACAACUCAGCAAUCAAAUAUUGGUUUUUUUUUUGGUCGAAACAAUCAAAUAUUGGUUAAAAAAUAAGUCUAUGACCUAUUUUGACAAGUCCUGUUAACAAUUUGGAUCAUGACUAUUUAAGCGCUUACCACCAUCAAAUCAAGAUGUUGAUCACUUUGGAGAUAACAAUUUCCCCCAUACCUUUCUUUAUUGGGUUCUUUCUCUCCCCCUUGGUUACAAGAAAUUUUAUCUGGCCCAACGCCAUAACUUUUAUUUCGGUCUAUAUUCACGUUGAGACUACAUUUAUCAUGGCGUAAUAACUAAGGACACAAUGAUUUAUAUUUUCUAAUCAAAUAAGUCUUCUUCUUCAUGUGUCUAAAUAAUCAACAAAAGUAAACUAGAAAUUUCACACCAUCGCAUGUGAUGUUCGCAUUGUAAUUCCUUCCAAUCACAUGGGCCCAACCAUUGGACUCGACCUCCAAGGCCAAACCCAAACGAAAAAUUGUUGGACGGACCUAGGUACCAGGACUAAGAAAAAAAAAGCAACAUGGCCCAUCACCUACGGGGCCAUGCCUGGGCAUGGGCCGAACAAAAAUAUAUAUUUGUUGGGCCUAGAUAGGCCCAUGGGCCUGACCGAGCCUAGGCACAAAGUAGGACAUGGCCCGCCAUCUAAUGGGCCAUGCCUUGGCACGUGCCCAAGCGUGCUUGGUCAGCACGGCCCACUAUUGAUCUCUAUCCACGAGAAAGGAAGUUGCACCCACAUAAAUUUAUUCAUUUAGGACAAAUUUCACUUUGCAUUUGCAUUUCAUUAACACAAUACUGAUUAGCAAAAAUGCUGGAACAUGUAACACUCUAGACAAAAAGACGAUGAUGACAUAUCAAAGCAAAUAUUCCAUAAAUUUGAUAACUCAAAAUUUGCAAUAUGUACAGUUAAUGUGGAUCGUUCCAAGGGCUGUGAUAAUCCAAAGUCAAAAAUAUCUUUAUAAAGAAGAAAACUUCAACUUCAUACUACGACUUCCCUCAACAACUUCACCGGCAGCAACUAAUCUGGAGACAUCGGCAGCCUCGCUGGGGACUCCUUGUUCGACUCCCGGUCCCGAUUGCCCUCAAAGUUGACUGCAUAGCUCUUCGGAUCAUACCCGAACUCUGACACCACAACGCAGCCCUACCUCCGACACCUCUCAAUCCGAGCGAUGAGGCUCCGGAGCUUACGCCGGAUGUCUGGCAAUGAGAGCUCCCAAGUCGUGGAGCAGAGCCACGAGUAGGGUGACCAAGCCGCUUUGUGGCCAUUGCUGCAACUGUCGCGGUCCGAGGAGGCAGCCUUAUGGUAGGCGACAACGUCUCAAAAGCAAUAGAAGAGGAGAUGCGGGGAGGACAAUUUGAGCUUGCGAUUGAACAGCAUUUGAGCGUGUGUAGAGAGAGAGAGAGGAUGAGGUGGCGGGUUUUUAUAGGGUGGACGUGGGAUAAGGAUGGGGACAAAGUUGGGGGACGCGGUGUUUUGAGUCAAUCCCUCUGUUGAAAUUUUGUCUUACUUUCCCAAACUUCAAUUUUGAGCAAUUUAGUAAUUAAGUUAAAGUGAAGAGAUCACGAAAUAAUUACAUGCGACAUUAUUUUCACCUCUUAAAUGAUUAAAUCUGACCUAUUGCCAUUGAAAAGACAAAAUCGCCUUUAUUCAUUUGAUUGCAAUUUAUAAGUGGUGGCCCCCAAAUUUUGCUUUCCUUUUAAUUGGCUUUGCUGUUUUUAUGUAGGAUUUUGUUACCAUAAUGACAAAGUUUCCAUGUAUAUGAAGGGUGUGAUUUUUUUAAUUGUUAGAUUUUAUUUCCAUAAAAAUUAGUUUUGUCGAAAAGAGAAAUACAAAAAAAAAAAAAAAAUCUAUUUCUUGGUUAAAUUUAGCAUAGUCAUUUGUUAUAAAUUUCCGCUCUUGAUGCGUAAUUUACCAUCAAAUCAUGUCUUAUCAAUUUAUAUAUAUAAAAAAAAAUCUUUGAUAAUUUUCCAAAAAUAAUAUCACAAUUACAUUCUCCAACAUGAAACUUGUCAGGCCAACAUAUAAUUCACAAAAUAAAUCAGACUAAAGAUGCGUUUGAUAACUAUUCCAUUCUCAAGAAUAAUUUCUAUUUUGAAUUUAUUUUUCAAUUGCUUGGACAAGUUUCUAACUAGAAGAACGUGUACAUUUGAUAUGACCCUAAUAAUUUCUAUUUUCAUUUUUUUAAUUUAAUUAUAAAAAUAUCAAUAGAGAGUUAAGUUAACAAUUCAUGUUUGAAUAAAAAUUUAUUGAGCCUAGGCUAGUCCAUGAGGACCCAUGGGCCUGACCCGGCCUAGGCACAAAAUGGACACGGCCAACCACCUUAAUAGGCCAUGCCGUGGCCUGGGCCCAAGCAUGCUGUACUCAGGUCAGUACGACGCACUACCAAUCUCUAUCCACAAGAAAAGAAGAUGCAUCCGUGUUAUCCGUAAAGUAAAUCCCAUUCAUCCAAAAUUAAAAUUCGCAUCCCGUUCAUCCAAAACUAAAAUUCGCUUCUUGUCAGUUCCCGUUUCAAUUUUUUUUUUUUUUUUUUGGUUGAAGGUUCGCAUUUCGAUGAGGUAACGCCAAUCAGCGAAAAAGCUCGACCGGGGAUCAACAAUCCUCACAAAAAGCGAAAGCGAAAUGGAGAUGACGACAUAUUGAAGCAGAUCUUCCACAAAUUUUAGAUCUGGAAGCUCUACAAAUAUGUACAAGCGCUACGGAUUGCUCCACGGACUGUUGAUAUAGUAGCCCAACUUGUCGAUCCAAAUCAAUAAAAAGAUGCUUUUUUCCAGAGGAAAGGACUUCAACUCCAAGCUACGAGUUCACCGGCAACAACCGAUCCAGAGACAGCGGCAGCCUCGCCGAGAAGUUCCUUGCUGGGAACUCCUCGUCCCACUCCCUGCUCCGGUCGUCCUCAAAGUUGAGCGCGUAGCUCAUCGGGUCGUACCCGAUCUCCGAGGAGGCCGCCGCAGCCGCCGCCGGGUGACCUGGCCUCCACCGGCACCUCCCGAUCCGAGCGAUGAGGCUGCGGCACCUAUACCGGAUCUCCGGCAGCGGGAGCUCCAGGGCCGCCGAGCAGACUUUGCGGGGGUGGCAGUCCAAGGAGGAGGUCUCGUGGUAGGCGGCGGCGUGGCCAUCAUGGAAGCAGCAGAAGAGGAGGCUCGGGGAGGAGGAUGAUCCGAGCUUGUGAUGGAACAACAUUUGGACGGCGAGAGCGACGGGACUCGGAAUCUUGGUCUGCUCAGGUCUGGUCCCUGGUCUGUUCAAGAGCGUGAAGAGAGUGAAGCGAGGAGAUGGGGAUGAUGAGGAAGACGAUGGAGAAGAGAAUGAGGCGAAGGGUUUAUUUAUAGGGUGGACGGAUAAGGACGGGGGCGUGUGGCGGCAGAGCAGAGUGGCGUGGUGGUGGUAGGGAUGGGAGUGAGGAAUGAGGAUGAGGAAAACCGCGGGUGGUUCGUGGUGGGCAAGUGGGAAGCGGUUUUUUGCGUUAAUCCCGCGUGAGGUUUCAAUCUUACUUUUCUUUAACUUUAUGGUUGUGCAGUCUGGUAAUUAAUAAUUAUGCGGAAGUCGAGGGCCCACAUAGCUGCUCUUCCUUUUCAUUUUUUUUUAAUCUCUCUCUUUUGUUUUACGAAAUAUGAAUUUAAAUGACAUUUUUAAGGGUUUUAUUAUACGAUCAUAUAUAUAAUAAAUUGCAAGAGUAAAGGCCAAGAACGGAAUCACGAGUUCAAAGUUGUGACUUCUCACUUUAGACUCCGUUUGUUUUAUGAAAAAAUCGACAUUUUGAAAAUCUUUUCUUAACUUUAAUUAUUGUUAAUCGCUUACAAAAAUCAUUCAAUGAAAAGUAUUUCCAUUCUUAACAAAAAUUUAUACCUAAAUAUUUUUGCUAAUGAUGAUACCAUUUUUCAUUACCACUUUUUUCGAGUGAUGUAAAUAAUCAAAUUAAAAAUAUUUUCUAAAUCAUUGAUUUUUCGUGAAAUAAAUUGAGCCUCAAUCUCCUUAAGCAACUGCAAGGCAAGAAAGAUAAUUGAUAUGAAGAUGGAGUAUCCGUAAACCUAGAAAUUUGAUGGACACAAUUAGAUCAUAAAAGAAAAUCAAUAAGAUUUGAAAUGUCGCAAACUAAAUGAGUAUAACUUGGAGGCAAGACGACAUAAGAAAGGGGAUUAAUUGGGACAUUUAAUUUUCACGUGAUAUCCAAUCAAAUAUCCAAAGGUUAGAAUCCUCUAUUACCUCUCACAUUACCAUCGGUUUUCAUUUUCUUUCAAUGUCCAGCCAAAUACUAUUAUGUUAAUGCAGUUUCUUUUUGGUGGAUAGUUGAUGUCCAAACCAACUUACCAAUAAUACUUUGUGGUUGUGUUAAUGCAUCCCUUAAACACAUCUUGAUGCGCAAAUUGAUCCCAAGCUUGAGAAAGCAUGUUACAUAAAUUGAUAUGCACACAUUAAUAAAUUAUCCAAUUGCGUGCUCAAACUGGAUUACUUCGAUAAAUUCUUUUUUUCUUGUUCAUAAGUAAAUAAUUCAUUCUCAAGAUAAUACAUGAGAGGCUCAAAAUAAAGCAAAUCUCAACAGUAAAAGCAGCAAAGCACAAACUGUAACAACGAGCACACUUUCAAUCCAUAAAAACGAACAUGUCUUGAGCAUUAAAAUAGAAUGGACAGUGCCCGAUAAAUAAAGUAACAACGAAUCACUUGUAUUCCCUACAUGCCCUUGCACUGAUCUCCACUUACCUCCUCAUGUGACAUUAAAGCUCUUCACUUCCAAUGGUGGUUUCAUAGAUUUCCAAGCCGGUUUUCCCACAUACCUAGAAUCCCCUUGCUCCCACUCUCGUUAUAAUAACCAGGAUGUCCCAUGGUGCAUGAACAAAACGGGGGGACGAUGAAUGUUCCCUAAUACUUAGUAACUACUAACUACGACAUAAUCAUUGUAAUCAAUCACUAAUUAAAAACAAUGGGGGCAACCAUAUGUUGUGUUUGGUUUGGACACUUGUCAUUUACGAGCCGAGCGUCUCCCAUGACUCUUGGGCUCGUGCCGUUCUCGAAGUGUAAGUCCCGCAUAUGAGAGCGCUCCACGUCAAUGCGGAUUGGAGUGAGCGUCCGAGGGAGAAUGGGUUCAUGCACCCAACCAUCGGGUGCCCGCCGCCGGACGCUUCCUUGCCCGACAAUUUGGUAUAGAUAAUAGGGGAAACAUGGUUUUGUCUCUAGAGGUGUAUUCUAGUUGGGUCGGGUCGAUAUGAUGCUCUCAAGCUAUGUUCCACUCUAUUCGAAUAUUCGAAACCCGACUUGAGCUUGAACGAGUAUUAAAAUUGAUGCUCAAGUUCAAUUCGACUAGAAAAAUCGAGAUGCUUGAUUUCAACUAAAUGAGUAGUAAGCUUCACUUUUAUAGAUCAAACAUGAGCAUUCGAAAGAGCCUAAAUAUCUAAUAUUAUAAUAAUUUGAUAAAAUAAGAUAUCUUUUUGUAUAAAGGUACGCUUUUAAAAUACACAAAAAAAAAUAUCAAUUAUUGGAUUGUUCAGAUUCCUCCCGUAAAUGUUAUGUCACUUUUCACUAGCAACAAAACUCAAACAUCACAUCAAUCAUGGUUAAGCCCAAAACAAUCAAAUCCAUGGCGCUUAAACCUAGAAUGACAUUGGUCUAUGCAGGCACAUAUUAAAUUUUCAUAGUGUGUAAUUAUUAUGUAGGUUGAUGGUGACCAUAGACCCAGAAAUAUUCAACAACUCAAAUAAUUAAGUUUCAACAAUAAUUUAUAUCACUUGAGAAAAAUAUUUCCAUGAUUAAUAAUUUUUAUUCACCAUAAGAAACGAUCGUGGAAAAAUUAACGUGAGUAUAAGGCAAAAACAUUUUCAUCGGAUGAAUAACCUCCGCGCGCUUAAGGGGAUGCUUUCGCUAGGAUAACUGACGCGAAGAUUUUAUGGAAGCAAUCAAAUCCUUUUGAUUUGUCUGCGGUUAUUCUGGUAAUCAUACCUCCUUACACCACGCUCUCUCCACAUAAAUUAAUAAAUUAUACAAGGUGUCUAGUAUCGGAGAAAACUAUUUUAAUGUGAUGGUUAUUCUGAAUAUAAUAUUCGAAGACGUAUUACAUACUAGCAAAAAUGUACACAAAAGAGACAUUUAAAAGUUUUUUUUAUUUUUACAAGCCUAGUACAAAAUAUUUGAGUAAAGAAAUACAAUAUAAAAAUAAUAGGAAAUAUUUCAAAGAAUUAACUUGAAAUGAGGCCGUUUUCUCCUAAGAGGGUUUGGAGUGGUUCUUGAGAGCAUAUUUGACUCAGGUGACCCUUCAGGAUACAAGGGCAUUUUCACGCAUGGACACUUUUUUUGGGUUUUUCUUUUUCUUCUCUCUCAUUUUCUUUUUCCUCUGGCAUAGGGGAUUGGUUUCCAAGGUAUGCAGAUAGGGUUUAGAUUCCAAAAAUUAAUAAACUUAUUUCGAUGANNNNNNNNNNNNNNNNNNNNNNNNNNNNNNNNNNNNNNNNNNNNNNNNNNNNNNNNNNNNNNNNNNNNNNNNNNNNNNNNNNNNNNNNNNNNNNNNNNNNAGAAUAAGUUUGUCUUUCUCUUGUUCAAUGUUUGCGAGCAAUUUGUAAUAUUCCAUAACAUUCAAUUAUAAGUGUGUAAUCUGUAACCACUAAUUUGAACUUUCAUUUUGGGCGAUAUCCAUGACUAAGACCAUUUACUCUGUAAAUGUUUAAUAUUUUUUUUUUUUGUUUGAAUAUAAAUUGUGAUUAGUAGAUUGUAACAACAAAUAAUGGUCAUUAAAAAUUAUGAUUCACUUAGUCAUUUAAUUCAUAAUACAUGUGGAACCUAGUAUAUCAUGGAACCCGUGACAAGAUAGAUUCCAAGAUAUGUAGAAUAGGUUUUAGCUUCCAAAAAUUGAAGAAUCGGUUCCUACGGAUAGGCUCCAAGUGAAACCAAGAUUGAUCAUAGAGCUGCUCACCCUUACUCCCACGCACUGGCCAACUUCCUCCUCAACAUCCGCCGUAUCUUCAUCGAGUCAACAUCAAUUAGGAUGUCGAGAAGAUGCUCUAUGAUAUAGCCUUGGUGUCGCCAGAGAUGUGUCUAAGAGCCCCAAAACAAUGGAGUUUGGUUGAGAUGAGCCGAGGAGCACUAGGUCCUCAUCGUUGUCAUCGACGCUCAAAUUCCCUCGCCACCCUCGUGAGCUUCAACCUCGUGUUGUCCUCAUCGAUCUUGUGAGUGUUGAGUAAGAGAAUGUCCUUCAAGCAAGCGUUGUGGACCAGAUAGGCGAGCACUCGGUGCUUCUUGACGCGAGCCAUGAGUCGGCCCGUGACACAAGGGAAGCGGAAGGUUUGAGCUCACUCCAGUCCACCAUGAAAAUGGCGAACCCUUGCCCUGUAUUCAUACUCUGCAAGAUUCUACAUCUCACCUGCAACAACAGCAACGAGUGUCACCAAAAAGCAACAAAACUAAAAUUGGAAAAGGGAUAAUUACAGAGGCGGUCCCUAAACCUUAGUCAAUUUACAAUGUUUGUCUUCUAAAUUUUUACCUUAAUCAAUGUGGUCCAUAAACUUUAGUUUAACGUGGAAUAUCAUUCAUAACAUUUUUAAUUUGUUCAAUGCGGUCCCUAAACUUGUAAUAAAUAUUCAUUAUAACGCCUAUAUUAUGUGAAAAUGCCCAAUCUUAUCCUUCAUUGAUUAAAAUUCGAGGACGACAUUGAAUAUUUUCAUAUAAUCCAAGGACCAAAUUAAAUAUAUACCAAAAAUAUAAGGAUCGUACUAAACAAAUUAAAAGUUUAUGGACAACAUUACACAUGAUGUUAAAGUUCAGCUCAUUUAUGUUAUUUUUUCCAUUGGAAAACAAAUUAAAUCGCAAUAAUGAGAGUGAUGAUGAGAGGGUUGCUUACUUUGGAAAAAAGUUUUUCACUCUUCUUGAUGUAAGAUACAAAAUAUUCAAAAAUUAAAAUUAAAAUAGGUGAGAGACAAAGCAGAAUUAUCAUAUUUUAUUUGGCGACAUAAUCUGUAAGGAACAAUUAAGAUUAUAUGAGAGAUCAAAUGUGAUUGAGAUCAAGAAAGUGGGAGGUUCUCUUAUUUUAGAUGAGAAAAAUAUAUAUUUUAUAUUAAAAUUGAAAAAUUGCUUCCCUUAUUAAUGGCAUAAAUAUUUCCAUGUAAAGGUUCUCAUGUUACUGCACUAGUGGAUGUGCGAAUGAGUUCCGUGCAUGUGAAAAAUUGACAGUUACAAGAUUUUGUGAGAUUGUCCUAUUACUUAAUAGUUGAAUUGUCAAUUGAUUGACAAAUACUAUUGAUAGAGUAAGAAUGAUAUUUUACACAUACGCGUGAAAAAAGAAAAAUAUUUUAUCAUUUGAAUUUUUUUAGUCGGGUUUUAUUGUGAUAUGAAAAGGAAUCAAAUCUUAAAAUUGAAAAAUGUGAGAAAUAAAUUGGACUAUUAGUUAAUAUAUUUUAUCCAUUGGUCAUAUAUUUUUAAAAAGUAACUACUCAAGGAUAUUAUGAUGAACAAAAAAGGAUUGUACCAAGAAAAACCUCAAACUGGUAAUCAUGUAUCAAAUUAAUUUCAAACUAAUUCUUUGAUCUCAUAAAACCCCAAAAUAAUAUAAUUGUGACAAAUUUACCCCAAGUUAAUUUUUAUCUAAUUAAAAACUCAAAGCUAAUACAUUUGUGACAAAUUUACCUCCGUUAAUUUCAUUAAAUUGAAUUAAUAUAAAAAAAAUUAUAAGUUGAUACAUUUGUGACCCCAACUAGUAUACUCGCUAACUGUCACCUAUCUUCCAACUCAACAAUUUAAUAGCAAAAUUUAACAGGAACUAAUAGAUAAUAAAUUUGCUAUAUGUGUAUCAAUUUGAGAUUUUUAGUAAUUAAAAAAUUAAUUUAAAGUAAAUUUAUUAAUAUAUAUUAAUUGAAGAUUUUUCGUGAUAUUAAUUUAGUUAAAUUAUCAAUCCUAUGCUUUUAGAUUUUUUUUCUUCUUUUUUUUUUUUUUUGAGGGGGGGCCACCCAGCAAAACAAAAAGGGCCGUACUUGAGGUGAUUGCAUCUCAAGCCAGCUCAGUCGGCUUCAACUUUUGGACCAUGCAUUCAGUCGCCGUCGUCCUUGCGGUCCAAGGAGGCAGCCUUGUGGUAGGCAACAAUGGCCGCAUCCCGGAAGCUGCAAAAGAGGAGGUACGGAGAGGAUGAUUUGAGCUUGCGAUUGAACAACAUUUGGGCAUGUGGAGAGAGAGAGAGAGGAUGAGGUGGCGGGUUUUUAUAGGGUGGACGGGAUAAGGACGGGGCAAAGUGGGGGGACGAUGUGUUUUGGGUUAAUCCCAUCUCUGAUGUUUCGUCUUAUUUUUCCUAACUUCAAUUUUUGGGUAGUUUAGUAAUUAAGCUAAAAUCGAGAGAACACGAAAUAAUUCAUACCUUUAAUCAUUUGAUUGCAAUUUAUAAGUGGUGGCCCCCGAAUUUUGCUUCCCUUUUCUAUAGCUUUGCUGUUUUUAUGUAGGAUUUUGUUACCAUAAUGACAAAAUUUUCAUGUAUAUUAAGGGUAUGCUUUUUAUAAUUCUUAGAUUUUCUUUCCAUAAAAAUUAAUUUUGUCGAAAAGAGAAAAACCAAAAAAAUCUAUUUCUUGAUUACAUUGUUGAUCAAAUUUAUGGAUAAAUUGUUAAGUACAACCUAGAAAUAAAGUAAUAUUGACAAUCUUUUUUAGCAAAAUCAUUUGUUUUUAAAUUUUUUUCUGUUUUUAUGUAUAUCACCAUCAAAUCAUGACUUAUCAAUUUUCUUUUAUAUAUAUAAUGGAAUGUUCCAAAAGAAAAAUUCUUUGAUGAUUUUCCUAAAUAAAAUCACAAGUACAUUCUCCAACGUAAAACAUAUCGGGUCAACAUAUAAUUCACAAAAUAAAUCAAACUAAAAAUGCUUUUGAAUAAUCAUUAUGUUCUCGAAAACAAUUUUUUUUCUUUUCUUUAGACAAGUUUUUUUUUUUUUACUUAGAUAAGUUUCUGAUCAGAAAAACAUGUGCAUUUAUUAUGACCCUAAAAACUUCUAUUCUCAUUUGUUAAUGUAAUUAGAAAAAAUAUCGAGGUAGAUUUAACAAUUCGUGUUUGAACGCGGGCCCAAGGGUGCUGUACCCGAGUCAGCAUGGCGCACUACCAAUCUCUAUCCACAAGAAAAGAAUAAUGCAUCCAUGUUAUCCAUAGAGUAAAUCCCAUUUUUAUCGGUUCACGUUUCAAUUUUUCUUUUCUUUUUUUUUUGGUUGAAGGUUUGCAUUUCGAUAAAGUAAUUCAGCAAAAAUGCUCGACCGGGUAUCAUCAACGAUCCAGACACAAAGCGAAAGUGAAAUGGAGAUGAUGACGAGGACAUAUCGAAGCAGAUCUUCCAUAACUUUGAGAUCUCAAAGCUUCUACAAAUAUAUACACGGGCUCCGGAUCGUUCCAAGGACUGCUAAUAUAGCCUUGCUUGUCGAUCCAAAAAAAAAAAAAGAUGCCUUUUUUUUUCUCUUCCAGAGGAAACAACUUCAACUACAAGCUACGACUUCCCUCGGCAACUUCGCCGGCAGCAACCGAUCUGGAGACACCGGCAGCCGUGCCAAGAAGUUCCUCGCUGGGAACUCCUCGUCCGACUCCCGGCUCCGGUCGUCCUCGAAGUUGAGCGCGUAGCUCAUUGGGUCGUACCCAAACUCCAAGGAAGCCGCCGUAGCGGCCGCCGCAUGGCCCGGCCUCCACCGGCACCUCCCGAUCCGAGCGAUGAGGCUGCGGCAUUUGUACCGGAUCUCCGCCAGCCGGAGCUCCUGGGCCGUCGAGCAGACCUUGCGGGGGUUGCCGCCGUCGUCGCAGUCCGAGGAGGCGGCGUCGUGGUAGGCGGCGCGGUGGCCGUCGUGGCGGCAGCAGAAGAGGAGGGACGGGGAGGAUGAUCUGAGCUUGUGAUGGAACAGCAUUUCGACAGCGAGAGCGACGGGACUCGAAGUCUUGGUCUGGUCUGGUCUGGUCUCGGGUCUGUGCAAGGCUGUGAAGAGAGCGGAGAGAGUGGAUGGCGAUGAGGAAGAAGAUGGAGAAGAGGACAAGGUUGGAGGGUUUAUUUAUAGGUCGGGCGGAUGAGGACGGAGGCGUGUGGCGGCAGAGCAGAGUGGCGUGGUGGUGGUGGGGAUGGGAGUGAGGGUGAGGAAAACCGCGGGUGGAUCGUGGUGGGCAAGUGGGAAGCGGUUUUUCGCGUUAUUCCCGCGUGAGGUUUCAAUCUUACUUUUUCUUGUCUUUAUUGUUGAGCAGUUUGGUAAUUUCCGGAAGGUGGGGGACCACGUAGCUUCUGUUUUUCAAAUCUCUCUUCUUUUACGAAUGUUGAAAUCUAAAUAACCCUUUUAUGGAUUUAUUAUAGGGUUGAUAUCAUAAAAAUCCCAAACUAAUAUAUCUAUAAUGAAUUUAUCCAAAAUUAAUUAAACUAUAAACUAGUAUACAUUUGAUAAAUAUACCUCAAACUGAUACAAUUAUGAUAAAUUUAUUUUCUAUUAAAUUCUAUUAAAUUAUACUAUCAAAAUGUUAAGUCGGUAGACACGUAAAAGCCAACUAGUGUACUAGUUUAGGAUUUUCUCUCCAUUUGUCAUAGUUGUAUUAGCUUUGUAGUUUUUUAUUAUAUUAAUUCAAUUUAACGGGGGCAUAUUUAUCACAAAUGUAUUAGUUCAAGGUUUUUUGGCCAUAAAAAAAAUUAAUUUUGGUAAAUUUGUCAUAAGUGUACUAAUUUGAAAUUUUUCGUGGCCAAAAUAUUAGCUUAAGGAAAAAUUGUCACGAGUGUACUAGUUUGGAUUCUUUUUAUGAUAUUAACUAUUUUAUUAUAUAACCAUAUAUAUAAAUUGAGAGAGUAAACACCAAGAAUGAAAUUGCUACUUCAGAAUCAUGACUUCUGGCCUUAGGCUUCGUUUGUUUCAUAGAUAAAUUAGUAUUUUGAAAAUAUUUUCUUAACUUUAUCGCUUACAAAAAUGAAUCAAUGAAAACUAUUUGCAUUCUUAACAACAAUUUAUACAUGGACAUUUUUGUUGAGGAUGAGAAUAUUUUUUUGUUACCACUUUUUUUGAGUGAUGUAAAAAAUCAAAAUUUAAAAAAAAAUCUAAAAACAUUGAUUUUUCUUAAUGAACCUGAAUCUCCUGAAGCAAUUGUAGGACGGUAAAGAUGAUUUAUAUGAAGAUGGAGAAUCCAUAAUCUUGGGAAUCUAACGGACAAAAUUAGAUCUAGAAAAAAAAAUCAAUAAGAUUUGAAAUGUCACAAACUAAACGAGUAUAACUUGCAGGCAAAACAACAUGAGAGAUGCAAUUAAUUGGGAUGUUAGAUUUUCACAUGAUAUUGAAUCGAAUAUCUAAAGAUUCGAAUCCCUCUAUUACCCCCCCCCCCCCAACAUUACUAUCACUUUUCAUUUUCUUUCAAUGUCCGACCAAAUACUAGCUUUUAGUCAUGUUAAUGCAGUUUCUUUUGAGCGAAUAGGUGAUGUCCAGACCAACUAAACCAAUAAAACCUUGUCAGCGUGUUGAUGCAUCCCUUAAACACGUGUUGAUGCACAAAUUGAUCCAGAGCUCAAGAAAGCACGUUAUAUAAAUUGAUUGGCACACAUAAAUAAAUCAUUCAAUCGAGAAUCCAAACUGAGUUACUUCGGUGAAUAUUUUUCUUGAUCGAAAGUAAGAAAACCAUCCAUACCUCAAGAUGAUAUCUAAAACAAAAUGAAUCUCAACGGUAAAAACAGUAAAGCACAAAUUAUGGUGUGGAGCACUCUCUCAUCUCACAAUAACGCUUAAUUUUAUUCCCCUAGAUGCCCGCGCAAUGAUCUCCAUUGAUCUCCUCACGUGACACUAAGUUCUUCACUUCCAAUGGUGGUUUCUUAGAUAUCCAAGCUGGUUUUCCUACAUACCUAGAAUUCUCUCUCUCUCUCUCUCUCUCUCUCUCUCUCCCUUGGUGCAUAAACAAAACGAGGGGACAAUGAAUGUUCCCUAUUACUCGGUAGCUCCGACAUAAUCACUAUAAUCAAUCACUAAUUAAAAACAAUUGGGGGAGAGCCAUGCAUCGUGCUUGGUUUGGAUUGUAGUCAUUUGCGAGAUGAGUGUCUCCCGUGACUCUCGCGCUCAUGCCGUUCUCAAAGUGCGAGUUCGCAUACGAGAGCGCUCCACGUCGGUGGAGAUUGGAGGGAGCGUCCGAGGGGAGAAUGGGUUCAUGCACCCAGCCAUCUGUUGCCCGCCGCCGGACGCUUCCUCGCCCGACAAUUUGGUGUAGAUCGUAAGGGAAACGUGGUGUUUUGUCUCUAAGAGUGCAUUCAAGUCGGGUCCAAUCGACACGGUGCUCUUGAGAGCCUAGUUUGACUCAAUUUGCAUGUUUGAUACUCAAAACUCAACUCAAGUUUUGAUUGAGGGUUAAAAUUGAUGCUCAAGUUCAAUUUGACUAGAAAAUUUGAGAUAUAGAAGCUAGAUUAAGUAAGAAGUAAACUUCAUUUCCAUCGAUCUAAUAUGAUUAUCUUCUAAAUAUCUAGUAUGAUAAUACUUUAAUGAAAUAAGAUAUAUUUUCAUUCAAAAGCACGCUUUCCAAAUGCACAAAGAGAGUCAAUUUUAAGAUAAUAUCAACAAUGGCAUAAUAAUUAAGAGAUCUGAACUCAUUUCUCAUGUCAAACAUUGUAGUCACUUUUUGUUGGUGACAAAACUCGAAAUCACAUCAAUCACGAUUAAGCCAAAAAAAUUAAAUUGAUGGCGCUUAAGCCCAAAAUGGCAGUGGUCUAUGCACACAUUAAUUAUUCGUAGCGUGUUAUUAUUAUGUUGGUCAAUCAUGAACACAAAUCUAGAAACAUUCAACAACUCAAAUAAUUAAGUUUUUGACAAUAAUUUAUAUCCUUUGAGAAACAUUCCCAUGAUUAAUAAUGUUUAUUUACCAUAACAAAAGAUCAUGGAAAAAUUAAUUUGAGUAUAAGGCAAAAUAUUUUCAUUAUAUAAAUAACUUCCGCACCAUUAAGAGGAUUCUUUCGCUUGGAUAAUUGCUGGGAAGAAUUCAUGAAAACAAUUAAUUUAGUUUUAAAUUGUCUGUGGUUAUUAUGGUGGUACUAUCUAUAUAUAACCUCCGCACACCAUGCUCUCUCUAUAUAAAUUAUACAAAGUGUCUAAUAUUGGAGAAAUUUAAUGUGAUGGUUACUCUGAAAAUAAUAUUCAAAGACAUAUCACAUACUAGCAAAAAUGUACAGGCAUUUCGUGUAUGUAAGAAAGAGACAUUUUUCAACCAAAAAAGAAAAAGAAAAAGAAAGAGACAUUUAAUUUUUUUUUCUAAAAAAGCCUAUAUGGAAUAUUUGAGAUAACAAAUUGAUAGAAAUACAAUAGGAAAUAUUUCAAAUAAAAACUUGAAAUGAGAUAGUUCUCUCUUGAUAGUAAAUUCGACUCACGUGUUCCUUCAGGACUUGGAAGGCAUUUUCGUGCAUGGACUUUCUUUUUCUGGGUUUUUUUCCUCUUUUUCUUCUCUCUCCUCUUCUUUUUCCCGCUACAUAAGUGAGUAGAGUUUCAAGAUAAAAUCGAGAACCGGAUAGGUGGGAACCGAUCCAAUUUUAGUUUGGGUAUGUAGGAUAAGUUUCAAAUUCAAAAAAAUUAGAAAAUCGGUUCCAUAGGUAGGUUCAAGGUUCUUAUAACUUGGAAUUUAUAAUAAGUCUUUAUCUUUUUGCGAUAUUUCAUGGAAUUCAAUGAUAAAUAUGUAACUUGGACCUAACAUUCUGAGUUUCCAUUUUCGGUGAUAUCCAUGACUAAGACUUUUGCUUUGUUAAAUAUGAAUUAUGGUCAGUGGAUUGUUGUAGCAAAUAGUUAUUAUUAGAGACAAUGAUAUAGUGAUUAUUAGAGACAAUGAUACAAUGCAAUCAAUGGUACCGGGUCCAUGUCCUCGUCCUUGAUGCCCGAAUUCCCUCGCUGCCCUUGUGAUCUUCGUCCCCGCGUCAUCUUCAUUGAUCUUGUGAGUGCUGAGUAAAGCUAUCUCCUUAGAGCAAGCAUUGCAGACCGGACACGCAAGCACUCGGUGCUUCUCGACGUGAGCCGUAAGUCGGCCCGUGACGCAACAGAAGCCAUGAAAAUGGCGACCCCUUGCCCUGUACUCACACCCUGCGAGAUUCCACAUCUGGCCUACAAUUAGUGUGACAAAAAGGCAACUGAAACCAAAAUUAGAAAAGGGAUAGUCAUACAAAUAGUUUCCAAACCUUGGUCAAUUUACAGUGUCGCUUUUUAAAUUUUUAAUUUAUUAAAUAUGAUCUUUAAAAUUUGACUCAAUGUGUAAUGUUGUUCCUAACAUUUUUAAUUUAUUUGAUACGAUUCCUAAAUUUGCGGUAUCUAAUAUAAUUCCUAGACUACGUGAAAAUAUUUAAUAUUAUCCUUUAAUUGAUUCAAGUUUAGAGACAAUAUUGAAUAUUUUUACAAGUUCAAAGAUUAAACUAAACAUACACCAAAAGUUCAAAAAUCACAUUGAACAUAUUAAAUAUUCAAGAAUGAUAUUGCACAUUAUGCUAAAGUUUAGAGAUCAUUUUUGUUAUUUUUCCUUUGAAAAACAUUACAUCGCAAGAAUGGGUGCAAUAAUGAGAGGAUUGCUUACUCCGGAAAAAAGAUUUUCACUUGUCUCAAUGUAAGAUACAAAAUAUUGAAAAAUUAAAAUUAGAAUAGGUGAGAGAAAAAGCAGAAUUAUUAUAUUUUAUUUAGGGACAUAAUCUGUAAGGUCAACAAUUAAGAUUAUAUGAGAAAGAAAAAGGGAUUGAGACUUAAAAAAAAAAGGUGGGAGAUUCUCUUACUUUAGAUAAGAAAAAUGUAUAUUUUUUUAUUAAAAUUUUAGAAAAUUGCUUCAUUUAUUAAUGACAGUUAAUAAGAUUGCAGAUAAGUUCCGUGCCCAUGAAAAAUUGACAGUUAAAAGGUUUUGUAAGAUUGUCUACUUGAUGGUUGAAUUGUCGAUUGAUUGUAAGAUAUUAUUGAUAGUGUACGAAUGAAAAUUUACAAAUACACGUGAAAAGAGAAAAGAUGUUUUCUCAAUUGAAUUUUUUUAGUAGGGUUUUGUUGUGAUAUGAAAAACAGUCGAAUCUUAAAAUUAAAGUAUGUGCAAAAUAAGAUUGGAUUAUUAAUUUAUAUAUUCAAUUCAUCGAAUAUGAUUUCAUUUCCUCACCGCGCGGUGGAGACUGCUCUCGAAGCAUCUCUACUCUCUACUCAACCGGUGGGAAGCGGAAGCAAGCCAGGAAAUCGAAAAUCCGCCCAGCAAAUUCGCCGAAUUCUUCCUCCCGACGAUUUCAUCGUGCGUCCCGAGCUCGACCCUCGAUUCCUUCUGUUCAGAUGGUGAGCAGCACCAGCUUCUCUGUGGCAUUUCAUCGAACGGUCAAGUUGCGGUCUUGGGUGCAUGGCCAGAAAGUGGGGGAAGUUAACGUUUUGACGCUGAUGGUAUCCUGCGAUUUUGCAGGAGGCGGCGCCGGAGAAGCAAUCGCCGUCGCUCGACGAUUGCCUCAGGCUGUUGAGAGGCGAGAGAGACGAGCAGCGCCUGGCCGGCCUGCUCUUGGUGACCAAGUUCUGCAAAGGGGACGACCUCGCUUCGCUGCGCAGGGUUUACGACGCCGUCGGGGCGCAAUUCCUCGACCGCCUCCUCAGAACCGGUAAUUUUGGGUGACGCCUUGGUUGUUUUUCGGUUCUGUCGUUAGUGGGAGUCGCGCAGCCAUGACUUGGCUAAAAGAAUUACCUUUCCGAUUGGCUAUUUGACCUGCGAGAUGGCAUGUUCAAGUGAAUAUCAGCAUUUUGGGAAUGGUAGGCAGUGCUUCGAGGAACGCGCGAGUUCCGAGUGACAUUAAGUAACUUGUGUCAGCAUAUAAGUCUAAUAACAUGUUACCGGCAAUAAUGAUGUAGUAGAUUUAACUGUGCAGAAAAGAUUUUUCUACACUACGAUCCCUAUAUGAUGACAGAAGGGGUUUGAAUAUGUGAAGGUUGUUAAUUUUUAUUGUGACUUGCUUCUUUGGCAAGCAAUGAAGAGAUGCUAUAAGCUCUCAUGGUUUGUUAUAUGGCAAAGAGAAUCCUUUAUGAGUAGCAAGUCCCCAAGCUUGCUAACAGCUAUGAGAAAUGAAUAUGUGACUCUUUCGCUUGAGUUAUUGUGUGGCUCUUUGGGGUGGGGAUUUGCUGAAAAAAAUUGAAUGGACUCAGUUCCCAUUGGUGGAGCUCUUUCUCCUUGUUGACACGUCAGCAUUAGAGGAAUGGCAUGGUGAAGUUGAUAUUAACUGUAUAGGCAUCAGUUUCGGCAACUUGAACCUCACCUAUUGCAAGGCAUUUCUGUUUCAGUUGGCUACAUGAAGCUCCUGUCUUUGAGUAUCUCUGACAAUUGUGUUGAUGGAAUCAUUGUGGCUGAUGGGGUUUCUAUAGUCUAAGUGCCGAAAGAUCUCUUUAAGCUUUCAGUUUAGUUAUAUGCCCCUUGAAUUGUAGCAUUGAAUGUGGGCCGGUCUUGUAAAAACCUCUUCAAUUGGAUUGUCGUGGCUGCUUUCAGUUUACAGGAUGUACUUCUGUGUCUUUUGCUGAUUUUCGAUGGAAAAUUAUAGCAACUUAAAAAGCCAGUACCGAUAAGUAUUAGCAAUCCUGGACCGUAUGUUUUAUGCAGACCUUAAACUCACUUUCAUAUGCUGAGUACUGAGCGGUUGAUUUCGUUAAGUAGGGCAUGCCAAAAUCAUAUCAAUUGGAAAUUCUUUCAUGGUUGAACUUUCUUUCUUUGCCUAGAUAUUGUCAUAAUAUUUCUCUCCUCAUUUUGUAUUCUCAUAAUUUCUCCUAUCUGGGAAGGAAUGGGAGAAGGAUCUACUAAUGGCAGUGGCAAUCGCAAUGCAUACUUGCAGCUUUCAGCAAUAGUUUUUGCUGCGUUCUCCCUCGGUUCCUGUAUCGUCUUUCUAAAGCUUUUCUUUCUUGGUGGGUGCCGAUAGUUUAAUCUGAUUACAUUUGUUGUUUUUUGCUGAUUUGGCUCGCGUUUCGUCUUCAAUAAAAGUUGGGUGGUUGAGCUCUGGUGUGUGAUCUGAUUUACAGAUUCUGAUUAUGCUUCUGGAUCGGUCCUUGAAUCCUGAUUUGUUGAACCAACACUAGCAGGUGAAGUUCAUAUAAUGUCCGUCUAGUGUUUAAUGAUCCAAAGCUGUUCGAUCUAAUCUGAUUAGAUGAACAGGAUGGAGAUCGCGGCAGGAAGCCAAGCAAUCAGCAGGAUGAGGGACUUGGAAUCGUUGCCGCAGAUGGCCAGGUACAUCUGGUUCAUGACUCGCCGCGCCCCUCAGGGAAGUUCUUGACGCAGGUGACGAGGGUGCCGGUGCUGGCGAAGUUCCAGGAGUUGGCGCCGACGCAGAUGUAGAGGCACGUUUGCCAGACGGCAGGGUGGGGGAUCUUGCCGGGGACGGCGAGCCAGAUGAGGAAGUAGCCGGCAAAGUUCACGGCGGAGCCAGUGAGGAGGACGAACCGGGUUGGGGUGACCUUGGCGAUGAGGCCGGAGAGGACGCCGACCUUGGCGCCGAGGUCCUUGAAGAAGCCGGGGAGGUUAAGGCCCUGAGGCUAGUCUGGUCGUAGCCGAGGGUGGACUCGAUCUGCUUGGAGUUGAUGCCAAAGAGGUGGCACCGGCGCUGGCGCCGAACAUGACGAGGAAGGAGGCGAGCACCGUGAACCACUGCCCGCGGAGCAGGGGACCGUGGACCGGAGCGCCUCGGAGCCGGCUGGUCCCGGCGGGUCGGCUGUUGGUGCAGAGUUGGUUUCAAAGUGAAGUGAGAGAGAGUGUUACGAAAUUAUUUGGAAAUGCUGAGUUUGCUUUGCUCCCAAUAUAAAAUGGAUGCGAUGUUUGAUCGAAAGCUCUUAGAUCUGAUCUGAUUACCCGAAAAUGGUCCAGAUGUCAGCCCGAGGUAGUUUAUGGACAUAUAUUUUAUCGGUCGGAUUCUAUAUAAAUAUUUCGAUUUAUAGGUUUUUCACAUUUUUUAUUUUAUUAUUUUUAAUUGUUUAAUUGACUUUUUUUUAAUUUAAUUUAAAUUUUUAUCCAAUUAGCAUAGAGCUUAAAAUGCGUAGGUUUUUCUAGAAUAUUAAUAGGUUUUAAUAAUAUGAAUCGGGUUAAAAAUGAGUUAUUAAAUUUACAUUACAUGAAUAUGAAUCAAUAUGGAUCAGAUUAUUUUCGACUUAAUUCAAAUCUGAUCCAACCCAUUCAUUUGAUGAAUCUAGUAUUUGAAAACAUACUUCCAUUUUCUUCUAUUCAAAUUUGUGUCACCCUCUAAAAAUUACUUCAUCAUGUUGAGAUUGAUAUGAUUCAACGAUAUAUAAAUCAAUUUAAUGAAAAUUCGAAACCAUCAACAGUUGAAGUGACAUUACAUUUAAUGACGUAAAAUAUCAAAGACAAAUUAAAUAACCAAAGAUAAAAUUUGGCCAAAAGCUCAUUGAUCAAAUGGUAUAGCCAAAAAUUCAGUGGGACGCUGCUUCAACGACGACGAGAUGUGAGCCUCCAAGUGACGGUCCUUUCAUUGCUGCUUCUCGCUCGACAACAGCACCGUCUUCCAGUUUGCCGUCCACCUGUUGCCGCCAUCCGCUGCACCUCCAACACCGCCCACCCAACAGCAACGGUGCUAGCCACGCGUCGGUCCCGACGGCCACCUUCUAUUAACAGCCUCCGCGAAUUUUCUUUUCCUAGAGGUUUCCAUCGCGGGUGACCAUCCAGUGACGCCUAGCACAUCUCCUGCACUUGUCAGGACAAAAAGAAAGGGAUGAUCUUGAACAGAGCGGAAGAAAAGUCAAGCGGUGGUCAAAGUGGAGAAAAUGAAAAAACUGGAACGGAGAAGAUUUAUUCCAUCAUCCCCCACUUUCCAGAAUAUACGAUACAGAUAGAAUAAAAAGAAAAGGGGAAAUUUUGGAAAUUCGCUCCUCAUGUUUUCCCAAGAGUCACCACUGAGCCAAGCCGAGCCGCGCCGGGUGACGAAUCACACGCCAAACCACCACCGGCCAUCCUCUGCCGUCAAGCACCACCGCGAGUAGCCUUGCCGCGAGCCUCACCCUCGAGCCGCCUUUGAAUGAGUCUGAGUUUGGAUUGCUCCCUUCAAAUUACGUAAUGAUCUAAUUUGAUUGGAGUAUUUUAUUACAAAUUUCGGAUUAAUUUCGUUAUCUAAUCGUGAUAUUCGAGAAUUUAGGCAUUAUUCAAUAGGAUUUAAUUGACAAAAAUUAAAUAUAAUCAUUAAUUUGAGCAGUGAAAUGACGGAUGAUUUUUAUUUUUUUAAUUUUAUCGCCAAGCUGGUAAGUGCUUUAUAAGACGCGUGAUGAUGAAUUAUUUUUUCAGAUAUCAUAAUCUUUUAUUUGAAUUUUGAUGGAUCUUAGGCUAUGUUUGAAAUUGUAAUUAGAUAGCCAACUUUAAUGAAUGAAAAAUAAAAGAUUGCAUGUUCGAAUAUGUGAUUCUUUUAUAUGAUAUUGCCUAAUUUAAAAAUUUUGCAUGUCAAGAUUGAUUCUAAAAAAAUAAAUUAGAACAUAUUCUAGAUAUGAAUUUUCUUUAAUAAAUAGGAUUUAUUUAGAUAAUAUCGCCUGUUUAGAAUGGUCUUCUAAGAUAGGACAACGUUAAGGUUAAAUUAUUCACUAAUCUAUAGACUAGAUAACCACUUAUUUUAGAUAAUUUAAUUAGGACAUUUAUCUACUUCAAAUUUAAAUAAAAAUACCAAAAUAUCAUAUGCAUGUCUUGUAGUUUAGGCCAUAUUGUAUAACUAUGUCAUGUGUGUCACAUAGUGUGCAUAUAAGGUUCAUUUAUACAUCUAGGCCAUGUCAUAUAGCAAAAUAAAAGAAAGCUAAAAAAUAAUUGCUUGCUGUGGUAUUUAAUUUCCUGCAAUUUGUUUAUUUAUUGAGUGUUAUCUUUAAUGUUUGUGCACCCACAUUAAUAUUAGAUUAAAAUCGAUUCAAACUAUCUAAAGUAAUUUAAUUCCAAAUAUUUUAAUUGGAGCAAUUUAAUUAUAAACUNNNNNNNNNNNNNNNNNNNNNNNNNNNNNNNNNNNNNNNNNNNNNNNNNNNNNNNNNNNNNNNNNNNNNNNNNNNNNNNNNNNNNNNNNNNNNNNNNNNNUAAUUGACGUGAACACCGAUCAUCUUACGUAAUACAAUUGACACUGACAUAAAUAUUUUUAAUAAUAUUUGAUAUUUUAAUAAUAAAACUUUCUAAUUUAGUACUAAUUGAGUCAAUUCGACUAAUUUUGAUCAGAAAUAAUUGACGUUCACAUGAUCGGGCUGACAUGUAUAUUUUUAAUAAUUUUUUGAUAAUUUUUUUGAAUUUUUUCUUUUAUUUUGGUGUAUUUUCUUUUUUGUCGUUUUUAUUUUUAUUUUUUAUUUUUUGAAGACAUCCUCUGGUUUCCCUAUAAUUCUGCUGCUCCAGCAGAUAGGGAGGAUGGCGCAGGUUUCUUCGCCACCGAGUCCUUCUUCUCCGUCUUCUUUUUUCUUGACCUUCUCUCCUGCAAGACCGUUUCGGACCAACGAAUUCUAACAAAAUCCACAGGACUGCUGUAAAACUAACGAUUGAUGGAAGCGGACCCAUAAGCAUUUUGGAGUUCUGACCUUCUGAUUCUUCAUCGGAAGAGCAAUUAGGGUCCGGCUCUGCUCCAGUCCUCUUCCUUGCCAAUCGUCGACGUAGCCUAGGAGGCCGUCGUCAUCAUCGACGAUGAAGCCCCGGACUUCUUCGUGAGAUGCUUGGCCACGAGCUCGUCGUACUCGUCCUCUUCGACCACGUUGUGGAUCGGAUCCUCGAUCUUGAUCUGCACGGCGGACUCGGCUCUCAGGCGGCCGCCGGCACGGAGGGCCUCGAGGCACCGCAACCCCUACAGACGCGCCGCUGAGGUGGCUCCCCAGCUCCUUCGCCGGCCGCCGAUGCUUGUUUGCUCGUAUUCCAUCUCUCUCUGUCUGUGGCCAGGGCUUUCACGGGCCACGACGAGGGCAUCGGGCGAGGGCGUUGCAGCUGUGUUAUUCAUGGAUUGAAUUUCUCUUCCUAAUCCUCAUAUAAUCACAAUGUCUUCAAUUCUCUGUGAUAGAGAAAAGCAGUACUCUAAAAUGUGUAGAUAAAAAUAGAAAGACGGGGAAAGAGAUCGAUAAAGUUGGAAGGAUUGUAUUAUGGACAAAUUUAGAAACCGCGAAAGAUUCUUGCAAGCGAUUAUGAGGUCACCUGCUUCUAUGUAAAUCAUUAACCUAGCUCUUUGGAAGAAUCUAAUUCUGUUUUCGGACUUGACUGGACGAAGACAAGGCGAAGCUGGCGCAGGAAACUGGUUUGCAAUUGAAGCAGAUGAAUAAUUGGUUUAUCAACUAGUGGAGAAAAAAAAAAAAAAAAAAAACUGGCAUAGCAACCCUUCAUUGUCGUCCGACUCAAAGUCCGACUCAAAGAGCAAAUGCAAAAGGUCCCUCAAAAUAGACAUUGCCUCGUUAAUGCGAAACUUCCUUGAUAUUCCAUUUCUUUGCAUGCUAAAUUUGAAGAACUUUUGCAGGUGAAAGCAGCAGCUAUUGAACCCUUGAUGUGGAUUUGAGCAAGAGCAAUGAUCAAAUUCUGACGGACAAUAUUCGGUGCUUCACUAAAAUGGGUACUUAAAGAGUUAAUACAAGGAAAAUUGGCCAGUGGCCUCAUACAAAGCUUCAUCAAAUAGGAACAUUUGGAAGAUGACUUUGGUUUUAGGCAAAAGAAAUUAUGUUAGCCAAGAGGACGCUCUUGCCUCUGACAGGAAUUUUGAUGACGGUCAAUUAACCAUAGAUGUGGCAUGAUCAUCGAGAGUGUAUUGAGCUAAGAAAUUAUACAUUUAGAACUAGAAUCAAUAUCAAAUGGUUUUAUUGUCUCUAUUGCUUACUGACAAAAAAAAAAAAAAAUUUGUCUCUAUUGCUUGUCCACUUUGCAUUUUGUAUAUACAUAGGCAUAGUUAGGUAUUGGUGUACAAUUGGUAUAAUGAUCUCUACGUGUUGACGCCUCAAAUUUUAAUUAAGUUUAUUUUAUCUUAUUAAUUAAGUUUUUAUUUUAUUUAUCUUGUCUUUUUUCGGAAUAAUAAACAAAUAAAAGUAAACAAAAAAACAAAAACAAAACAAAAGCAGAAAGAAAGCAGAAAAGCCCUCGCAUGGGCCCGUGAGGUCCAUUCCGCGUCAGCCCAGCCCAGCCGAGUCUUCUUCUUCCUCGCGCAAUUGCAGCGCACGCGCAGGGGGCGCGACGCCGGAGUGGAGGGGAGGAGCAGCAACGACGCACGUGGAGCAGGGGGCGGCUGGCGUCGGAUAAGAACGUGGGAGGGGCAGCUGGCGUCGGAUGGGACGCCCGUUCGGCCGGCGGAGGCCGCUUGGCGCACGGGGACUGGCGGUCGAAGCUCCGUCGACCGGCUGCCCCCUCACCUAUAAAUAGGCCCCCGUUUCCAUCGUCGAGGAGGCACGCCGAGAACGAUCGAAGGUUGCAAAGCUUCGAGCUUCCUGCUGAUAGACUUCAGAAGGGAGCCGAGGCCGAGCAAACCCAGAUCCGAAGGCUCGCGGCUGCAGAGGGAGCUAGAUCGAGUCGCAGCCCUUGGACACCCCACUGAGAGACUUCAGGGGAGCCGAGGGCUCGCGGCCUCAGAUCUAAGCCUCGCCGGAGGGAGAGUAGAGAGAGAGAGAUAGGCACGGAGAGAGAGAGACGCAGGAGGGGAAGGAAUUCGCGUGGGUCUNNNNNNNNNNNNNNNNNNNNNNNNNNNNNNNNNNNNNNNNNNNNNNNNNNNNNNNNNNNNNNNNNNNNNNNNNNNNNNNNNNNNNNNNNNNNNNNNNNNNUCGUCGCGCCGUCAUUGAGCAAGUAUCGCGCUGUCCCUGUCGCCGUCGCCGUCGCCAUCUCCCUCUGCAUAGUCCAGUCAUCUCCGCCUUCGCCGCCGUCUUUGCCGUCGUCGUCACCGGAGCUUCUCGGCGCCGCGAAUUCACAAACCCCAGGGUUUGCGACUUCCGGGUCGCGAAGCGGAUCCGGACCCGGAAAAUCGGGUAAGGUUCGCGGUCUGUGGGCGGCGGGAGUCGGGUCGGAUCCGGGUAGGGUUUACGGGGAGUCGGGUAGCGGAGCGGGCUGGAUCCCUCCCAAAACGACGGGCCACGACGCCGUUUCAGUAAAUAAAAAAAAAGAUGAAAAAAAUCCGAGUCGGGCCCAUGUUGCGGGCCCGUCCUCGUUCGGAUCGCUGGCCCGGGUCGGACCCAACCCGCGGAUCCGACCCGGGUCAGUUUUUAAUAUUAUUUUAAUAUAAAAUAAUAUUUUAAAUAAAUAAAUAAAUAUUUUAUUUUUCGAAAAAAAAUAUCAAAAAAUGUUUUAUUUUAAAAAAAUCGAGAAAAAUCAAAAAAUAAUUUAUUUUCCAAAAAUAUUAAAAAAUAUUUAAAAAUAUUUUAUUUUCCGAAAAAUCAAAAAAAUAAAAAAUAUUUCAUAUUUUCCAAAAAAUGCCAAAAAUCCAAAAAAAGCCAAAAAUUCAUGAGAAAGCCAAAAAGACUUGUAUUUUUCCAAAAAAAAUACCAAAAAACCCAAAAAAAUCCCUUUUGUGUCCAAAAAAUUAGAAAAUCACUAAAAAAAUGUUUUUCCUCCCAAAAAUGCAUGGAAAAUCCCUCGAACAUCUAAAAAACCUCAUGGUUUAAACAAGAUUAGUUAUCGAAAGGGCAUUAGUGAUUAACUAAUGUAAUCAAGUCCCCAGUCCUAAUUUCUCUGGUUGAGUAUUUCUUCCGAUACUUCACUUGGUUUCUAAUCAACCCAUCCCAAAUCAAUUAGUGGCGACUCCAUUUUAAAAAUUGAUUUAUAGCUUAAAAAUUUAGACUAUUAAAGUCGUGAAUUGGUGGACUUGGGAGAGUCCGGGCAUAACUAAUUUCAGCCGAGCCAUUAGCCUCCUUAGGCGCUCGUACCCGAUUGUGGAUGCCAGAAAAAAAGAGGUCGCGACACUACGUAGUUCCUCUCCGUUCUGCAUGCUGAUGACAUUUAUAGUUUUUUUGGCUCUCCAAUGUAGUGUAGAUUUAUUGUGAGAGUAACAUACAGUUUGUUGCACUGCUAGGUUACUGGGUUUGUAUUGCUACUGGGGAUAAUGACUGAUUAUGGUCAUAGACACGAUCAUUUGUUUGAAAUUCUAUGGUGCAUUACAACCUCAACGAUUGUUGCCAGUUCUUGUGAUGAUUUGGCCACUUCAUUGUCACGGCUCCAUAUUUAAUUCAUUCUACAGUGAUUGUACAUUAAGCUGGUGUAGCUAAAAAGUCCUGUCAUAUUCCUCUCCUUCUAUUUAACGAAAAACAACUUUAUUGUGACAAUUUAUGUCUGUCAUGAACUCCUACACAUUGAAUGAUCACCUCUAGUGUGGCUCAUGUCGCAUACGAAGUUUUGUUUCUUGACAAACCUAGAUCUAAAUAGGAGGAAACGAUCCUAGGGGUCAGUCUAGAUGCAACCUUAAAAGAUAACCAUUUGAGUUUGUUCUCGGUGAAUCCAAAAAAAAAAAAAAGGCUACACUUUACAAUAAUCACUAGAUAUUUCCUCAGCUUUUCUUCAAGACGACCUAUGACAGAAUCGAAAGUUUGUUUCGGCCAGCCGACUCCAAGUCAGCUGAUGUUCAUUGGCAGAACGAAUUCGAGAAAGAACAGUGCAUAAAAAAGAUGAACAUUGAAUUUUCUAAUGCAACUUGGGCUUAUAAAAACAUUAUUUCAUUUGAACCGCCCUUUUGUCCUGAUUUACCAACUAUUUAUAAUGAAUUGUUUGAUGAUUUCUCCGUUAUUGCGUGGGUCUUUUUGUAUCUUUUUGGCAUUGUACUUCACUAUUCUCGUCAUUGACUUCCUGGCACAUAUACCAUACACGCUGUUAUACAAUCCACAAAAUCAAUGGAUACCCAAAUUUAGGAUCUUCUAAGGUUUUUGCUAACCUACCCCCAAUUUUUGACCUAGAUAAUUGCAAUUCCUUCUUUUUUUUCUUUUUGCUCUUAGAUAUCGUUAAACAGCUCGGUGGUUUACACAGAGAAUUACAUUAUCCUGACCUCAUCUUGAAAUCCAACAUUUGAAACCUUGACCUCUCCUAUUAAAAAAAAGGAGAUAUGCUGGUGCAAUUCACAUAUGUUUUUCUUGAAAUUAAUGCUUCUUGUCAAGUGUAGCGAACUUAAACCCCAUGAGAUUACAAGGAUCAUAUCUAGGUUGUCUAACCACAGCUGCAGACAUAAGAACUUCAUUGUCACAUAGCUUCCCAGUGUGGCCAAUGAUUACAAGAACAACUAAAGUUUGGUGUUAACCCGUAUCGAAUCUCUACCCAAUGCCACGACUAUCCCUAACACUCCACGUUGCAGGUACGAGGGGUUUUUGAACAUGAAUGCGACUUUAGCACGAAGGCGACCCCGAGAUUUGGUGUGAAUUGACUCAACUUUCACCAGUUUGUGUGCCAAACAAGCAAUAGGUUUCGCAUUGUUCUGUCAUUUGGUUGAAGGCCAAUCUAUGUAUUUGCAGCCACACCUCCAGUUCACGAAAACAGAGGUCCUCCUGUCUCCUCUAAGCAUCCCAUCUCUGCAAGUCUAUGCAAUUUCCCAUGAUUGACCAAGGGCCAGAAGUGAGGACUCUCUGCUUGGUGCCAAUCCAUGGAACGUAAACAAAUACAUCUUCUCAUUUUAUAGUUAUCCCACCCAAGACCAGCCCAGGCUUUCCUUGAGACAUCAGUUACGCAGCUUGACUCAAGCACUUCUUCGACAAAAUCCUUCCAAUCAAAACCAUCUCAGCUUCCUCAUCAUCAACUUGCUCCAAAACGUAAUGAUGCCCCAGUAGACUGUCUGACAGUUAUGCUUGCGAUGUUAAGGGAACCCCUGCGGGCAUCCUGUAAUGAGAGAAAAGAAAUAGAUUAGCCUAGAAUCAACUAAGGAAGGUUGUCAAACAGUUGAUAGGGGCAACGUGUAGUGAUAGGAAAAGUGAAAACUAAUGUGACGAACCAAUGCCAAAGCAAAUUACUAAAAUAGAAAGCAGAUGGAAAUAAUUAAUGAUGAUAGAGAGCGAAAAUGAGGAUUAUGGAUUAUCGAGAAGAAUGGGGGGUGACGAUCAUGAAGGAACAUAGAUGAAAGAAAACAUCAUUGUGAUGUAGGGAAAGCUCUUGACAAAGAGAGAGAAGCUCUCACAAAGGGGAGAGACACAAAUCUAUGUAUAACUUCCUGAAGAGAACUCAAUGUCCCAUUCUUUUUGGAGCAUAAAUGCUGGAAAGCUAAAACAAAUCAAGAUAAGUGAAAAAUGGUUCUCAUAAUUUCCAGCUUACAGAAGCUCUGUUAGUAAAAUCUCCCGGUUUAAAUUGCACACAAUUGCAUGCAUGUACUUAUGUGCAAUCAAUCUUGAGCUUUAGGGGCCGAAAAAUCAAUCUUGACCUUCGCUCUUUUAAUGCCAAUGAUCUUCCAUUAUUUUUGCAGUGUUCUACUUCAAAGCAGGGUCGCAUGACGUCGUCAACAUGUCAAAUGGUGAUAAUAAUAACUGCCACAGUGCUUCUAUGUUCAUACACUGACUAACGGACCAGCCAACAUUUCCCUCGACAGUGCCUGCGAGUCUUACUCUGUCUACACCUUUGCUAACAGCGAUCGUUGCUCUCAAGGCCAAAAAUUAGCUGUCACUGUCAGUGAAAAUUACACUGCCCCCAACUCCAGUCUAGCUGGAUCCCUGUAGCUACCAGCCCCAACCACUGGGACCACUCCAUCUCCGCCACCACCUGGAAGUGACACUUCAUAUCUCCGUGUAACACUGCCAGUCCUGUUCAUGAGUUCAUUAUACAUGAAAUCAUUAUUUCUACUAGAUAUAGAUGGACUAUUGAUAGAUCGUGAGAUGUUGCUACUCGUCAUAAAGUGAAUAAACUUGUGAAAAUGCUUCUUCUCAUUAUUCCAGCAUGAUUCAUAUAGAUAACAUUGCUCAAACUUGUAAUAGAUCAUAGAGUUUCUUUGGAAUAAAUAUAUGGUUCCGCUCCCAUAUUCGGAUGUUUGGCUCUAUUACAAAAAUUAGAAUGUGGCAGGAGAUAAAAACUUGCAUACUGGAAAGUCAAAAUAGAGCAUCAGUAGAACAAAUCCUCAUAGGCAUAGCUAAAAAGUCCCNNNNNNNNNNNNNNNNNNNNNNNNNNNNNNNNNNNNNNNNNNNNNNNNNNNNNNNNNNNNNNNNNNNNNNNNNNNNNNNNNNNNNNNNNNNNNNNNNNNNNNNNNNNNNNNNNNNNNNNNNNNNNNNNNNNNNNNNNNNNNNNNNNNNNNNNNNNNNNNNNNNNNNNNNNNNNNNNNNNNNNNNNNNNNNNNNNNNNNNNNNNNNNNNNNNNNNNNNNNNNNNNNNNNNNNNNNNNNNNNNNNNNNNNNNNNNNNNNNNNNNNNNNNNNNNNNNNNNNUCCUUAAUAAUUGACAUGUCAAUCAUUAUAUUACUUCGAGCAAUCAUAUGAGAACAGACGAGAAAAUUACAGUUGCAAUAUCCCAGAACAAUAAAAACCCAAUUCAGGCAAUUAGGAAAAGCAAGCAAAUUGACAUCAUUCCUAAGUGUGGGAUUUCAAUCGUCCACCUUAAGAAGCUGAGAUGACUAUGGUCAAAGGGAUUUUCUGAAAGAGCUACUUGUUCUUUAAACAAAACUAACAUGUUAUAGAUGACCUGCGAGCAAGUAGAACAGCCUUCAGAUACAAAACAUAAAAGGAGAUUAUUAAUCUAAAAGUCUGGUUCCCGAUAUCACGUUGAGAUUGAGCAAUCAUGGUGGAUGCAGAUGACAAAUUAUUUUCUCUGGGGGCAAUCUUAUGAUCUAGUCCUCCAACAAGGGCUGCCAGUUACAUUCCUACCAUGGUAGAGAGAGAUUUCAUUCCAUCUAAGUAACAUGAGUCACUCCGUAAUGUAUAAAAAAUAAUCACUCACGGGUGAAUCACCAGGAUUGCCAGCUUCAUUCAUGUUUUUAUCAAGUCUAAGAUUUUGCCUUAUUAGGGGACAGGGAUUGUCUCAAAUAUCGAACUAUCACCGGAACGUGAUCUCAUGAAAACCAGACAUGACUACUGUUCUAUAGAAAAGCUCAAGACAAUUUAGAUAUUGGCUUUAGUAACUUGCAUCUCAAAAUGUCUAAAGCUUGUGGAGCUCCUAGUCUCCAAGCCCUUAGGGCUCAAUUAGUUAGUGCAACAAUUGAUGAGCAUCAUGAAAUCUCUAUACUUUAUAGGUAUCUCAAUCCUGUGAUUCCUGGGAUGUCUGAUAGCUCUCAACAAGCUGUCACUAACAAGUUCCUUAAAUCUUCAAAUUUCAACACAUCGGGGAAUUUUGCUAAAGACUUGCAUCCUUGAAUACACAAACUUUUGCAGGAUGAGAAUACCUCCAGGCUUUCGAUGUCAUGUAGUUUUUCAUAGUGGUUGAUGUUUCAACCUUUUCAAGGUUUUCACGCACGAUAGAUCUAACAAUCUUCCAAGGGAAGUGCAACCAUGAAUAUCCAAUAUUACCAAAAAAAUCCAGCCUGUCAAGGCCACGUUUCAACAUGAAACCCUCAAGAUUUUGAAGUUCAGCUCUAUUUGCAGUCUCAAUAUCAUGAAGAUCACGAUUAUUAGAAAAAUUAGAACACAGCAGGAGACAAAAACUUGCAUACUCGAAAGUCAAAAUAGAGCAUCAGCAGAACAAAUCCUCAUUGGCAUAGCAAAAAACCCCACCAUCGGAAUGACAAAUUAACAGAAGAGUAAAUCACGUGGUGACAGGAAAAACGGUGUGAAUCUUUGUAGGAUCAAACUCAACACAUAAACAGCUGAUUGAUAACUUAAAAUGACAAUUAAACUAUGAACUCACUCUUGCAACCUUGCAGCAUAUCAAAUUCACGCCUGAUGAUUAGCUUGAAAGAACCCGAUGAGUUUUGGGAAUCCAGAGUGCCACAAGUUUAGCAGCAUGACCACUCUCCUUCACCUAUGUGUUUUUGUACUUUGCCUCCAGAAGCUUCCUUAAUAAUCCACAUGUCAAUCACCAAAUUACCUUGAGCAAUCAUAUGAGAACAAACAAAAAGAAAAUUAAGUCACAAUAUUGUAGAACAAAAAAACCAAUUCAAGCAAUCAUGAAAAGCAAGCAAAUUCACGUCAUUCCUAAGUGUGGGAUUUCAGUCUCCACCUUAAGAAACUGAGAUGACUAGGUCAAAGGGAUUUUCUUAAAGAUCUGCUUGUUCUUUCAACAUUCUGUAAUUUCAACCGUAUUAAUAUCACAUAUAAGCCAGUGUGCCUGCCAUCAUAAGUAUCAACAGAAGAUAAAAGUUUAGCUCGCCAUGUAAACAAAACAAGUUAUAGAUGACCUCUGCGAUUAUAGUGGAUAAUAAAUGACCAAUUAUUUUCUCAAAAGGCACUCUUAUGAUCUAGUCCUCCAACAAGGGCUGACAGUUACAUUCCUUUCAUGAUCAAGCGAAAGAUUUCAUUCCAACUAAAAACACGAAUCACUCAGUAAUGUACAAAAAAUAAUCACUCACAGAUGAUUCACCAGGACUGCCAGCUUCAUUCAUGAUUUUGUCAUCUAAGAUUUUGCCUUAUUAGAGGACAGGGGUCAUCUCAAAUAUCAAACUAUCACUAGAAUGUGAUCUCAUGAAUACCUGACAUAACAAUUGCUCUCAUAUUCCAUAUGAGGAAAGCUCAAGACAAUUCACAUAUUGGCUUGCAUCUAAAAAUGUCUAAAGCUUCUGGAGCUCCUAGUCUCCAAGCCCUCCAGGCUCAAUUAGUUUGUCGCAGUCUCGUGCGACAAUUGACUAGCAUCAUGAAAUCUAUAUACUUUAUAGGUAUCUCAAUCCUUUGAGCCCUGAGAUGUCAGAUGGUUCCCAACAAGCUGUCACUAUCAAGUUCCUUAAAUCUUCAAAUUUCCAAGCAUCUAGGAACUCUAACAACUUGCAUCCUUGAAUACACAAACUUUUGCAGGAUGAGAAUACCUCUAGGCUUUGAAUAUCAUCUUGCUCUUCACAGUGGUUGAUGUUCAGUAUUAUCAGGGUUUUCAAGCAUGAUAUAUCCAAUAAUCUUCCAAGGGAAGUGCAACCACGAAUAUCUAAUAUUACCAAAAAAAAAAUACAGUCCGUCAAGGCCACAUUUCAACCAGACUCUUACAGUUUGCAACAUGAAAUCUCCCAAAUUCUUCAAACUAGAAGGUUAUCUUUCAAUGGACGUGCAAUUAGAGAUAUCCAAUCUUACAAAUAAUCGACCUCUCAAGGCCAUGAAUUUCAACUAGAUUCCCGCAAUCUGCAGCAUAGAAUGCUUUAGACAUUUUGAACUCGAAAGGUCUAUUUAUCUUUCAAUGGAUUGAAAUGUCUGGUCAUCUUUUAAUUGGACAUGCAUUUAAAGACAUAAAACCUUCUCAAAGAUUCUAAAUAAUCAAUCAAGGCCUCAAACUUCAGCUAGAUUCUUGCAGUUUGCAGCGUGCAAUUCGAAGUCUUUAAACUGGAGAAGUCUAGAAAUCUUUUAAAGAAGUGCACCCAGAGAGAUUCAAUCUUGCCAAUAAAUACAACCUGUAAAGACCAUGAAUUUCAACUAGAUUUCGGCAAUUUGCAGCAUGGAAUAUUUCAGUGGAUGUGCAUCCAGAGAGAGAUAGAAUGUUUCCAGAUAUUCUAAAUGGGUCAAAGCCUCAAACUUCAACUAAAUUCACACAAUUGGCAGCAUCUGAUUCUCUUCGAUUCUUUUUAAACUUGAAAAGACAAUUGAUUGAAUGGACAUGGAACCAGAGAUAUUCAAAUUUACCAGACUCUUGCGAUUGGCAACACAUGAUAGCCCCAGAUGUUUCGAACUCGAAAGGUCCUGCAAAUCUCGACUAGAUUCUCGCGACUCACAGCAAUUUGUUUCCCGUGGAAUCUUCAAAGUUGAAGGAUCCACUGACCCUUUGCCUCUGGAGAACCUGGGAACGCCUAAUCAACGUUUUGUCUUAACUAAUGCCAAAACUUCAUGCGUCUGGUAGCUGCCAGCCCCAACCACUGGGACCACUCCAUCUCCACCACCACCUGGAAGUGACGCUUCAUAUCUUUGUGUAACACUGCUAAUCCUGUUCAUGACUUCAUUACACAUGAGAUCAUUAUUUCUACUAGAUAUAGGUGGACUAUUGAUAGAUCGUGAGAUGUUGCUACUCGUCAUAAAGGGAGUAAAAUUGUGAAAAUGCUUCUUCUCAUAAUUUCAGCAUGAUUCCUAUAAAUAUAUCACAUUGCUCAAACCUGUAAUAGGUCACAAGUUUCNNNNNNNNNNNNNNNNNNNNNNNNNNNNNNNNNNNNNNNNNNNNNNNNNNNNNNNNNNNNNNNNNNNNNNNNNNNNNNNNNNNNNNNNNNNNNNNNNNNNNNNNNNNNNNNNNNNNNNNNNNNNNNNNNNNNNNNNNNNNNNNNNNNNNNNNNNNNNNNNNNNNNNNNNNNNNNNNNNNNNNNNNNNNNNNNNNNNNNNNNNNNNNNNNNNNNNNNNNNNNNNNNNNNNNNNNNNNNNNNNNNNNNNNNNNNNNNNNNNNNNNNNNNNNNNNNNNNNNNNNNNNNNNNNNNNNNNNNNNNNNNNNNNNNNNNNNNNNNNNNNNNNNNNNNNNNNNNNNNNNNNNNNNNNNNNNNNNNNNNNNNNNNNNNNNNNNNNNNNNNNNNNNNNNNNAAGCGCUACAAGUCCAGCAGCAUGACCACUCUCCUUUGCCUAUGUGUUUUCGUACUUUGCCUCCAGAAGCUUCCUUAAUAAUCGACACGUCAAUCAUUAAAUUACUUUGAGCAAUCAUAUGAGACAGACAAAGAUAAAAUUACAGUUGCAAUAUCCCAAACAAUAAAAACCCCAAUUCAAGCAAUCAGGAAAAGUAAGCAAAUUCAGCUUGUUCAAGCGUAGGUUUCUGCCCAUCAUUUUCAUCAAAACCUCCGCACGACCACCGUAAACCACCACCUCCAUUAGUCAAUACUACCUAUACACUCCGGCUUCGACCACCAACAGUCUGCCAUCACAUGCACACGGCACUGCACAUAGGCUUAUGCCACGAGGCGGACCAUGCCUCCAAAGGGAAGUUCACAUUCCAAAUGCACCGAGAGCAACUAUCGGAGAAGAAUCCCCGAUCACCAGCCAGAGCACGAAACUGGAACGGCACAGCCACUGAACUAAUUUUAAAAAUCACCGCGCCAAACACGACCCAGCGCAAAACAAAACCCGCCCCCCGCCGCCGCUCGAGAGCCGUCUCAUUACAUCCAAACCCUUCCACUAGACGGACGACGACGACAGCUACUACCCCAACAACACACGAGAGCGUACACAAGAGAGAAAGCAAAUACGAACCGAAACACUCAGUCAAAGCUAAGUGGUAGCGGCCUACCUUCAGCUAGAGUCUUUACAAGCUCGGCGCGCACGCGCGGGAGAGAGAGAGAGAGAGAGAGAGAGAGGGGGUCUCCUUCUUCGCUUGAUUUUGCAAUGGUCGGGUUCGGUCGCCGAAAUUUAUACGGCCAAGAGAGAGAGAGGGUCUCCUUCUUCGCUUGAUGUUGCGACUGCUAGAGUGCCUGGGCUCGCUGCCUCAUCAAAGAGAGGGUCUCCUUCUUCGGACUUGUCGUGAAUCAAUUCGGAUACUGGCUUCUGGAAAUCCCUCUCUUCGCUAGAUCUACAAUAAAUAUAAAGCUUCGAUAGUCGGACGGGAAGCUCUGAGAGACAUUCAAGAGGACGGAGAUCGAAAAGAGUGAGUUCUUGAAGAAGGGUUAAUUUAGAAAGAAAUGGCAACGAUGGAGUCGGGAAAUCAAUAUGUAGAGCUGUUAAGCUCAAGGGCGGUGUCGGUAUUUUUCCAAGGUUUUUGCAGCCCCUAAGGUCGAGACACUGGACAGAAGAGAGCUUCGAAAUGCUCUCCGGCAAGCCCCUAAUGCCCGAUUUGUCUAAAUAAAGCUUAUUUAGUGAAACCAGCUCGCCUAUAUCACUAGGCAGUCCUUCCAAAUUUUUGCAAUUAUUUGCAUGCAACACUUGGAGUUUUGCCAACUUUCCAAUCGAGUUAGGGAUCUCUCUCAAUGACUCGCAAUAUGAUAGGUCAAGGAGAGUUAGAGAUGCUAAAUUGCCUAUGGAGUUGGGUAUGCAAUCUAAUUUACACUCACAAGCCAAAAGAGUCUCUAGCGCCUUCAUAGAACCAAUGGAUUCUGGUAAUUCUUUAAUCCUUGUAAUAGAUAAGUCCAGCCUAGUUAAUGACUCAAAUGAACCCAUGGAUUCAGGAAGCUGAGCAAGUUUAUCAUAGCAUAGAAACUCUCUCGAUUCUUCCAUUCUCCCUACUCUUACUGGUAGCUUCUCUAGUUUAACACACUCGGAAGCGUCCAAGGAGACAAGGGUCUUAAUAUACCAUAUAGAAGGAUGAAUUUCUUCUAGACCCCAACACUGGUCAAGAUUCAAAAUCUCCAAGCUUUCGAAAGCAGACAAGUCAGGAGUUCUUCUCAAAUUUUGACAACCCGAGAGGUUAAGAACUUUUAAAUUAGUUGCCACCUGANNNNNNNNNNNNNNNNNNNNNNNNNNNNNNNNNNNNNNNNNNNNNNNNNNNNNNNNNNNNNNNNNNNNNNNNNNNNNNNNNNNNNNNNNNNNNNNNNNNNUUUUUUUAAAAGAAUCUUUAAAAUUCUAAAAAAUACCAUACUCACUACUCUUCAUAGUGUCUUAUUAUUUUAAUGUUUUUUUCAACAGUGCCAGGGUACAGACCAUAUGAUUUUUUAAAGCAUAUCCAUUGCAAAAAGAUGUUGGGAUGCACAAGUGCAACCCAUGUUUAUUUUCAGAUAAAAUUCAAAAAGAAAAUAUAUUCAGUUUUUAAGAGCUAUGGUGAUGCCGUUGAUUAGACUUAUGCAAAUUUUAUUAUCAAAGAGACACUCCGAUAGUAAGAAACAGGUAGUUUAAUUAUGAAAAACAAUUUCUUAAAGUGACUUCAAAAAAAAAAUUAAAGAAUGUUGUAUUCCAAAAAAAUUUAAUGCCAUCGGAAGGAUAGUUUUAUUACUCUCUUAACAUUAAUAAUUUAUAUUUGCAUUAUACAGUGACUUCCAUAAUCAACAAUUAUAAUGAAUAAAUAUUUCAUGCAACAAGUCAAAGCAAUUCAUGAAUUAUAUCCAUUACUUUAAGAUUAAAAUGAAUUCAGAAUUUUAGUAUUGAUGUACAACACAAGUCAGUAUGUGUGAGAUUUUUUCUUUUUUCUCCAUGAAAGAAGAUUAAUAUAGAGAUAUAACAAGAAUCGCUCAAAAGACAUACUUUUGCAUUGGAAAAAUUAACCCAGCCACAGAUCGUCUAGAUUAAAAUAAAUCAGAAAUGGUACAAAUAUAUAAUUAUAUUUCAAUAAAUGUUAAUUAUUAUAGUUAAUUUUUUAUUUUUUUUAGUAUUGUCUAAGGUUAAAGCAUGACAGGUUGUUGAGUUUUAUCAAUUAAAGUUAUAAGAAGCAGAAGCUUCCGAACAUUUAGGUGCCUAUAAUUCCUCUUAUAUUAUGUCGAAAAUCCUUAAUAUGAGAAAUGACAUUAAGCCUUUCUAUAAAAAUAAAAAUAAAAAUAAAAAUAAGAGAGGAGAACUUGGUGCUAUUGGACCUUUAGUAACACAUUAUUAUUCACAAAGGACAUAUCUUCUCAAAAUCUUACCUUGAGUGGGCCCCAUCCUCCCCAGUCCUCCGAAAUCACACCACCUGAUAGAUUGAGCACGACUAAUUUCUUUGGGUGAAAGUUGAUAAUUUCAAAAUCCGAGGAACAAGUCUCCCAGUGAAGCCAUCUUAAUUGAGGAAGCAAGUUUUGGAAAUCUCCAGUAAAAUUCACAUUGUCCAAUUGAAGGAACCUCAAGUCGGUGAAUUCGUUAAACUGUUCACCUCGGUAGCUUUUUUUAUCAUAGCUUUCCCAUCUAUUAUAGCAAAGACGAAGGGCCUCAAUCUUACAAGUGCCCUGCAUUAUAAAACAUUAUGGACCGUAAGUUUUAAUAGAUUAAAUGAUCUCUAUCUAUAUAGAAGAUGGACUUAUUUCAGUUUGAUAUCAUACUAUUAUGGUGUGGACUUCUUAUUUUCAACUUGGUGAAAUGACAAGUCGUCAUUGCACAUGAUUUAUCUAAUUCAUGUAAAAAUGGGAAGCUCAAGAAGGUGCUUUCGAACUUUUCAUCUUCUACUAAUGCUUUUCGCAAAUUUGCACCUUUUGAAUUACCAAAAAUUGCAUCCUUUCAAAAAUAUAAUAAAAGGCAUCUAAUUGUACAAACUACUUCAAAUAUAUCUAUCAAAAUUCAUGCCCUUUAUAUGUGAAACACCCAAUCCUAACUCGUAUCCUUUAGAUGCAAAACACAUGACUCUUAUAGUCCAAGUACAUCUAUCAAACUUGUCAUCAAAACAUGUAUCAAAAUUAGAGAAUCUGAAUUGUAGAAUCCCCCCUAUUAUUCUGGCAUGUCUUGUUUGCAAUUCUCAAUAGCAAAAUGAAAUUGAGAAUGUCACCUCAAAAGGUAUGCAUGUGUUUUAUAUUCCUUUCUUAACGUGUGUUUCUUUAAUGAGUGUUUUCAAUUAUACAUGGAAGAAAAAUAUGUUAAAUAUCAAACGUUAUAUAGAUAAUCUUUACUCCUCUUUUUAUUAGUACAUGUGUUUGAUGCAACAUUUUCAUUAUCUUGUGUAUUUUGUUACAGUGAAAUAGCAUAAAGUAAUUAGAUCUUGCUUCUAAAAAGAUCAGACAUGAAAAUUGAUUAAACUGAAUAUUUAAGGAACUUGAAUUUAGUUUGUCUUAGGUGAUGAUUUGCUAAGUGAGUACAAAUCAUGAGAGUUGUAAGACUGAUUUGUUUAGUGGUUUGAAUACUUCCUUCAAACUUUUAUUCUUUUGGAUGAGAUACCCAUUACUUAGAAAUUUAUUGUAUUUUAUCGUAUCUUCCUCAAUAACUUCAUAGAGACCCUUUUUGUCCUGUUCUAAGCAAUGUUCUAUUCAAUUCAUUACAUUUUCAUUUGUGCACAAAUAUGCUUGCUGAAAUACAGUGGUAGCACGUUUUUUUACUAAUCUCAUUACUUCAUUAUUUAGUGUUUUUUAAUAAAAGAUCUGCACAUGCUCGUUUGAUGUUUGCACAAAUCAUCCAUAUGUUCUAAUUGCAUUUAGUUGCAUACCUUUUUAACUUUCAUGUUAAUGAUAGAAACUAAUCACGAUACAAAAUUCAAAACCAUAAUUAUUUAUAUCACAAGUACUAGAAUGAGCCAUUGCUUUGACUUGACCCACUUCUUAUAGAUAUUAAGAAUAUUAAUCUCAUUAAUAAAAUUGGAUGUCACUUUUCCAAUAUUCCUUCAUGAAAUUUAUCCUACAAUAGUAACCUUCACAUUUAGAUCUAAUAAGAAAAGAAAAAUAUUCUUACUUCAGUUUUACUUUAGAGUAAUAAGAGCUAUUUCUAAUUGUGCAUCUAAUCAUAUUUGAAUGUAAGGAUGUUAUUAAUUUUUAUUAUGUGAUUAUAUGGUUCUAAAACUUAAGUAAUGAUAAUUUUUUUUUUUUUUUUGAAAAAUAUAGAGUUGCCAUUAUUUCUUAUCCUAAAUAUGAUGAUUGAAUUAAAGAAAGUACACGCUCACACACACACAUAUUAUGUUAACAUCACUACUCUGUAAGCAUGUGAAUUUGUUUUUAGUUCUAUAACUAAAUGUCGUUCAUUUAUAAAUUUCUAACAAAGUUGUAAAUGUAAGGUUAUUUUAAUGCUAAAAUGUAACCUUUAAUGAUUCUCUAUAUAAAAAGUCAUAUAUAUUGUUUUAAUAUUUAAACCUAGUUUAAUCAAAUAUAAUGUGAAAAUUGUUUAGUUUUGAUAGUUCUUCCACAUUAGAAAGUUCAUAAUUAUAUUACUGAAGAUCUAUGUUUAGUAAUAUAUGUUUUGUUGAGAAUAUAUGGUUCUCAACUUACAUUUUAAAAACUGUCAAAAACAUAUCAUUGCAAAUACAUAUUUUUAUAUGUAUAAUAUAAUGUUGUAAAUAAAUCUAUAAUUUCACCACUAAAAAAUCUUGUGACCUAGGAAUUAAUUUUCAGAUAUACUUUUAUAUACAUAGAUAUUGUAAUCACUAUUCUUCCAUAUUUUUUUUUAUUAUGAAUGGUUUUGGUUAAUAAUCAUUAUUCUUUUUAAUGUUUAUUGUUAAUGUUUUAUCUACUCCAUCAAAAUAGUACAUCUCUUUAUAAGGCUUUUAUCCAUUUUAUCAUAAAUGAACACCUCCAUUCAAAAUAAUCCAUUUAAAUAUGCAUCACUUUUUAUAUGAUACGUUAAACUCCAUUUUUUAUACAGUUCGUUUAUUAUUCUACUUAGGAUUCUCUUCUUUCUCGAAUUCAAGGUAGAAGAAUUCCAUCGAUUAGUGUCAUUUACUUACCAUUGGAUGAAAAGAUAUUUCUCUUAGAAAUAUGGCUUGAAAAUUUAGUACAUCAUUCACAUGUUAGUAAAUAGUGCAUCUCUAGGAAGUAAUAUGUCCAAACCGGAAUUUCUCUUUGCGUUUUGAGCAGUAUAGUUUCUAGAUGACUUUUUUUAUGGUACAUACCUAAUGUUUGGUCCCUUUCUUUCUUUGCUCUUAUUGAUAUUAGUUAACACCUAUUCACUACCUUUAUGUUUGCAUUAAUAAACACCUCGUUUUGAAAGCAUAAGUUCGAAUAGACAUAUUCCUUCAUAUCACACAAGUUGUUCAUGAAACAAAACCAGGUGAUAACUAUUAUGCAACUUAAACCAAUCGACAUACAUCUACUAUAGCUUUAUUACAUUAUAGCGUAAUAGCGAUUAUAUUGCAGCCUUAUCAUACAAGUUGUUAGUGUAAGUUGUUUACUACCUCUCUAAUUUCCAGAUUCAUGAAUUUGAGAAGAAUAGGGAAGAUUGAGAUCUCAAGACUAGAGUGCACAACAGAAGUUAAAAGUAUUUUGAGUGUUAGAAAAAUAAUUAAAAUAUUUUUUUCUUCUAAUGUCUCAUUUUAAUCCGUAGUCCUCAACAAAAUAGCAUAACAUACAUAUUUUGUAGCAACGGGAACAAUUUGUGGAUUUAUCUUUUAUUAUGUGCAACAAGCUCAUAUUUAUUAAAUAAAUAAUAUCAAAAGCAUACUUGUCAAAUUACAGAUCAAUAUCAUAUUGGACUCAUAUUUCACAAAUAAACAAUAUUAGAAGAUCAAUAAAAAAGAUAUCCAUCAUCACAAAAAUUUUAUAUUACUUGCUUUAGAAAUAAAUUAUAUAAUCAAAGUCUCCGUAAGAAGAGAAAAUAGUACAUGUUUAGAAGAAUUUUGUACAUGGAUGCAUAUAUUUCAACAAUAAGUAUGAUGUAAUGUAGCGAUGAAUGUUAUGAUUGAGAACAUGUAUAGAUACCCCUUGCGACUAAGAAAUACCAUCAUUACAAAAUAAUUCUUUAACAUGCUUUACAAAUAAACGAAUGUAAUAAAAUUUCCACCAUAGAAGGAAAAAGAACAUAUGUUUAGAUGGAUCUUUUACAUGAUUAAAUAUAUUUCUACAAUAAGUAUAACAAAAUGCAUAAUAAGUUAUGGUUAUGAUGAUUAAAAAGUUCUAUGGAUACUCAUUAUGAGAAUAUAUUCUCGUAUUUCAUAAGCAGAUUAUAUUAACAAUCGAUAAAAAAAUUUACGUAACAUGAUAGCUCAUUUUAACAAAUAAAUAACAUAAAGGUACUAAAUUUGUGCUAUAAAAUGCUCAUUAUGAGUUGAACGAUGAUGAAAUAUCUAUUAUAACAUGGUAGCUAAUCCUAGAGAAAUAAAAAAUCAACAAAAAAGAUAUAUAACAUGAUAGCCCAUCUAUAACAACUGAUGAUAUAAAGAUUAAAUAAAUCUUUUUUAAAUGCGAUGCUUAGUAAGAGUUGAACCGUGCGGUAAUAAUUAUUAUAAACAUGAAAGCCCAGAUUUGACAAAUAAAUGUUAUUGGGGAUUAAUAGAAAAAUAAUCCAAAGUUAUAAAAAAAUAUAAAAAAAAAAAUAUUAGCAAAUUCACAGAAGAAAAUUAUCCAGUAUUAUGAAAAGUCUAUAGAACAAAAAUAAUAUAUGUUUCCAGGGUUAUAUUACAUGGUUGCACAUAUAUCACAUACAAAUACAAAAGCAACAAUAGCAAAUUAACAGAGUUAACUAAAGGUUGACAACGAAAGAUUCGAUUGCGCCAAUUGUGAAAGGUAAAAGACCACAUUAAGGAAGAAAAAAAGAAUUAGAUAGAGGACCAAAUCGCACAAACAAUAACAUUUAAUAAAUCUGUAUUUAACCCAACUUGGAAAAAAAAGAAAAAGGAAGUGAGCUAAUCAUUGCAAAUGAAUGGAGGUCUCAUUUAUCAUAGCAAGCAACACAUAAGAAGUCAAUAUUCAGUUAAAAGAAGAAGAAGAAGAAGAAAAAUACCUCACAAGAAAUUAUAAGAAAAAUCCAAACUUAAAAAAUGUGGAAAAAGCAUGGCCCAACAACUUAUAGAUGUCAUGUUAUCUUGGAAAGUGCUCUGUUAAACACUAUGGUUUUGCAAUUUUAUUUUGCAUUGAUGUUAUAACCGGACAAGCUCUUCUGCUAAUAGCUGCCCCAAAUUUGGCACAUUAAUUUUCAUCUCAAAAAAGAAAGAGAAGAUGGACUCAACGUUCACUGACUAUAAGACAAAUAGACAAAACUCUUACCUUGUUGCUCUCAAGCGCAUGUUCAGCUUCCUCAUUACUCCAUAUCCGGCUACGUUUUUUAGGCUUCUUUUGAUUUUCUAAACGAACAAUUUCCCUUCCAAGAUCUCUCAAUUGAUCAUGCAUCUUUAGCGAGCCAUCUUUGCCAAUUUUAAUUAGGGACAUAUGCCUUAAUACUUCAAUCCCAAUCUCCGGGUAAAAAUCACAAGCACCCCACAUAUAAGUCGGAUUUUGUUUAGAUGAUCCAAUGAAAAAACAUGCAAUAUCCAAAAAAAUCUGUUUCUCUGGAUAAUCUAAUGUGUCGUAACUUAUCUUCAACCUAUCUUGCACUUUCUUAGCAGGAAUUUUCUCCAAUUUCUUUAAUGCAUCUUUCCAUGCUUCCUUUGUCUUUCCACAUAAGUAUGAGCCUAUAACUUCAAGUGCUAAAGGAAGACCCCCAGUAUUAGAUACGGCAGCAUGAGAGAUAUGCUUAUAAUCACUUGGAGGAAAAUCAUUUCGAAAUGCAUGUCUACUAAAUAAAAUCAAUGAUUGCUCCGAAGGCAACUCUUCAAGUUCAUAUGGGUGGCUAGCUCUAGCGUAGUCAAGAAUAGUCUUGUUUCUAGUUGUGAUGAUGACUAUACUUCCUGCUUUAAACCAACUACCAUCUCCGAUCAAAGCAUCCAACUGAGUAUUAUCAUCCAUAUCAUCAAGAAGAGCGAGGACUUUCUUAUUUGUAAAUUGGGAUUUGAGUACACUUAUUCCCUCAUCGACAUUAGACAACCCACGCGAUUCUCUUAAUAAAUUUGAGAUGAGCUGCUUUUGUAGGCAUUCAAUACCCUUGCGGUGAGAUUUUUCUCGAAUAUCCGCCACAAAGCUACAAUCCUCAAAAUCGUUAAAUAGCUUGUUGUAUAACACCUUUGCAAGAGUUGUCUUACCGAUGCCGCCCAUUCCAUAGAUUCCAAUGAUCCAUGUACCAUUGAAAUUAGCAUCUAUCUUGCUCAUAAUUUGCUCCACACGAUCAUCAAUUGCCACCAACUGUUCGGGAACAUUUAGGAGGAAUUUUUCUUUUAUCUCUCUCAUAACUCUUAUGACAACCGUUCUCACUAAUGCUGCUUCAUGCCUAUCAAACAAUAAUACAAAGUUUCAAUAUAUGAUAGCAAUGUUUAUAUGCUUUUUUUCAAGUAAGAUAUUUAUGAGAAACUUAACAAUGUUUUGGUGGAGAAUAACGUACCCAUCAGCUAUUUUCUCCGAUUCCCAUCCUUUUAAGGAACUGACUUCGUCGAGCGCUUCUUCCCAUUCCUUCACAACCUCUUGACCCAAAUUAUUUUUAUGUGCAUUGAUGGCUUCUCCAAAUUUCCCCUUGGGAUCUCGCACUUGUGAGGGUUUCACUUUGUAAAAUAUGGGCAACACUACUUGCCCUUUGCUUCUCCUGCACUUCAACAUCUGAGCCAGCUCUUGAAGGCACCAUUUGCUGGAAGCAUAAUCCUUAGAUAUAAUCGGGAUCGAAAUCAUAGACUGCGUGAUACUGCGGAGAAGCUCCGGACCAAUCUCGUCACCAACUCGUAGCUCAUCGUUGUCUCUAUACACGCGAAUUCCUGCAUCAACAAGGCUAGUAUAGAGAUGAUCGGUGAAGCCUUUGCGAGUGUCUUCCCCUCUAAAGCUUAAGAACACUUCGUAAUCAGUUCCCUUCAGCCUUUUGGUUCCACCAUCAUCACCUACAUGUGGAGAGGUCGACGACGAAGACGCUCUGUAUGGCAGAUCUUCUGAAUGAGGAGGCUCUUUUCUGAUCAUCUUGAGAUAGAUGGAGCGGAGCCUCAAAAGAAGAGGAGUAUGGAAUCCUAGAUCUAGGAAUUGCAGAAAUGUCUCUCAGAACUCGAUUGAGAGCUACAUUCAAACAAAAACAAAAGCUCUCAUACAAGUCAUUAAAAGAAAAUGGAAAUAAAAACAAGAAAGAGAGAAGAGGAGAAGAGCAAGUAGUCACCAAUUACCUGAGUAGUGCUUAAACAACACAAUCCACACACUGCUGCGAUCUCCACCGAUUCUCACCUUCGACGUUGGAUUACCCACACGCAACCGUCUUUUAUAUGCGUGCUUGAAUGAUGCUAAGUUCUGGCCAUCCAACGGUCCAAGACUCUUUAUGCUAAUUGAACGGCUGCGAUGCAUGCUGCAGGGAAAGGACAAUUAUUGUAGGCGUAAUUUCCGUAGCACCGCGCGGAAGGUACGUGGAAUGAGCGACGCGGAUACGCUCACACGCAAUGCUCACCAGCAAGGCGAGGCUUGACUUUGACUUGCUUUUUCUAUUAACAAUAAAAAUAUAAAAGAAAAAAAAACUGACGAGCAACAGUCACAUGCUCCCGGUGCUAAAUUAUGUGAGUCAAUGACGAAAACAUAUCAAUCCUCGGAUUAAAUCAGAUUUUUGUUGAAAAUAAAUGUCCGUGUGACGCUUUUUAUUCAAAUAGGGAAAGUUUAUUAUUUUCAAUCAGCAAUCUGCUUUUCAUUAAGGAGAUUGCUCUAAAUUAGUAAAUCACUAGAUAAAUCUCUCCCAAAAACAAUUUUGUCAAAUUAAAUUUCUCCAUACCACAUCAUAUAUCUAAAAAUUAUGUAGCCAUCACUCCUCACUCACGGCACUUUUAUCCCUCUCCUUAUAUUAAUAAUUUUUUAUGCUCUAUAUCCUUUUAGAGUCGCGUUUAGAAAUUUUUGGCCAAUGAAUUCUCCACAAUUGAAUAUUUAUUUAGUCAUCCGUUUUUACUUUCUUUUUUCAUUUUUUGCUUUUUUCGGUGGUCAAGUGGAAACAAAUGCAAUUGAUUUGUUUUAGCAAUGUCUAGAGAAAGAUAUGGUGGCAAUUUUUACUAGGAAAACAUUAAUAGGAGUAUUUUACACUCUUUUUUAUCAUCUAGUCAUUUUGAAAAUGUUAAGCUGAUUUAUCUAUUCAAUUCAAUUUCUUCACAAUCAAGUUGCAUAAUAUGUGUGUGUAUAUAGAGAAAUAUAUUUAUACAUGUAUCACAGCUUAACAAAUAUUGCACCAUUUCAAUGGUGAAAUUUUUCAAUGUCUUUCUUGGAGAGUUCCUACAACCCCUUUAUCAAAGUAAAUGCUAUGCCACUUUCAUAGGAAACUCCUAAUUUUUCAAUAUCUUUAUUUGAGAGUUCCUACAACCCCUUUAUCAAAGUAAAUGCUAUGCCACUUUCAUAAGAAACUCCAAAAUUUUCAAUGUCUUUCCUAGAGAGUUCUUACAACUCCUUUAUCAAAGUAAAUGCUAUACUACUUUCUUAGGAAACUCCUCUCAAUGUCUUUUCAAUGUCUUUCCUAGAGAGUUCCUACAACUUCUUUAUCAAAGUAAAUGCUAUACCACUUUCAUAGGAAACUCCUCAGGAAACUCCUCUCUCUCUCUCUCUCUCUCUCUCUCUCUAUGAAAAAUUGACAAGUGCCUUUUGAGUAUGCAUUUAGAAAGAUCCAAUUACGUGAAUCUCAUAAGGUUUUCACAUUUUUUAACUAUUUGUCAGUGUAAACUGUUGGAUUGACAUUGAUAAAAUUGUUGUGUUUAAAGCCACUAGAUCAUAUUGAAGUGCGAAAGAUGAGGAAAAAUUUUAUGAUAUACCUAUGGUAAUGUUACGACAUUACAACACAUAGGGUAGUUAAGUACGAAAACAUCAUAAUAGCACAUUCUAUGACAAUUGAGUGAAAAGUGAUGUGAAACAAAAGUGUGCAACUGAAGAUUUUCUAAAGAUGAAUGGAAUCAACAAUGAUGGAAGUUUCGCGGGAAAAAAGAUGAGCUGAGUAAGGCAUGGGCCCAUUGCCUUGUGACUUACUUUUUUUCACUCACCCACUUCGAUGACCAAAAAGGAGCCUGAGUCCUGCUUUUUUAUCAACAGGAGAAGAGAAACAAAAAAGUGAGAGCAUUUACACUUCUUGGACCUCCCAAUGAUUGUGAUCCUAGGUGGGUUGGAAAUUGGAAUCUAAAAGAAAAACCAAAUAUAUUUGUACAUCUCUCUAAUAAAAAAAUUAUUCUUUUUGACCCAAAUGAUCAAAUAAUAAUUGAGAGAUAUAUGAUUUGUCAAAUAAUAAUUGAGAGAUAUAUGAUUUGUCAAAUAAUACAAAUGGUGAUAGGAAAGUUAAAUGUAUUUUAGGUCUCAUACUAAUUACGUUCACAAAAAUUGUACGUUCAUUUUAGAAAUUAGAAUCAUAUGUUCAAAUAUCAUGAAAACAAGUUUGAAUUGGAGCCAUUUGCACACAUUCCAAAAGCCUAAACUUCAUCAAUUUAUUGAAUUUGCAGUGUAUUUGAUGUGCUUUCAAGUGGCGAUCCUCUACACCAAUGCAUAUGAGUUUCAAAAAGUUAUCAUAUAUUUGCUCUCGUUGCAAUUGCAUCCACUGAAACUAAAAUUGAUUUGAGAAAAUUCUUUGAAUUUUCAUCCUCACUAUCAUUUGAAUGAUUUAGAGAAUUUUCAAAAGAGAAUAUAGAAAAUCAUUUUCACUUUUUGGCUUCAAGAAUAAAAUACAUGUUUUCCCUUUUCACCAUUUUCGUUCUCGUCUAAAAAAGCGGCUCCCCACAGGAUGCUUUUCUUUAACUCCCUUCUUUUCAUAUUCAUUCACUUUGGACACAAAUUUAUCAUUUAUUGGAGCAUUUCCGUGACUUUUUUUAAAAGUUCGAGCUUUGUCCAAUGCUAAAGGGAUUAUUCUUUUCAAUCCAUUGAUCCAGGAAGUUUCAAAGAAAUUUCCUGUUCAAGAUUUUCUUCUCAUUGUUCUUUAUUCUUUUCAAUUCAUAGCUCCAAGAAGCUUCAAAGAAAUUUUCUAUUCAAAAUUUUCUUAUCAUUGUCUUUUUUUCUUUUCAAUCCAUAGCUCUAGGAGGCUUCAAAGAAAUUUCCUGUUAAAAAUUUUCUGUUCUUAUUCUUUUCAAUCCGUAGCUCCAACAAGCUUCAGAGAAAUUUCCUAUUCAGGAUUUUCUUUUCAUUGUCCUUUAUAAUGCAAGACAAUUUAGUUAAGAAAUUCUAAUGCUAUUAAAUAAUAAUGAUGGGUAUAUUAAUUCCCUUUAAUUUGCCAAGAAGACAAACAAAUUAUUAUGUGACUUCAGUAAUUUCCCACUUGCUAACAUGAUCAUCCAUAAGGAUGGUUAAAAGAUUCUUUUUGAUUAGUGAGAUAUUUUUUUUCAUUGCUCUUAUUAAUAGACACAAAUAGUAUAUGAAGAGACUAAAGUCUCACAAUAUAAAAAUCUGAUAUACUGAGAACAGGAUAUAUUAUUGAAAAUUAAACCAAACUUGUAUUGUUUAGUGCCAAUUUCUAUAGAAAAGUUUCCUACCAAUCGUGUUUUCGCAAAAACAGAUUCCAAUAAACUACUAACGGUUUUUUUUUUAACAAAACAGGCCGUAAGUGAACUUGAUUUUAUAGUUACUUCUAAUGAAAAUGUUAUUGCUUAAAAAUACUUUUCAUGAAAACUACUUUCAAAAAUAAUUAUUUGUAAAAUCAUAUCUAUUAUCUAGGGUCAUGCGAGGCUAGAACCUUUAUGUCAUGAUGGUGGGGCUCAUCUCCAUCGCGAGUACUGACUUUCAUAAAAAGAGACACGCAACCAUAGAGUUCAUGACCUCCGUUGAUUCGCUCCAACAGUCAUCUAUAGUCACAGGAAGCCACGACGUUCAUGGCCGGACGUCUUUACCUUAAUGAAAAUCAAUACACUUGAUGGAGAUGAGCCUCGCUAUCAAAAUCAUGGAGGUCGUUGCCCUCAGUGCGACCAUAGGAAAAAGGUGUGAUUUUACAAAUUAUGAUUGAUAAGAUAUCCUUGUGCUCAAAAGCCCUUUUUGCUUUUUGCCACUAAAUGGUUUCUGAAUCAAAAAUCUUUUUAAAAGUCCAUUUUCUCGUCUCAGCAGUUUGUCCUUUCCUUCUUUAUGUACUAAGAAAAAGGAACGUCAUUAUGGUGGGCAAAGUUCAUGCAAUGGAAUCUACACUGUUCAAUUGGUGCUAUCAAAUUUGCAUCACAACUCACGAACGAUAGCGAAGACCUAAGAAAUCCUUUAUCAAAUUUGCAUCACACUGUUCAAUUGGUGAUUAAAAAAAGGCAAUUUUUAAACGCAAUUCAUUGUACUUACGCGAUAAAACUUACGAAUUCAAAAUCAUGCAAAUUCAAAUGUUGCUUAGAAUAUUGUCAAUCAUAUUCGUUUGAGCAAAUGACAUUGUAAGGGGUAUCUGGUUCGAUAUGUUUAUAAUGAAAGAGCCCAUUUGUUAUUGAUAAGCCCACCUAAGAUGCCAAACCUGGCCUAAUUAAGUGAACCCAAUACAUGUUGUAGGGAUUAAAACAAGAGAUGGCAUUUUCUGACUAAGGCGUAUCAAUAAUAUUGCCUUAAAGAUAGUAAUUUAUUCAAUAGGAUUCAUGAUCCAAUCCAAUUGAAUCCAAUGGAAAUCUUAACCCCAAAUACGAUGCCUAGACUCUAAUUUUGCUCGCUUAGUCCAUGUGGCAAGCAAAGGAUGAAUACGAUUCAAGCCUUGAAGAGAUAGUCAAUAUAGAGAAAGCAUGAGAGAGACGAGGAGGAGAAGAAGGAACAUAGGAUAGAUAAAUGUUGAUGAUCUCUUUGUUCCCGUAUUUUCUAGAAGAUGCCCCUGGAUAAGUAGACAAAGGAAACGACACAUGUAAUAAUGGACGCAUCUAUUCAUUGAUAAUAUUUGAAAUCUAAGUUAGAUGAAUGUUAAGUUUCAAACAGUAAUAAUCUAACUGAUGGAUAAGAAUUAAAAGACAAGAUAACUAGCGAGCAAUUUUGGCCCUGAAGUUUUAAUUUAUUCAAUGUGGUCUUUGAAUUUUUUAUCUGUUCAAUAUAGUUCCUAAACUUUUAGUACAUAUUCAAUACAUUCUUUGAAUUGUAUAAAUAUGUUCAAUAUAGUCAUUCCAUUAAUUUAAGACAAGAGGCUACAUUGAAUAUUUUCAUAUAAUUCAUUAACUAUAUUGAACAUGUACCAAAAGUUCAGGGACCAUAUUGCACAUAGGGCUAAAGUUCAUGGGCUAUAUUAAACAUAUUAAAAGUUCAUGGAUCAAAUUGUAUAUUGGGACAAAUUUUAUGGACUGUUUGUAUCAUUUUGCCUAAAAGAAACCCAAAACAAUCUCUCACUAUUUUUCUAAGGAGGAAUUAUUACAAGGCAAACAUUGACUUCCAAUACCAUGUAUGAACCAUAAGGAUAUGUGGCAAAGCAAAAUGUAGUAGUUGAUAGGAGAAACUUUGAUCUCAGAAUUACUAAUUUCAGCUCUGUUUGUUUCGCGAAAAAUAAAUAAUUUUGAGAUUUUUUUUUCUAAAAAUAGUCACUUAUAUCGUUUACAAAAAUGAAUGAAUGAAAUUACCUUUCUUGUCAAUGAUAAUGUUUAGACAUAAAUUGUUGUCGGUAAUGAGAAUAUAUUUCAUUAACUAAUUGUUUCAAGCGAUACAAGCGAUCAUUUUUAGGAAAAUGUUGUUAAAAAAUCAUUCAUUUUUAGGGCAAUGUGUUAUAAAUCAUGCACUUACCCCAGCUUAGUGAGAGCUUUAGAGCAUAGCCGUAGCUCAUAAGAAGUAGCCCAGACUUCCACAUUAGCAAAGGUAAAUCCCAUCAAGAGCAUUCGCAACCACCAUUUUCGAUCCACUAUUUGUUAAGAUUAGUUCGAUCCUACUUAUGGCAAAUAAAACAAUGCACAUUUUAAGAUGGAAUUUUUCCUAUUAAAAAUUGUGGCCCUACUAGUUGCAAAGUAACGUGCAUUGAAAAUAUAACCUCAAUGCUAACAUUUCGAUAGAUCACAAUUGACUAAAAAAUUUUCAAACUCGUACGUAAUACAAAUGUAGAGUAGGCUACAUCCAGUGGAUCCUUAAAUAUUGGUACUAAUCACAUCUCCUUCAAAGCUCUUGAUUGCUCUACACGAGUUGAUCUCUUAGUAAGAGGAUUGAUGGAAAAAUUGUCCAAAAAGUCUUAAACUUAUUAUAUGAUGGCCAUUUCAACCUUAAACUUACAAAUAUAUAUAUGCCACACGGUUUUAACUUUGUCGUUAACACACAAUUAGAACCUAUAAUUAUGGUGUUAGGAGGAAGAUUGGCUAAUGACCAUGUACUAUCUUGCUUAAUAAAUUUUAUUUCAAUUAGGGGUGAGUGGUUCCACAAUUACUUCAGGUUUUACUUGGAACCUCCAACCUGUUGGAACUGAUUCCCCAAUUUUUAAAACCUAGAACCUACCUUACAUACCUUGGAGCCUUAAACUUGCCCUCUCACAAGUUUUAGGAUCAAUUUCACAGUCUAUCUAGGUUCUACCUGUAUUCUUAAUUAAACGACUUCAGUCAAUUAUCACAUCUAAUUACCAUUAUUUACUAUUACAAUAUAGAAAUCACAACUCAUAUCUAGAUACACGAAGAAUAUGAAAUAUUAACAACGCAAAAGUCUUACUCAUAGAUAUCAUCGGAAAUGGAAGCUUAUACUAGUGAUUUCAGAUUGCACAAUUAUCAUCAGACACAAUGGAAAGCCGUAGGAUUUUGCAAAGAACAGGAAAAACAAAAAGACUUGUUCACAUGUAGUUUCAGUAAUGAAGCGAUGUGGCUAAAAUCAUACUUAACAACUAAUGAAUAAUGUCUACUGUGUAAAGCAUGCCCCAUAUGCUUUCAAAACAAUUUAAGAUUAUAUACAAAUCUACAAGAUUUGAUUCGGACAUUUUUACCAAAUAAGAUUGAAAAAAAGAUUUUAGGCAUUUCAAACUCAAAUUCCGUCCUAAGUUCAAUCUAAACUAACAUCAGAUGUGCGAAAUCAAGAAAGCAAACUCAAAUAGAUCAUGUUUCUAUCUCCACAAAAGAUUCAUAGUCUCAAUCACUCCUAACUGGAAACUGAACCUUUUGGAACAGAAGCAUUACUUGAUUAGCAAGGCCAAAUGAAACUGUGGCAACUCGAGACUCAUAGCCCAAAAAAAAAAAAAAAACCUCAACAACAACAAGACAGAGGAAGAUAGGGUAACGUUCUAUGCUCUUGUGAAUAAGAGAUGAACAAUAACUGAUGGCAAGCGGCGUCUGACGACAAUGGAGAGACUCUCAAAGAAGUUUUUCAAAUCUCUCUCUCUCUCUCUCUCUCUCUCUCUCUCUCUCUCUCUCUCUCUCUCUCUCUCUCUCUCUCUCUCGGAGAGGAAGGGUUUCUUUUCAUUUGCUACGUCCAAGCCUCACCAUGUUUGGAUAUGCCAAUUUCUAUUUUAGGGUUUAGUAUGUUCUCGAUCUAGUUCUCUGAUUCUUAAUUCCCAAUCUAGUUUGACUCGAUUCGAUUCCUACCCAAGAAUCAAACCGCAUAAUGCAAGUUCAAAAUAAUAUGGAACUGGGAAUCGAACGGGGUCUCCCCAGAACCUAGAAUUAGUUUGGUUCCCACCGGUUCUCUGAUUCCUUAUUCUACUCUAAAAUCAUGCUCAUUUCUAAUCUCAACAUCCAUUGCCGUUGUGCAAAUAUGAGCAUCUGGUCUAGACUUAGCAUCAUUAUAACUCUUUAGAUCAUUUACCAAAUCAAUCCCAUAAAUGGUCCAAAGACUUUUAUUAUUGUUUUCAUUAUCAAAUGCUAAACAUACUUCGCCAACUAAAUUUGCUUAAUAAAUUGAUGUGGCAAAUUCCUCCUAAGUGAUUUGAUGCUUAGAGAACUUGAAUUCUAACGUUAGAAAACCGUCAAGUUUUAAAUAGCAAUAAACUCAUAGAUAAGAGCUAAAAGACAAGAUAAUUACUAAAUAAUCCGAAACUCUCGAUGACAACAAUAAUUUUUUUAAAGAAUUUAAAAUAGACAUUUCAUCUUAAUUACCAAAUAUAGAGAAAAUUACCCAAAAAAAUCCCAUACCUACCAUAUGGUGGUUAGUUUAAUUGUAAACUUUUCAAUUACAUCAGGGCUAGAACAAGGGCCAUGACCCUCAUUAGAUGUCAAUGAUGGCUUGCAAGCCUUCACUUAUUGGCCAAUGAGAAUUGUCAGGUCCUUGCUGGCCACAACACCCCCCCCCCCCAAAAGUAAAGAGAAAAAAAGAAACAAAAAAAAUAAAAAUAAAUUACAAAAAUUAUCCACAUCAACACCAGUUGUCUUAAGCCAUGUCAUAUAAGAUGGUCCACAUCACUUUAGCGAUUUUUGGCCAAAAUUGGCCAAAAUACUACAUAGGUAAAUUGUCAAAAAGUUUAAAACUAAAUCGACACAAUUAAAAAUAUAAUUGAAUUCAGAUCCAUAUAAUAGGUUUGGGAUUUUCUUAGGAAUUUUCCCCAAAUACAUAGGGAUGCAUGUGUGUUGUUUGCCAUAAAUCUAAUAAAAUUAUUUUAGUUUUGAAUUUUUUGAAGUAAUUGAUGGUAAUGUUUGUAUAUUUAAGAAAAUUUGAAGUGGUCAAUAUUAAGGUAAUAAAAAAGUACGUCAAAUAGAUGGGUCAAGUCAGAUUGAAAAUUGAUCUGACUCAAAUUGAUCUAUUUAAACUGUUUUUACCCAUUUCCAUCAAUAAAAAUAUAGGGAUAUAUACACAAUUCAACUCAUAUUCUAUUCAACUCAUAUUGCAAAAAUACUUAUAUAUUUAAUUCAAUCUAGAAAAACUCAUACUUAAAUUAAGGUGAGAGCACAAAGUGAGUGAGCGUGAGAUUGAGUGAGAAUACGAGAGUGAAGAGACAAUCAUAGAAGUGAAUUAGGUCUAAAUAAGUAAUGCACUUACCAUAUUAUUUUAGACCUUACCAUUCUAAACCGAUUUAUGACCUAUUACUAAAUAUAAGUAAUCCAUAUAACAACUCAGCAAUCAAAUAUUGGUUAAGAAAUAAGUCUAUGACCUAUUUUGACAGGUCCUGUUAACGGUAAGGAUCAUGACUAUUUAAGCGCUUACCACUGUCAAAUCAAGAUGGUGAUCACUUUAGAGAUAACCAUUUCCCCCUAUACCUUUCUAUAUUGGGUUCUUUUUCUUCCCCUUGGGUACGAGAAAUUUUAUAUGGCCCAACACCAUAACUUUUAUUUCAGUCUAUAUUCACGUUAAGUCUACAUUUAUCAUGGCCUAAUCACUAAGGACACAUUGAUUUAUAUUUUCUAAUCAAAUAAGUCUUCUUCUCCAUGUGUCUAAAUAAUCAACAAAAGUAAACUAGAAAUUUCACACCCAUCACACGUGAUGCUCGUAUUGUAAUUCCUUCCAAUCACAUGGGCCCAACCAUUGGACUCAAGCUCCAAGGCCAAACCCAAACAAAAAAUUGGUAGACGGACCUAGGUAGGCCCGUUAGGGGCCAUGGGCUUGACCAGGACUAAGAAAAAAGAAGAAGAAGAAAAAAAAGCAACAUGGCCCAUCACCUCACGGGGCCAUGCUUAGGCAUGGGCCGAACAACAACAACAAAAUUGUUGGGCCUAGAUAGGCCCAUGGGCCUGAUCGAGCCUAGGCACAAAGCAGGACAUGGCCCGCCAUCUAACGAGCCAUGCCCUGGCAUGGGCCCAAGCGUGCUUGGUCAGCACAACCCACUACCAAUCCCUAUCCACAAGAAAGGAAGUUGCAUCCACAUAAAUUCAUUCAUCCAAGACAAAUCUCACUUUGCAUUUGCAUUUCAUUGAUGCAAUACUAAUUAUAAAAAAUGCUAGAACACGGAACACUCUACACAAAAAGACGAUGAUGACAUAUCAAAGCAAAUUUUCCAUAAAUUUGAUAUCUCGAAAUUUGCAAUAUGUACAGUUAAUGUGGAUCGCUUCAACUUCAUGCUACGACUUCCCUCGGCGACUUCGCCAGCAGCGCCGAGGACUCCUCAUACGACUCCCGAUCCUAAUUGCCCUUGAAGUUGAGUGCGUACCUCCUUGAAUCAUACCCGAACUCCGACACUGCAACGCAGCCCCACCUCUGACACCUCCCAAUCCGAGCAAUGAGGCUUUGGAGCUUACGCCAGAUCUCUGGCAAUGAGAGCUCCCGAGUCAUGGAGCAGAGCCACGAGUAGGGUGACCAGGCUGUUUUGUGGCCACUGCCGUAGCCAUCACGGUCUGAGGAGGCGGCCUUGUGGCAGGCGGCAGCGUCCCGAAAGCAAUAGAAGAGGAGACGCAAGGAGGACAAUUUGAGCUUGCGAUGAACAACAUUUGAGCAUGUGUAGAGAGAGAGAGAGAGAGAGAGGAUGAGGUGGCGGCUUUUUAUAGGGUGGACACAGGAUAAGGACGUGGACAAAAUGGGGGGACAUAGUGUUUUGAGUCAAUUCCUCCUUUGAUGUUUCGUCUUACUUUCCCAUAACUUCAAUUUUUGGGUAAUUUAGUAAUUAAGUUAAAGUCAAGAGACCACGAAAUAAUUACAUGCGAUGUUCUGACUGACCAAAAAAAAAGAGGAGAAAUUCCAAAUAAAAACCCGAAGUGAAUCUAUUUUCUCAAAUAAAGACCUAAAGUAAAUUAUGUUUCAAAUAAGGACCCGAAGUGAAUUUUAUGUCAAAUAAGGACCCGAAGUGAUCAAGUUAAUUUCUAUUAAGGACCUUAGCUCGUCGGCAGACAUUUUUCGAGGAUUGAAAUAGGGGCAAUUUUGUCAGAAAUUUGUCAUUGGAAAAAAAAAAGGGAAAAUUCUAAAGUAAUUAAGUUAGGUUAUUCGUUUAGAUAUUUAUGUUUUCUUCUUUCUUCUCCCCCGCUGCUCCUCAACCAAAUUGCUGCCUGGUCAUUAUUGCGACUCGAUUCUCGUUGCUCCUUGCCUUGCUUGACCGGCAGAGAAUUUAGGUCUCCACAAACAAAGAAAGAAGCAUAUGGUUUUAUUCUUGUUUUUGAAUUCAUGCCUCAACUGGUGGAGAAUUUGGGUCCUUGACUUUGCGGAGGAUGGGUACAAGGAACGCGGAAAUCCUAGAAAACCUAGGGUUUUUUUGUUUAUGUUUUAGGAUUUGUUAAUUUUCCCUAGAUUUUUUUUUUGACAAAAUUGCCCAAACUCCGGUCAUCAUAAAUGUCACAUACUUGAUAGCCCUCGAAUAUGUGGCUGACUAGCAAGCUUAGGUCCUUAUUUGGAAUUGAUUCAACCACUUCGGAUCCUUAUUUGAGACAAUGGGUCAAUUUUAGGUUUUUAUCUAACACAAAAUUCAUUUCGGGUCCUUAUUUAGAAUUUUCCCCAAAAAAAAUGAUUAAAUCUGACCUAUUGCUAUUGAAAAGACAAAAUCACCUUUAUUCUUUUGAUUGCAAUUUAUUAGUGGUGGCCCCCAAAUUUUCCUUUCCUUUUCUUUAGCUUUGCUGCUUUUAUGUAGCAUUUUGUUACCAUAAUGACAAAGUUUCCAUAUAUAUAUCAAGGAUAUGAUUUUUUUUAAUUAUUAGUUUUUAUUUCCAUAAAAUUUAGUUUUGUCGAAAAGAGAAAUACCAAACAAAAAAAAAAAUCUAUUUCUUGGUUACAUCAUUGAUCAAAUUGAUGGAUAAUUGUUAAGUAAAAUCUAAAAAUAAAUUAAUAUGGACAAUUUUUUAGCACAAUCAUUUGUUUAUAAAUUUUCUCUCUUGAUGUGUAUAUUACCAUCAAAUCACGUCUUAUCAAUUUAUUAUUAUUAUUAUUAUGGAAUGCUCCAAAAAAAUCUUUGAUGAUUUUCCAAAAAUAAUAUCACAAUUACAUUCUCCAACGUGAAACUUGUCAGGCUAACAUAUAAUUCACAAAAUAAAUCAGACUAAAGAUACAUUUGAUAACCAUUCUAUUUUCAAGAAUAAUUUCUAUUCAUAAUUUAUUUAUUCAAUUGCUUGGACAAGUUUUUUUUUUUUUUUUAUUGCUUCGACAAGUUUCUAACUAGAAGAAAGUGUACAUUUGAUAUGACCCCAUAAAUUUCUAUUUUCAUUUUUUUAAAAUUAAUUAUACAAAUAUCAAUAAAGAGUUAACGAUUCAUGUUUGAAUAAAAAUUUGUUAAGCUUACGCUUGUCCACGAGGACCCAUGGGCCUGACCUGGCCUAGGCACAAAAUGGACAAGGCCAUCCACCUUAACAGGCCGUGCUGUGGCUUGGGCCCAAGCAUGUUGUGCUCCGCAAGCGUGUUGUGCUCGGGUCAGUACGGCGAGCUACCAAUCUCUAUCCGCAAGAAAAGAAGAUGCAUCCAUGUUAUCUGUAAAGUAAAUCCCAUUCAUCCAAAACUAAAAUUCGCUUCUUGUCGGUUUACGUUUCAAUUUUUCAAUUUUUUUUUUUUUUUUGGUUGAAGGUUCGCAUUUCGAUGAGGUAAUGCCGAUCGGCAAAAAUGGUCGACCGAGGACAACAAAUAUGUACAAGCGCUACGGAUCGCUCCAAGGACUGUUGAUAUGGCCCAACUUGUCGAUCCAAAUCAAAAACAGAUGCUUUUUUCCAGAGGAAAGGACUUCAACUACAAGCUACGACUUCACCGGCAACAACCGAUCUGGAGACAGUGGCAGCCUCGCGGAGAAGUUCCUUGCUGGGAACUCCUCGUCCAACUCCCUGCUCCGGUCAUCCUUGAAGCUGAGCGCGUAGCUCAUCGGGUCGUACCCGAACUCCGAGGAGGCCGCCGCAACCGCCGCCGCGUGCCCCGGCCUCCACCGGCACCUCCCGAUCCGAGCGAUGAGGCUGCGGCACCUGUACCGGAUCUCCGGCAACGGGAGCUCCAGGGCCGCCGAGCGGACCUUGCGGGGAUGGUCACCGUCGUCGCAGUCCGAGGAGGCGGUCUCGUGGUAGGCGGCGGCAGCGGUGGAGGCGUGGCCAUCAUGGAAGCAGGAGGCUCGGGGAGGAGGAUGAUCUGAGCUUGUGAUGGAACAACAUUUGGACGGCGAGAGCGACGGGACUCGGAAUCUUGGUCUGGUCUGGUCUGGUCCGGUCCCUGGUCUGCGCAAGAGUGUGAAGAGAGUGAAGAGAGGGAUGGCGAUGAUGAGGAAGACGAUGGAGAAGGGGAUGAGGCGGAGGGUCUAUUUAUGGGGUGGACGGAUGAGGACGGGGGCGUGUGGCGGCAAAGCAGAGUGGCAGGGUGGUGGUGAGGGCGGGAGUGAGGAUGAGGAAAACCGCGGGUGGAUCGUGGUGGGCAAGUGGGAAGCGGUUUUUUUGGCGUUAAUCCUGCGUGAGGUUUCCUUCUUACUUUUCCUGAACUUCAUUGUUGGGCAGUUUGGUAAUUCCACGGAAGUCGAGGGACCACGUAGCUGCUCCUCCUUUCUUUUAUUUUUAAUAUUUAUCUUUUGUUUUAGGAUAGUUGAAAUUUUUAACUUCUGAGAUAGUUGGAAUUUAAAUGACUCUUUUAUGGGUUUUCUUACACGACCAUAUAUAUAAUAAAUUGCGAGAGUAAAGGCCAAGAACGGAAUCACCAGUUCAAAGUCAUGACUUCUCACUUUAGAGUACAUUUAUUUUACGGAAAAAAUCCACAUUUUGAGAAUAUUUUCUUAAUUUUAACCAUUGUUAAUCGCUUACAAAAAUCAUUCAAUGAAAAGUAUUUCUAUUCUUAACAACAAUUUAUACCUAGACAUUUUUGCUGAUUAUACUAUUUUUCAUUGUCACUUUUUCUAAGUGAUGUAAAAAAUCAAAAUUAAAAAAUAUUUUUUAAAUCAUUGAUUUUUCGUGAAAUAAAUUGAGCAUUAAUCUCCUAAAGCAACUGCAAGGCAGAAAAGAUGAUUUAUAUGAAGAUGGAGAAUCCAUAAUCUUGGGAAUUUGAUGGACACAAUUAGAUCUAGAGAGAAAAUCAAUAAGAUUUGAAAUGUCGCAAACUAAACUAGUAUAACUUGGAGGCAAGACAACAUAAGAGAGGGGAUUAAUUGGGAUGUUUGAUUUUCAUGUGAUAUCGAAUCAAAUAUCCAAAGGUUCAAAUCCCUCUAUUGCCUCCCACAUUGCCAUCACUUUUCAUUUUCUUUCAAUGUCCAGCCGAAUACUAGCUUUGCUGCUCCCUGCUUGGCCCGAGGCAGCUUCACUCAUAUCUCAAGAUAAUAGAUGAGAGGCUCUAAAUAAAGCAAAUUUCAACAUUAAAAGCAAUAAAGCACAAAUUGUAACGGCGAGCGCACUCUCAUUUUACAAAAACAAACAUGCCUCGAGCAUCAAAACAGAACGAAUGGCACUCGAUAAAUAAAGUCAGUAAGAACGAAUCAUUAAUUCCCUACUUGCCCUUGCGCUGAUCUCCACUUACCUCUUCAUGUGACACUAAGCUCUUCACUUCCAAUGGUGGUUUCAUCGAUCACUAAUUAAAAACGAUUGGGGGGAGCCAUGCAUCAUGCUUGGUUUGGAUUCUUGUCAUUGACAAGCCGAGCGCCUCCCGUGACUCCUGGGCUCGUGCUAUUCUCAAAGUGCAAGUCUCGCAUAUGAGAGCGCUCCACGUCAGUGGAGAUUGGAGUGAGCAUCUGAGGGAGAAUGGGCUCAUGCACCCAGCCAUUGAGUGCCCGCCACCGGACGCUUCCUUGCUCAACAAUUUGGGAUAGAUAAUAGGGGAAACAUGGUGUUUUGUCUCUAGGGGAGUAUUCGAGUCGGAUCUGGUCGACACAAUGCCCUCGAGAGCUCGGUUUGACUUGAUUUGGAUGGUCGAUACUCAAAACUCAACUUGAGCUUGAUUGAGUAUUAAAAUUGAUGCAUGAGUUCAAUUCGACUAGAAAAAUUGAGAUAUUGGAACUCUAGUAAAUAAAUAGUAAACUUCACUUUCAUAGAUCAAAUAUAAUUAGCGAAAGAGUCUAAAUAUAAUAGCCCGAUGAUAUAAGAUGCUUUUUGUACAAAAGCACGCUUUUCAUAUGCACAAAAAAGUCAAUUUUCGGAAAAUAUUGACAAUACACAUAAUAAUUAAGAGAUCCGAAGUCAUUCCUCAUGUCAUAGGCUAUGGCCACUUCUUGCCGGUGACAAAAAACAUAAAAAUUAUAUUAGUCAUGAAUAUAAGUUAUUCAUAUAACAAUUCAGCCAAUCAUUUUAUAUAAAAAUAUGUUUAUGAAUCAUUUUGAUAUGUUUAGUACCCGGCCAUGUAUAGCCCACUGCCUAUCCCUAUCCAUAGGAAAAGGCAGUUACAUCCAUAAAGUGAAUUCAUUCAUCCAAGACAUAAUCUACUUCUUGUCGGCUCCCCUUUCAUUGACGCAAGGCUGAUCAACAAAAAUGCUCAAACACGAAACACUUUAGGCAAAAAGCGAAAGCCAAAUGGAGACGACGAUGACAAAUGGACGCAGAUUUUCCAUAAAUUUGAUAUCUCAAAAUCUACAAUAUGUAUAGUAAGAUACUGUCGACCCUGAUAGUCAAACUUGUCGAUCAAAAUCAAAAGAACUAGAGGAGAAAACUUCAACUACAUGCUACAACUCCCCCACCCACCCCGGCAACUUUGCUAACGGCAACUGAUCCGGAGACACGGCCUGGAGGCGCGAUGGAGUCGGAGUCUUAGUCUGGUCUGGUUUGUGCGAGACUGUGAAGAGAGUGAAGAGAGUGAAUGGUGGUGAGGAAGAAGAUCGAGAAGAGGCUGAGGUGGCACGUUUUAAUAGGGUGGACGGAUAAGGACGCGGCUGGGAGGCGGCGGCGAGCAGCAGAGCAGAGCAGUGGGUAGCGGUUUUUUGCGUUAAUCCUGCGUGAGGUUUCGAUCUUACCUUUCUUAACUUUAUCGUUGGGCAGUUUGGUAAUUAAGCAAAAAUAGAGGGACCGGAGAGCUGCUGCUUUUAUCUUCUUUUCGGUUUUACAAAAGUAGAAUUAGAUUAACAUUUUUAUGGGUCAUCAUAUGACAACGUAAAUAUGGAGACCACCAGAUCCGGGGGUUUUAAAGGUCAAUAUCGAUGGAUCUUAUCAACUGGGAAGCAAGGAAGGGACUAUGGCUUGUGUGUAUCGUGAUUCACAUGGACAACUUACUGGUGGCUUCUCAGAUAGCUUUGCUGCCUUCUCGGCUCUGCAAGCGGAGAUCCACGCUUGCUUGCUUGCUCUCCGUCAUUUGAUUGAUCAAGACCUCUCUCAUGCUGCGCUGACUCUUGAAUCGGAUUGCCAGACCUUCAUUGAGACACUAAAGGGUUAGCGCUCGCCGCCAUGGCAAGAACAAAGCCUCUUCUCCGAAGCUGCCUUCCUGCUUUCAUUUUUUCCCAACAUUUCCCUAGCCUUCUGUCGUCGUGAGGCGAAUGUUGCUGCUGACUGGGCUGCGAAGGCCCAUAGGGUUAAUUCCAAGCGAAGUAACUGGGUUGUUUUUCCCCCUCCCCCUCUUUUAGAUCUUAUUUACGUUGAUGUGAUAGCUGCUGCUUGUAAUUGGUUUGGUCCAUAUAUAUAAUAGGUUCUGUUUGACAAAAAAAAAAAAAUAGGGAGAGAGAAGGGAGGGAGAGUAAAGGCUAAGAACAGAGAUGUGACUUGAAAGUCGAGACUCGUGACCUUAGUCUAAGUGAAGCAGCUACAAUGGGAAAAAUAUAAUUAUAUGAAAUAUCAGAAUUGAUAAACCUUGAAAUGUGAUGGACAUGAUUAAGUUCUAGGAAGAAAAUCAAACGGGAUGUAACGAUAUUCCAUGAUCGCAUGGUGGCAUUUUAAUUUCCAGUCAUAUUUUCAUCGAUUUACACGAGAAUUUAGAUAUCAUUGGAUAUACUAAAUAAGUAUAUCUUCGAGGCAAGGCCGUAGAAGAGAGAGGAUUGGGAUGUUCAUUUUUUAUUUUUUUUUACAUGAUAUCAAAAUACAAUAGCCGAACGUUCGAAUCUCUCUAUUACCUCCCACAUUCUAAUCCACUUCUUCAUUUUAUGUCUAGUUGAUUUAAACAGUUAUGUGGAGUCUGGCCAGCUUUUAUGCAUUUCAAUCAGUCACUCCUCUAUGUCAGCAUGGUGCAUUUAUGAUUAUACUCUGUUUUCUGAACAAAACAUGAGCGCGAAAGCAUAACAAGAGGAGCAAACCACCUUACUAUUUAAGUCAACACUUAAUUGGCCUGUCAAUGCAUUUCUUAAACACAGGCAAAAGUGAUCCUAAGCUUGAGAAAGCGGGUUACAUAAAUCUGGCCAACAUAGGUAAAUAGUUCAAUUGGGGGUUCAAUCUGAGUUACUCCGAUAAUUAAAGUUAGCAAGAACGAAUCAUUUUGAUCCCUUCAUGCCACUGCACUAAUCUCCGCUUGUCUCACGCACGUGGGGACUAGCUUCUUCGCUGCUCUGUCCCGCGACGAGCUAGCUGCAUUUGCGAUGCCAUAGCUUCUGUCCCGACGUUGCUGCUCCCUCCAUGGACCGACGCAGCUUCACCGUGACGAGUAUUGGCUCUACUGAGCACCUGCACGACCACCACGAUCUGUCCUGGUGCUACCUGCCCACGCUGAUCGCCAUCAGAUCCGCCGCCUCUUCUUACCACACUGCUGACAAGCCGUGAGCCUCCAAUGACGGUCCUUGCUAUGAGCCUUCAGUGACGGACCACCACGUGAACCGUUGCGGCUUCUCGCUCAACAACGGUGUUGUCCUCCAAUUUGCCGCCCACCUGUUACCGCCAUCCGUUGCACCUCCAACGCCACCCACCCAACAGCAAUUGCCUGUCUUAUCACCUUAUGAAAGAACGAAUGCUAGGCACGCUUCAGUCCCGACGGCCACCUUCUAUUAACAGCCUCCGUGAAUUCUCUUUUCCUGCAGGUUUCCAUCGCCGGCGACCAUCCAAUGACGCCAGCAUCUCCUGCACUUGUCCUGUGUCCACCGCAGUGAGCCAGGAAAAAAAUAAGUGAUCUUGAACAGGGUGGAAGGAAAGUCAAGCGGUGGCCAAAGUGGAGAAAAAGAAAAAUUGGAACGGAGAAGAUUCGUUCCGUCAUUUGCAAACGAUAUCAAAGCCCACACUUUCCAGAAUACAGGAUCCAGAGAAGACAAAUAAAGGGGGAAAUUCUGGAAAUUCGCUCCUCGGGUAUCCGUUCUUCGCGUUUUCUCUCGAGUUACCACCGAGCAGAGCCGUGUCACUAAUUGCCCCCGAACCACCGCCGCAGCCGGCCAUCCUUUGCCUAGAAGCACCACCACCAUGAGUAGUCUUGCUGCGAGCCUCAUCCGCCAGCCACCGUUGGUCAUCUGUCGAGUCCGAAUUUGGAUUGUGCGCUUCAAAUUAGUUAAUGUUCUAAUCCGAUUUGAUUUGAAUGUUUAAUUGCAAAUUUCAGAUUGAUUUCCUUAUAUAAUUGUGAUAUUCGAGAUUUUAGGCAUUACGCCAUAAGAUUUUUAAGUUUAUUGCAAUCCUCCUGUGCGCGAGAUAAUUCUAAUCCAGAUUAGACGAUCUCUCCGAGCUCUGCUGGUACUGAACCCGGCCAGCUUCUUCAAGCUUUGAAUUUCAGCUUUAGCUUUGGAACUUCUACCACCGCUACUAUUCUGCUCCUGGAACUGUUCCAAGCUUCGCCAUCCUCUUCCUUCUGCAGAGCCAAACAUGUCGUGGAACCGUUUCAAGCUUCUUCCUGCCCGUGUCAUGGAAUCGGACUCUUCCGUGAAAGCUCCAUUCCUUUUCAGUGGAUUGGAAGCAGGCCCUCCAGAGUCCUCACUGAAAUCUUCCGGAUAAAAAAGUGACUGCCCCGGUGAAUAACAUUUCGGGUGUCCGAUGAUCAGACUCAGCAGCAGGCGAAUCAUCUGAGAGCAUCAGCGGGACCUGGUUCGGGAACGCUUCAGCAGCCAUAAUCAGCAACCAAACAAAAUAUAAGAAAGGAGAAAAAUGCAAAAUCUUAACUUGGUACCAGCCACCCGCAGCACUAUGGAAUAUAAUAUAGCAUACCAACACCAUUCCAAAGACCAAGCUCUUCCUAUGGGGUGCAUGUCAAAGUGCUAUGCCAGCAAAAGAGGACCUUUUCAAGAGGAGCAUUGUUGCUGAGCCUACCUGAGAUUUAUGCCAUUUAGAACCUGAAACUGCUGAACACGUUCUUCUCUUCUCUUCUGUCCACUGACCAAAACGGGAGUGUGGGAGGACCCGACCCUGAAAAUAAAAAAUUACAAGCGACCACAUUGUGAUAUCAGCUAAUUUAACAAGCCCGAUGAUUUUUUCGGAUAUUAUAAUCUUUUAUUUGAAUUUUGAUGGAUAUCCUAGAUGAUUUUUGCUAUGUUUGAAUUUUUUAUUAGAUCAGGUUAGGUUGAAAAAUGAUUUGACCCAAAGUGACCUAUUUAAAUUUUUUUGACUAAUUUCCAUACAUUAAAAACACUUCUAUAGUUAAUCCAAUCUAGAAAAACUCGUACUUAAACUAAGAUGAGAACAUGGAGCGAGCGAGCGCGAGAUCAAGUAAAGACAAGAAAGUGAAGAGAGAAUCAUAGAGGUGGAUUGAGUUUAAAUAGGUCGUGAACUAAUAUUACACUAUAAAUCUUAUCAUUCUAAACUCAUUCAUGAAUAUAACUAACCUAUAUUACAACUCAACCCAUCAAAUAUAGGUUAAAAAAUAGGUUUAUGAUCCAUUUUGAUAGAUCUAAUCAAGAUGGUGAUCACUUUGAAGAUAACCGUCACCCCUAUUCCUUUCUCAAUUGGAUUCUCUCUCCUACUUGGAUAUGAGAAAUUUUAUCUGACCCAACACUAUAACUUUUAUUUUAGUCUAUAUUCAUGUUAAGUCUGCAUUUAUCAUGGUGUGAUAAUUAAGGACUUGAUGCAAUCAUUUAUAUUUUCUAGUCAAAUAAAGUCUUAUUCUUUAUGUGUCCAAAUAAUCAACAAAAUCAAAAUAGAAAUUUCAUGCCCGUUGCUUUUGACUUUCACUUUGUAAUUCCUUCCAAUCACAAGGGCCCGACCAUUGGACUUGACCUCCAAGGCCAAACCCAAAAGAAAAAUUGUUGGACCUAAGUAGGCCCAUUAGGCAUGGGCUUAACCAAGCCUAAACCAAAAAUAUGCAACACAGCCUGUCAUUUCACAGGGCUAUGCUUGGGUAUGGGCUGAACAGCUAGACUUGCCCCCAAAGGCCCAAUCCCAAAAAAAAAAAAAAAAUUGUUUGACCUAGAUGGGCCCAUGAGUCUGAUCAAGCCUAGGCACAACAUGUGACACAACCCACCAUCUAAUGGGCAGUGCCCUAGCAUGGACACAGCCUAUUACCGAUCCCUAUCCAUAAGAAAAUAAGUUGGAUCCAUGUAAAUUCAUUCAUUCAUAACAAAUUUUACUUCCUAUCCCUUCGCGUUUCAUUAACACUACUAAUCAACAAAAAUGCUUGAACACGAACACUCUAGACCAAAAGACGAUGAUGACAUGUCGAAGUAGAUUUUCCAUGAAUUUGAGAUCUCGAAAUUUGUAAUAUGUAUGGACGUUGUGGAUCACUCCAAGGACUAUGAUAAUCCAAUUCGUUGAUCAAAAUCAAUAAUAUCCUUAUUGAAGAAAACUUUAGCUACACGUUACGACUUCUCUCAGCAUUUGAUAGCAACCAAUCUAGAGACACUGGCAGCAUUGCUGUGAAGUUCCUCGCUGGGGACUCCUCGUUCGCCUCCCAACCUCGAUCGCCCUCAAAGUUGAGCGCAUAGCUCAUCAUAUCAUACCCAAACUCUGAGGUCGCGAUGUGGCCUUGCUUUCGACACCUCUUGAUCCAAGUGAUGAGGCUCUAGAGCUUGUGUUGGAUCUCCGACAGUGGAAGCUCCCGGGCCAUGGAAUGGAGCCAUAAGCAAGGCGACCGGGUUGCCCCACGGUAGCUGCCAUCACUGUCACCGUCGUUGCUGUAGUCUGAGGGGGCGGCCUCAUGGUGGACAGUGGCGUCCUGAAAGCAACAGAAGAGGAGACGCGGGGAGGAUGAUUUGAGCUCGUGAUUGAACAACAUUGGGCUGUGUGGAGAGAGAGAGAGAGAGAGGGGAGAGAGAGGGAGUGGGGGGGGGGGAGGAUGAGGUGGCGGGUUUUUAUAGGGUGGACAGGAUAAAGGAGGAAGGGCAAAGUGGGAGGACAUGGAGUUUUGAGUUAAUCCCUCCCUGAUGUUUUGUCUUGUUUUUCCCUAAUUGCAUUUUUUUUUAUGUAAUUUGGUAACUAAGCAAAAGUUGAGGGAUCAUGUAGCUGCUCCUUUUUCCUUUUCUACAAGGCGUUGUUUCCUCCCCUUAAAUGUUUGAGUCUAACCAAUUGCUAUUAGAAAUACAAAAAUCGCCCCUAAUCAUUCAAUUACAUUUUAUAAGUGGUGACACCCAAAUUUUGCUUUCCUUUCCUUUUAACUUUGCUGUUUUUAUGUAGGAUUUUGUUACCAUAGAAACAAAGUUUCAAUGUAUAUUAAGGGGCACGCUUUUUUUAAUUGUUAGAUUUUAUUUCCAUAAAAAUUAGUUUUGUCGAAAAGAGAAAUCCCUAAAAAAAAUCUUUUUCUUUUCUAUGUUGUUGCUCAAAUUUAUGGAUAAAUUGUCGAGUAAAAUCUAGAAAUAAAUUAAGGGUGGCAUUAUUUUCACCCUCUAAAUGACUAAACCCACCUACACUAAAAAGAAAAAAUUGUCCUCAAUUUUACAAUUGCAGUUUUAGAUGAUAGCCCGACUCCUUCUUUUUUUUUAUUUUUUUCUUUUUCUAUCUUGGAUAGUUGCCAUAAUUAAAAAUUUCACAUGUUUUGUUUUUUAGCUUAGAAAUUUUUAUAUUGUUUUACAUGCUCCAUGUAAAAUUAUCUUGCUAAUGGUAAGGGAAAAAAAAAAGCAUUAUUUGAUAUAGUAUAAAAUUGAAAAGUCUCUUCUUCAUUAUUGAUCUUACAACAACUUAUCUAUUUUUUGUUCCUUUUAUAUCAAAAACUCACUUUCUUGAAGAGCUUUUUAUUAGUCUCAUUAGUAUAAAAAUAUAUAUCAACUCUCUUUAUUUACUAUAUCAAAGUACUUAUAUUUUUUCCUGACUAUAUUGGUGAGAUACCCUUAUAUAUAGCAUGUAAGGAGUUAGAGAUAUAUCUAAAAAAACACUAAAUACCUUAUGCACAAUGAGGCAUCUUAAUAAUUUUUCAUAAACAGUUUAUUGAUGAUAUUAAUUUUUCUCAAUCCAAAAUAAAGAAAUUUCACUGGUAUUUUCAAAAAAAAAAAAAAAUCUUACUUUAUGCAAUUAAUUUUUUUACUUAACAAUUUAUCCACAAAUUUAAUUGAAAAUUAAAAAAAAAUAGAUUUGUCGGAAAUUUCUCUUUUUGACAAAAUAAAUUUUUUAUUGAAGUAAUAUCUAACAAUAAAAGAAGACAUAGUGCCUUUAAUAUACAUGGAAAAUCUACAAUAAACAAAAUUAAACAUAUUCAAUUCUUAAUUAUGGUAGGUAGAUCCUCCAUAAGUAUAGAAAAACUUGCAAUUAAAUGAUAGAAGGUAAUUUUGUAUUUUUGGUGAAAAUUGGGUGAAUUUAAUCACACAACACACAUAUAGUGGAAUGAUCAGAUGAAGCCAUAAAAUAUAUAUAUAUAUAUAUAUAUAUAUAUAUAUAUAUAUAUAUUUGUUGAUUUUCCAAAAUAAAAUCGCAAUUACAUUCUCUAACAUAAAACAUGUCGGGCCAAUAUACAAUUCACAAAAUAAACCAGACUAGGGACAUGUUUGCUAAUCUUUCUGUUUUCAAGCGUAAUUUCAUUUCAAAAUCUAUUUCCUAUACGAGUUUCUAAGUAUGACAACGCAUUUGUUAACUACACAAUAUUUCCCUUCUCAAAAAAAAAAAAGAAUAGAAAUGCAUUUACUAUAACCCUAAAUUCUCUUCCCAUUUUUUUUUCAUUUUAUUAUAAAAAUUAUCAGUAGACACUUAAUGAUUCAUGUUUGAAUAAAUAUUUGUCGAGCCUAGGCUGGCCCAUUAGGACCCAUGGCCCUGACCUGGCCUAGGCACAAAACAGACACGGUCUGCCACCUUAACGGGCUGUGCCCUGGCUCAAGCCCAGGCAUGCCGUACCUGGGUCAGUGUGGCCCAGUACCAAUCCCUAUCCACAAGAAAAGAAGAUGCAUCCGCUUUGUCCAUAAAGUAAGUCCCAUUCAUCCAACAAUAACAAUAAAAUUUCUUCUUGUUUGUUCGUGUUUCAAUUUUUUAUUUUUAUUUUCUUAAGUCGAAAGUUCGCAUUUCGAUGACGCAUCGCCAAUCAGCAAAAUUCUCGACCGGGGAUCAACAAUCCAGACAAAAGGCGAAAGCAAAGCGGAGAAGACGAAAACAUAUCGAAGCAGAUCUUUCAUAAAAUUGAGAUCUGGAAGUUCUACAAAUAUGUACAGACACUGCGAAUUGCUCUAGAGACUGUUGAUAUAAGCCCAACUUAGUGGAUCAAAAUUCCAGAGGAAAACAACUUCAACAACAAGCUACGACUUCCCUCGGUAACCUCGACGGCAUCAACCGAUCUGGAGACACCGGCAGCCGCGCUGAGAAGUUCCUCAUUGAGAACUCCUCGUCUGACUCCCAGCUCCGAUCGUCCUCGAAGUUUAGCGCGUAGCUCAUCGGGUCAUACCCGAACUCCGAGGAGGCCGCCGCCGCCGCGUGGCCCGGCCUCCACCGGCACCUCCCGAUCCGAGCGAUGAGGCUGCGGCACCUGUACCGGAUCUCCGGCAGGAGGAGCUCCUGGGCCGUCGAGCGGACCUUGCGGGGGUGGCCGUCGUCACAGUCCGAGGAGGUGGCCUCGUGGUAGGCAGCGGCAUGGCCACCGUCGUGGAAGCAGGAGAAGAGGAGGGACGGGGAGGAUGAUCUGAGCUUGUGAUGGAAGAGCAUUUCGACGGCGAGAGCGAUGGGACUCGGAUUCUUGGUCUGGUUUGUGCAAGGCCGUGAAGAGAGCGGAGAGAGUGGAUGGAGAUGAGGAAGAAGAUGGAGAAGAGGAUAAGGUGGAGGGUUUAUUUAUAGGUCGGGCGG